rnacentral:lncRNA from 1 species
GAGCAGAGCUGGUGAGUGCAUCUUUAAGUCUCUUCAACCAUCAGUGGUAGUGAUAAUAGCAACUGUGUUGAAAUAUCUUCACGGUGAGGGACAGCUAAAUGAAGUCAACAUAAACAUCCUCAUCACCCUAAUAAAUGUUACCACUGAUAGAAAUGUUCAGUUUGAUGUAAUUUAUAAAAGUAGCAGGCUUAUGUUUCAACCAGACCUUGAAUUUUUCAGUAUUAAUUCAUCUGAUGAGCAUCUGUUUCCAUGGAAACAUAGAAUUGGAUGUGAAUAUUGUUUAGCCGAACAAAAACGUCAUUUGUAAAUCAAUAAAACAAUCUUUUUGUGGCGUAUUAAUUAUGUCAUUCAUUUGUAGCUUUGUCAAAGCGGGAUCAUGUUUGUUGAAAAUGCAGAUUUCUUCUUUAAAUGUUGUUACUUUAUAUCCUCUCUAAAUCACCUGGAGCAUAAAGAGGACACUCAGGCUGAUCUGAUAGAAAUAUGAGACAGCAUCAGACAAAAAGUUGGCAACCGUUGCUCCAAACCUAUCCUUUUACCUCUCGUGUAAAUUAUUAUUUAUUCUUGCUCUUUUGGUGGUGUGCUGGUACCUGAGGUAUCACACACAGGUCUUGCACUGUCUCUGCAGCCCAUAGCUCUGUUAGAAAACAGCCUUACCUGCAUGCAGCAGCAGCAGCAGCAGCAUCUAGGGGCUCAUAGCACUUCUUGUUGCUUGAGCAGGUGUUGGAGUGCUGUGGGGGAGCUGGCACACACCCAGAGAUCUAGAAAGAGAAAAAGAGAGAAAGGGGGGAGGGAAAAGUGAGGGAUUCUGUCAGGCAGUGGGUCAGAGGAAUGCCUAACUAUAAUCAUCUAUGAUGGUAUAAUCACAGCUCAGUCAAACUCCUCUCCAGGCUCAUAUAUCCCCCCUCUCUCACUGAGCAGCGCUCUCUCUCCCCCUCUGAUAUGAGUGAAACUGGCAAUCUGACUUUAGAGAGCAUAGUCUCAACUUCGUCUGAAGAUUCUUUAUCAUUCCAAGAGUUUCUUUUUUUUUGGGCUAAUCUUUGGCGCUUUCCCCCUCAUUUUAAUCUGCGUAUAUGUAUGAAGAGUGUCCCAUUGGGGCUGCCAUACACUAGAAGAUUAAUGAACCCAAUUUGCAAAAGUGACCUUUUGGCUGCUAAAGCACUGCCGCUGCUAAGCCUCUUAAUGCCUGCUUUAAAAAAUGUUGUUAUAGAGAGCAACUCUUGAGAUAAGAGAAGGAAAAAUAAGCAUAUCAGAAGUUAGAGGAGGAGUCUGGAUUAAAGUCAGCUGGAUGUGGCCACCAUAUGGGCCCUCAGAGGACGAGUUUCAGCGAGGAAAUGUAGAGUGAUCAGAGCAUGAAACAAGCUAAUCAGAAGUUUGCAUGAUACUGAUGAACCCUGUUAGCACUUCUGACAAAGACAUUUAAAGAAAACAUCAUGAGUUCACAUGUGGUUGGAAAUACAAUAUCGACAUCAGCUUACACUGUGGAGGACAAAAAGAAGCAUGUUGUUAAAAUUCAUAAAAUGACCAAGUUUUCAUUAAACCGUCUGCUUCUCAAACACCCACAGAUCCCUUGGGAUUUUAAAUCUUUUUUAGACGAAAUAAAAAAGGGCUUAUAGUUUGAAUAUGAAGUGGCAUUUAACAACACUCACUUGAUGAAUAGUUAAGCCCUAUCCAGCUCCCUCCACCCAGCAGGAAUGAGUUUUCCGAAUUUCUUUAGACAGAUUAAAAGAAAAUGACAAAAUCCUCUGUAACAAAAAAAGUUAAGGAUGUUAAAGAAGUUGCCAGUUCAAGUAUUUUUUUUUUGUUAGAUCUGACUUAUUUUAACCCACAAUAACAGGGUUAUAAAACUCAAAGAGCAAAUAAAUGAUUUCAAUACAGUUUAUUUUUAUCUGUGAGGGAUAUAUUAAAAUCUAAACACUUUUAAUUUCUCCAUCUGCUUUCACAUUUGUUAUAAUCUGUGCAUUUAUUCCUCCAUAAUCUUGAUAUCUAAGUUUAACUUGUUCAUGCUCAUUAGUGUUAAUAGGUUUAGUGGCCUCUAAAUGGGACUUUGAAGCUGUGUCUCGACUGUUGGUCUGCAAAACAAGAAAUGAGACAGUCUGGUCUACAGAAGGUUUCCUGUAAAGUUUACCAGCCAUUUCUACCAUCAUACUUUGGUUGCCAAGUGUCACUUUGUUCUUCUAGAAAUCUAAAUCCGUACUGGAACCAGCUAUCAUCAGUAAAGCCACAUAAUCUAGCUUCUUAAUUUUAAAGAUCACUUCAAGUUUCAUUGCUCCUUUUGUUUUUAAUGUUUGUAUUGCUAGUUGCCAGACUGAAUAUGACUAAAGACUUCCUCUUAAUACUGUAUUUCUCAGGUAGUGAGAGCCUGCCAUCUUGUACAGGAUAAGUUGGCCCAUAAAGGAUGCACCCGAAGAGCCUGAUGCAUCCUUUAUGGCCAGAGAAAAUUCAGACACAUUUGAAGAAGCCUUUGAAUUAGGACAACCAUUGCUGCACUGCUGAGAAAUAAUCAGUCUUUUAAUGCACCCUUUGAGGGAUGAAGCCCCUGAAUUGGGACUCAACUGUUAUCAUAUAGUUCAAUAAACCCCAUAAAGGAGCUCUGAUGUUGUGCCAGCUUUGUAUUUUUGUUUUAUUCUGAACCGAAUGACGCUGUAAUAAUGCUCCCUCGGAGUGUGAUUAUAAACUUGGUGUUGGUGUUGGUGUCACUUUUAAAACUAGUGGUUUAGAGGCACUGCGCCAGACAAGGAACUGACCAAAUAAAACUAAAUCAAACCCAAAAGCUGCAAGAUUUCAGAAGGCAGAGUAAGAUGUAAAUGUCUAAAGCCUGUGGUUGACCUUUGACCUGCCAAGCCUCCCACACAAAUCAGCCCUCCGAGGCCCAGAGAAACCUCCAUGUCCAAGUGAUGUAGAUGAUGGAUGUAUUAUUGAGAUGAUUCUGGAAACCUUUGUCAAAUAUCUGUCAUGGCUUUGGAUAUAACUGACCUUUUAAUGUGCAAACUCCUUCCAGAAAGACCUUCAAUAUUGACUUUUUUCCCCAAAGACUCAGUCGAAACUCAGCUGUUAAAUCUAAAGGGAAUUGGACAGCGUAGUAGUUUUAACCCAGUGAGCUAAUAAAAGGUUAAUUAUUAAUUACUGACUGAAAACACUGCUCACUAUUUCAGCUGCAACCAUGAAAAUGUGGUUAAAAUCCAAUGUGUGCCACAGGAACAUCUUGAAAAUUUGCAUACCACACCCUCAGCUGAGUUAAGCCAUUAGUAUUAAAGAUUACUGGCACACAGCCCAGACAAAUUGCUGUUUAUGGAAAAAAAAAACAGACCUGGAUGCCUCAAACCAAGACACAUUCGUCUUCUGUGUUUGAAAAACGAGAAUUCCCGGGGGUGAUUUUGUUUGCCUCAUCAGUUAAAAGUCUCUUAAGCCGCGUGUCCUGAAACAGAGAGAUGUCAAGAAUUCCUUUUUCGAUUUUGAUUUAACCACGGAUGGUAUUAAUCAAGAAGAAAAAGCUGUCCAUCCAGCAGUCAGAGUCUGAAAUACACUCUCUGCCUUCACUUCCUGAAGGCACAUUUGACGUGAGAAUAUGGGUAUUACAUUUCUGAGACUCAGCCUCCUGAGCAUUUGGAACAAAAAAAUGAUGGCAGAAGCACUUUGAAGGCGCAUUUUAGCGUGAGCAUCUGGCUUUUUAGGUUGGUUUAAAGGUUUGUAACGAGCAGUCUCAAGCUGUUUUUUUCUACCUCUCAGUCCCACGAGCCAUCGCUCUCGCUGCGAGGACAAAUCAGCAAGCUUUUAGAGGUAUUGUAAGUGCACUAAAAUAUGAUUUAGCGGUGGAGCACGGCCCUAAUUCUUGAGUCAUUUCUCGUACGCCCUGCCAUAUUUAUUCCGUUAAGAUGAAUUAAAUGCAUUUAAAGAGGGCAGACCGAACAACGGGCCUCCUUACCAAAAUUAUGAGCAGAGUUGUAAUUCAGCACUUGUUUUUCCUCUGAUUGUAAAUAGUAGAGUUAAAAAGAGGCAGAAGGUGGUUUGCCAUUGGCUGUGACAUUGGCAGGAAGAUUGAUAAUAGUGUCAUUCAUUUGACACGAAUGUACGUUUUAAAGCAAAUGGGCAAAACAUUGGCUCUGUUAGGAAUAAAGAUGAGGAGUUUUUACAGAAAUUGCUUGAAUGCGCACACAUACCACGCUUUACUGGAGGUUAUUUUUUUUCCCUCUUGCUGAAACACAAUUUUUAUGCACCCAAGAGUUCCUUUCACAGGUUGUUUGUGUUUUUUUCGGUUAUGUCUACAGAUCUUAUCCUGUCAGAAAAAAUACACCACCUAUUCUUCACUGUCUGUCUUUUGAUCAUAAAGUUUGAAAACACCUAUAGUUUUUCCUCUUUGACCUCAUGAUCUGAGAAAACAAACAUCUUUAAGUUGAUGUUAACAGUCCAAACUGUGAGGGUCUCUAAUGCCAUGUUGAUUUUUGAGACCCUUUGGAUGAAUCAGGGGUGUUUAUUUCAAGAUCAAGACCGCAUUUCCCAUGAGCAUCACUGUUUUUGCACAUUGCGAUGCGGAAGGAAGACAUCGUUUUCUGUCUGCACACACUAUGGCAUUUAAUUUUUACGAACUAAAUCCACUAGUCUUGAGAGGUGGUUUCAACCUGGACCAAACCGAACAGUGGUCUUUUAGAUGUGAAAUACCCUUAGAAAGACAGUAAUAAUUCUAUGCCUGUGUUACAAGCCCAGGUUGAACUAUGUUAAAGGGAUAUUCCGGCGUAAAAUUAAGUUAGGGUCAAACGCACUGUAAAUGUUCUUCCUUGAGCUGCGUCACCCCACUGCAGUUGAUGGACUCGCCCGGAGGUCUCCGUACAAACAAGCUGCCGAUGGAAGAGAGUGGGUGAGUUGUGUUUAGUCUCUUUGCUAAAGAAAUUAGGCAAAGUUAAAGAGAUGUUUGGUGGCUAGUGCUGUGGCUAGGACCCUAUAUGUACUGUUGAUGAAGUUAGGUGCUGUUCUGAGCAUUAUUUGUGGCUUUAGAGUGGCUUUUUGGUCGAGCGCGUGGCUCUCUGUAUUGCUAUCUGUGGUCGUUACUAAAGUUAGUUUAACUAGAGAAGCAAGCGGUCGGCAACAUUCAUCUCCUAACUUAAUUUUAUGCUGAAAUAUCCCUUUAAGUAUGAUUUUAACCCAAUCUGACCAUAUGUAGGCGUCUCAACCGUAACCAAACAAAACAGCACAGCAAAAAGAGGACGAUGAAGCUGGCACAGCAAGAUUGAACUAUGAGACAGAGGAAAGCUCGUCAAGCCCUGGGUCAAGGCUCAACUUGCCCUGCCUUUGUGAUGUGUCAUCGAUGGGCGACACUGAAAAAAAGAUAAAUGUUGGUGACAAGUAGCUGACGAACUUCAACAACCUGGUGAGUAACUGCAGUUUGCAUGUCUGGGUGUUGUGUGGCCCAGCCCUUCUUCCCUCCAACAGCAUUACAUUGAUCAGUUAAGUGUCGCAUCGUGUGUGCUGGUCAAGUCACAGCACGAUCUUAUGGUCCUGUGACAGACUAAUCUGACACAUGUAGUGACAGACAGAAAGAUCGGAAAGUCUGACCUCGGCAUUAGCAUGCAGAUGAGGACGACCAGCCAACAUGUUCCUAAAGCCAAGAGCGAUGAGUGAGGGCUUUAGAGUCAGCGAUGAACCUCAGAGCUCCAUGAUUCACUCACUGAGUUCAGAGUCGAUGCUGAACAGACCGAGAUGAGGAAGCAACCAGCCAUUUAUUGGAAAGGCAGUUUGAUUCUGAAGCAAAAAUCCAGUUUUAAUUAUAACCUUUUUGUCAGCUGCUGAAUCAGGAGUGCAAAAGAAAGAGAUUCAUCACUUUAAAUACCAAGAUAUCUGUUGCACAAAAACAAAAAUAGGUGAUAUUUUUGUAGUUGUCUUGCACUCUGAUGAGACUCGUCCAUGUCUGAGGGCCGUUGGACUGUCAGAGUUUCUCGUUUUGGAAACCAUCAGACAACACAUGUUGAGUAUUAGUGCUUUUCAGCCUGCCCACUGCACUGUGUUUGAUUGUAUUGAGGAAGAAGCAUAAUGUUGUUUUGAACUGGACAAGAGCAGUCUGUUGAGAGCGUGGUCAUUGGGUGAAGACAUUAGUUACCCCCUCCCCAUUCACACAGCAUGCUCGCAGGAGCUGAAGCCGUCACCUAGCAACCAGCGAAAAAGUUUAGGGGAAAUUCCUGCAUGUGGUCACGCUCAGUAAAAGAAGAAGAUGAUUCGAAUUGUUCUACCGGGGCGACAGGCCGACUCUUAUUAACAUUUUAUGUCAGGAGAGGUUAGUUAGAAGAAAAGAUACAUUCAGACAGGUGUCUCUUCACUCUUGGUCUCCAUUCAAAAGGCAGGAAUCUGCUUUUGGAGGUAAAAACAGUAUUUAGCAUCUGUCUCCAAAUAAAAAGAGCUCAAAACUAAUUAAUGCCAUCUGAGAGAAGCGUGCAAAAAUGCUCCCGUGUCCUCGCAGUGUGGGACUUGUUCACAGUGGGGAAGGGGGACAGACAGAAAGAAAAUUAAUUUGAGACAGGAGCCGGCAGUGAAAAAGAGAGGAGGGGCAAAGACAGACUGAGUGAAAGAGAGGAAGAGAAAGAGUCCAGGGAAGCAGUUGAGUCUAGCCCAGGCAGGGUCCGCGGGUUCCCCCCGCGCUCCUCUGUUUACACACAGAGAAAAUUUCGGACAAUUUCACAGCUCUCUUUUCAGCGGCCAUUGAAAAGGGGACAGAUUCCUUCCUGGUUACUCACCCUCUAUCCAGUGAGAGGGGUUGCUAUCAUGGGAAAAUCCAAACCUUUGGCAUCCUCAGUGGGUUACCUCUCUCCAUCGUGUUAUAGCCUCAGUGCAAACAGCAGCCUUGCGUAAUGCCUGUGAAAUCUGUGUGUGCGUGAGGUUCAGGGCGCAUUGCUGGGAUUAAAUCAAACAGGACCUCUCAUUCAGGGGGUCCACUCUGCAGUGCCGGCUCUGUUUGCAUUCAUGUGCUUCUUUCAGGAAGGUCCAGUAGGAGCGUCUCUCUGUGUUUGCUCUGCCCCAAAGAAUGUAUACGCCAUUGUUUCUCAUAUGUGGGCUGACCCGGCCAGAUGCCAUAGCCACAAAAACCUUGUCUUCUUAAUCAGACAAGAGCUCAUAGGGGGCAAGGUGGCACAAUGCCAUUCACGCCCGCUGGAGGGAGGGCAGCACAGAGAGGAAGAGAGCGAGGUAAUCUUGGAUGGAUGAGGAGGAAAACUAGAUGGGUAAAAGGAUGGAAGUCCAGCCAGAGGAAACAACAACAAGACUGAGCUGUUGCUAUAUAUCAAGUAGAUGGAAGAGGCCCAGCUCACUUUAUGGUGCCCUUAAAUAUGCUUAAAGCAGCUCUGCUCUCACUGCCCUCCGUCUCUCCGACAGCAGCUAUGGGCCUCUUUAUGCCUCGCCCCAGGUGUCUCAUUACACAGCCACCUUAACACACACUCGGAGAACACACUCAUAUAGAGUAAUGACACUCUCAGCUGGUGUAAGCUGAACUGUUAGAAUAACAUUAGACCCAAGCACAAGAACAACCUCUAUUGCUAUUGCUCCAUACCCUGCCUGCCUUAUAUUUGUAUACAGCACUUUUUGCCUUCAACAGAUUUUACAGUGUUACAACCCAGGAGUCACAAAGAGUUAUUUGAGCAUUUUACCUUUGGAUUACUGAACUAAAGCACUUCAAAAAGCAGAAACCCCCCCUCCACUCUUUUAUGGAGGGGACUCCAGGCUGUUUUCAGACUAUUUCCAGAGGUCCUGACAUUUUCAUGUCUACUGGUUUAGGUUAGAGGGGGCACAUGAGUGCAAUGUGCAGAAAUGGGAAAUAGUGAGGGGGUCUGGGCUGAUAUCACCACAGCAUGUAAGGGGACAUAUCUGCAACUUAAACACAACAGUGGAAACAACGAAGAGGGAAGCAGAGAGGACAGCGCAGUGAAACUCAGACAUGAUGUCAUCCCAGUCAAAGUGCCAGAGCAUUAGCCUACCUGCUGUGUUCACACUCCGUGGUAACCUCCGGUCUGGAGAAAUGCAAUAUGAAAGCACUAAAACCUGUAGUUCGUUGAGGGUUCACUUGAGGCGGCUAAAAAAGAGCAACAUAUACUUUACAUCCAUUCUACAAAGCACCCAAAACACAUUCACUGUCUGGUUCAAGAAAGCACUUUGGUUUUAUUUCUCUUUCUAAACACACAGUAGUGGGCAGAUUUAUCUUUAACAGAUCAUCAGUUUUAAGGUUUUACGUUGAGAGUUUUGCGUAAGUAAAGUCAAAGCUGACUUGACUAACAGACGACACAAUGCAGCAGUUAACAAGGAGACUAAAAGCUGACCUCAGCUCAACCUCUUUGCAACCUCCAAGGUCGACUGUAAAUUAGGUUGAGUCAGCAUUUCCAAUAUGGCCACAGCCAUUGACAGGCUUCAAAACUCCACUUCAGAAACCAAUAGGAGACUUCACUCAGUGUGUUUACAUCAUAGACUGUAUAUACUAUGGACAACUUGGUUCUGCCUUCCACCAGUAUACUGAUUUGAAGCCGAAAAGCUCUCAGUAUUUCCAUGAUUUUUCUCCAUUUCCUGAAACCAGCAUUGCGUAGUAGCAUUGUACGCAUUCGGCGGGAGAGUCGCCGUGAUGAUGCUCUGCUCAAACAGCGUAUCCCCUGGGUGAGCUACACAAUCUUCGUACGCCCAUAGGCUGUAUCAGGUGUCAAUCAUAGAAAACGUGAACCCCCUAAUAACUUCUUAAAACGGAGCUGUACAGAAAAAAAGAGGACUUGAGCACAAACCAGUCUGACAGUAACUACAUGUCAACAUCACAACCAGGGGGGAGAAAAUUUUAUAUUCUGUGUAAUACAUUUCAUUUCUAAAGUUUGUCCACAGCUCCGUGGGGAUGGCUGGCGGAGGUGCGAUUUAGGGCUGCAGCUAUCGAUUAUUUUAGUAAUCGAGUACUCUAUCGAUUAAUCUGUCGAUUAAUCGAGUAAUCGGAUAAGAAAUGUUUUGCUCUCACUGUAAUACUUUGCAUUGAAUCACGUUUGCCUCAGAGCGGACUUAAUGCAUGGACCGGGUGUUUUCUUUUAAGGUGCUGCAGCAUUGACGACGUGCUGUUGUGAAACGCCAACUCCGCCUUACAGUGAACGCACUGCACGGCGUUUUCUUUCCUUUUCAGUGUGUAAUGGUCCCACACUUUAGACACUUUCUGCCGUUUCCUCUGCGUGUCAUCUCUUUCUUCCUCUCUCUGUCUGUCCUCGUUUCCCUCCAUGAUUGAACCAAACGCGCCAUAGACAUAAUAAAAGAUAGACCCCGCAUCGGCCGCUACCACGAAUGGGCGCUGUCGAGAAAUGCGGCCGCCAUCUUGGUCCGGUCAUCCGCCUCACUCUGCACCGCUGUUUAACCGGCGGAAUGAAGUCUGAGCGCAUUAAUGAAUCAUAGUUCGCUCAAUACUACGUAAUUUUCUUCUCUGCAAACGCCAUUCAAAGAGGCAUGAUAGAGGCCAUAUUUUUUUUGGGCGUUUUCAAAUACUCAGAAUGAAUAAAAUGAUAUUUUAGAACAUGGCAGCAGUGGCUGUAUUAUAGUAUAACAAUUAAUCAAGGAUAUAUUUAGGUUUAGAGCUAGGUUCCUGCUAUGUCUCAAUAAUUAUUAAUAACUGGCGGUAUUAAUAGGCCAAUUCAAUAUAUAUUGAUUUGAUUAUAAGUUUUUAUAUAGUUUAAUUUUAUUUAUCCAUUUGUAGACACACACAAAUAAUGUCAUAUAGAAGCACUAUUUUAAUAACUGGAAAAUACACACAAAUAUAUAGCCUACAUAUCAAAAAGAUUUAAACACAAGAACAGCAUGACAGGACAGCAUCUAAACUACAUAUCAAUUUGCUUGUUGGCUACACAGCACAGAUGAAUCACUUGCUGCGAAUUUCUCCCUCUAACAGCAAUCUCCCACUUCUUCCUCAAGUUUUUGUCCUUAGGAAAUCUUCAAAAUGAAACAGGAGAUCACCACAAAGAAGUCUUUAAUAAAACAGAUAAUAAAACAGAGCUCACUUUCUUCCUUUUUCUUUCUAUUUUAUUUCUUAACGUUUCUUAGAACCUCUCUCAAACAAAAGUUUUUCAAUCUAAUGCAAAUCUGUUGAUAAUCGACCAAAGUUGCUAUUAUUGUGAAUAAGCUAGCUGUUCGCAAAUGCCGUUUCCUUUUUGGAGUUGACCGAUAGUCUUCCUCUUUGGCCUACAAAUGACUCUACAGUCAAGUGUACUGUUUAAAAAAGGUUUAAUCAUAACUGUGAAAAGUUAUUCCUUGAGCCCUGUUCUCUGCUGUCCGCCUGUUGGCACAGGAAUACGCCGCACAGUGCUCCGGCAUCGCUGAAUGAAUGAAUAUGAUUGACCGGAGCGUAUGGGAAACUUGACCUGACCAAGAUGGCGGCCGCAUUUCUCGCUGCGCAGCACCCCCAGCGGGGUCUACCCUUUUAUUAUGUCUAUGAAACGCGCGGCAGCGGAAGGAGCGGAAAGAGCACGCUGCUGCGCAACAGAAAUAACCGUCCGUGUCAAACACCGUGCGCUGCACAUGGUUCCGGAUUUAAACGAUUCCUCGAGGCACAUAAUUUGCCUCGAGGAAUUUUAUUAAUCGAGUUACUCGAGUUACUCGAGUAAUCGUUUCAGCCCUAGUGCGAUUUAUGACCUAUACUGCAGCCCAUCAACAGAGGGUGCUGUUCUCGGGUCGGCUUCACCCAGCGAGGAGGCAGGUGGCGUCCAUUCUAUAUACGGUCUAUGGUUUACAUGCACAAUCAGGUAGAGCUGCGGUCACAGCUUGAUUAAGUGGACCUCUGUCCUGGCCCCUCUUUACAUGCACCGCGCAAGUAUUGAAGCAUGUCUACCUCCCCUGCAGCAGGUCGCGACAUGGUCCUUUCAGCUUGUUACCACUGGGUCGUCACCUGGUUGACCUACUAGGUAUCAAAACAGUCCGCGAAACAUGUAGGCAAGAAGCUACGGGGAUGUACGGUUUCCUAGCAACACAUCCAUGGUCUUCAAUCUCCGGCUCAAAGCCCGGCCAAUGGUCAAUGGUUACCAUGUCCAAAUCACCCUAACCUCACACAGUGUUUGUGUCAAGGUCUGAAAGCUAAAAGUCUGGGUUUUUUUGCCAUCUUCUGCUAACCUACAGACAAGCCUCCAGUUCUACCAAAGAUGAGCUGCCCACCUCGGCUGCUUCACUUGUUAUCUUAAACAGAGGAGUCUUUUCAAUCAAACCAGCCCCCCUGGAAGGUCUAUUUACUUUACAGUGUGCCACGUUUUUUUUUAUGCAUGAUUUUGACAUAAUGAGAGAGAAAAGCUGUUAAAAAAUGGCGCUGCCAGCCAAAUCUGCGCUGCCAGGUGUCCCAGAAAGCUUUGUGCGAUGAAGCAGACUGUUGCAACACACAAUGAACGGGGGCAGAUUUUUCUUUCGUGGCACUGUGCUGCGUGCGGUGGACCCACACUGUUACAAUGCUUAUGCGAGGCACUGUAUUAUCAUAAGAUUAUGGGAAACUUAAGUGCAUGUGUGCUUGUUGCAGUGCUUUCAAUAACAUUAUGGCCAUGAGCAAAAACAGUGGGGAUCUUCAGCUAAAUCCUACAAAGAAAGAACGAAGAGAUUUUGUGAGGGUUUAUGACUCAUUCACGUUACACUUGGAAAACUGGCCUUUGAAUCGAGGUAACCAGGUGUGCUUGGCAGAGGCCCUGUGUCCUUUUAUUGUUGAAUAUGCUGAAAGUUGGUGGAUUAUUAAUGUGGUUAGCAUGACUGGUGUGAGACAAUCUGAGGCGUAGCUCUGAGUCGGCCUUAUUGAUCGCUCUCAGCAUCAAACAGAGGAGGCAGCUGGGAGGCAGCAGGAGAUCUCGGGAUUGUCAAAGCCGGCGAGUGUACUUCCUCUCAUAUUCAGCUUUGUUUCUGUACUUCCCUCCAGCACCUCACCCCAAGUCCUCCUCCUCCUCCUCUUUCAGCAACUCUUCCUCCUCCCUCUCUCUCAGCAAUGACCACUCAGAACACUGGAGAGAUGUGAAGAGAAGGAGAGGAGUGGAUGAAAGAGCAAAACGAGAGGAAAGGGAGAGCACUUAGUCUGUAGGGCAUUAAUAAGCAUGGCUCUUGGCGAAGGAGCGCUUCCUACAUUCCCACACAAAAAAAAUACCCUUGCUAACACGCACAUGCACAAAUCCAGUCCCUCACACACUCAGUGAUGGUUGGCCACCUGCCAGUGGCUCCCCAGGGUUGAAAAGAAGGGAUGUGUAGUGCAGACUACAGCAGGAGUGGCUGUCUGAGGGAAUGGCAGAGUGUGUGGAGCACUGUGCCACUGUGGGACAGUCCAUUAUCCACACCCCUUGGUCUGCAUUUCAAUGGUUCCUGCCAGAAAAAAGAGAGCCAACACGUCAAGCAACAGGCGAAGGCUGCUCCUCCUGAGAAUCGAAGUGUCUGCACAUUCACAUUUCUUAGUUGGCUGCAUGAUUCAUAUUCAGGCGGAGUGAGAGCAGAAAUGUUGCUCCUGUUUUAAUGACCUCCCCUGUCAUCCGUCUUAUCUCCCCCCUUCAUGUAGAUGUGGCAUGUUUAGCAGGCAGAGACCUGACAGGGCUGAGAUGGCCUGUUUGACCCACCAGAACAAUAAGCUGUUGGCAUGACCACAUGCUGAACACCAUGGUAAUACAUUUGGCAAAUACCAGAGCAAGCCCCCUGUAUCAGCCCUACUCAGAGGGGCUCAGCCCUGCAUGUUUGGCCACCUGGCAGCUUUCCCCUCAUCCUGCCAGCCUGUUAUCAUCUUCAGGGAGAGACUUCACCUGGAAGAGGGCCAGCAGCAAAGUUACACAGAGGCCACAAAAUAAACACAAGUUACUACAGCAGAAAACAAGCAUGAAGAGAAAAACAUACUGGAGCAGAUUGGUCAGCAGGGACGCCCCUGUCUCUCUGAAAUUAAGUGAGCAGUUCACCAAAUCUCUGCCUUAAUCAAGCUUUAAUGAGACCAUAAUUGCUGUCUAGGUUAAGUGUCCUGACCACAGUUUUUUGAGAGAACAGAAUUCUCGAUCCAUGUGAGGUGCUGGAGGUAUAUCAAAGGCAGUGGUCAGUAUGAAGUGUGGAUGUUGACAGGUUUUGAGAUGCACUGUAGGAAAAACUGUCCUCAGCUUGUAUUUAUCUGCUGCCAAAGUCAGGAGCAAAGUCACCUGAGAGUAAGUGCCACACAAGCAAAAGGGCCGUGUUGUCAUUGAUCAUAAACCCUACACUGCAUGGCUGUAGUCUCAGUGACAUAGCCCUUUGGUUUCUGAGAGUUUUGAAGUCAUCUAUCGAUGGUGGCUGUCAUAUGGAAAAUGCUGACUCAGCCUAACUUUCUGUUGACUUAAAACAUUAAGAGGUGGAGUUGAGGCUAAUCUUCAGCCUCCUUACUAGUAGUCACAGUGUGCCUGCCUGUCAGUCAAGCCAGCUGUGCGUCAUGCCUGUAUGACCUGUAUAGUGUAUGCAGAUAGAAAAAAAGAACUAUGCAGACAAAAAGGAUUUUAAAACCAGGCUGUAAACUUGUCUAUUUUUGCUGUAAAGACUGACUUCUUAGGAUGGUAUGUAGCUACAGGUGUUUUUAUUGGAUACACAAUGAACUGCAGUUUUUAGCUCCCAUAUUGGCUUCAUUUCUAAAGACCAGAGGUUGCUGAUUGAUGGUCAUUCAACAUCUUCAAUCAAGACUCCUGUUUGUACUCCUUUUUUCUGUUCCUGCACCCUAAUGCUUAAUUUUAGGGAGCAAAAUCACUUUGGGUACAUUUUGGUAAUGUUUUGGCACAAAUACAAUUGGCUUGGGUAAGAAUAAAUUGUAUUUUGGUCAGAUUUUAGGAACCAUAAAACCUUGUGUUGUAAGUGACUACUUUUUUUUCAGUUUUGGAUAUAGUCAAACUAACCUGAAAAUUGCUGCUGUCACUACAGAUUCCCCAUCAUAUACUACCUUGAUGUUCAUUUGUGCUGAUUUUAAAAUUAAUUUAAACUUUUGAUUAAUUUUGAUACAUUAACCUCAAGGAAACUAAAGUAUCAUUGUCUUGCCCAAGGAGAUAUUGACGUGGAGAAGAUGAGGAUCGAGCUGCCGACUCUCUGACUGGUAGACAACCAGCACGUCCACUGGGCCCUCACCAGGUAUGUGAAUAAAUGUCACCAUGUAUAAUAAGAUUCAAGAGGAAAAGAGAGUUAUUCUUGAGUAAACUUGUCAUGUUGGUUGGAAUAUGAAUACAAUGUCUUGGAGACAGGUAGGUGGAAAGAGAGAGAGAGGCCACAUACAAAACCACAGACAGUCAGGAGUUGUUUUGACAGAAUGAAGAGGAAAUCUUUUAACCUCAUCACAACCCCCCCACUCAUCUUUUAAUCACACAAUAAAGAGCUUUCUGAGAAUUUUGAGUCGAUCAAGUAGAAAAAUGGGAGAAGUAGAAAAACAUAUAAUCAUUUUAUCAGCUUUCAGUUUCACACUUACUUAAAGAGCAUCUUUAAUGCCAUUUAUCAGUUCACAUGGAGCUUUUGAUUCCACUAAUAAUCUGAAAAAGAGCUUAAUCACGACACAACGCCUGAUUAAUACGUCUCAUCUCAAUAAAAAUGUUCCACUCCUAAAAAUGAGCUUUUUUCUUUUUAAUUCCCUCUUGUUACAGAAUGAACUUCCUGCAAUUUUCACAUCAUUUUGAUAACUCUCUUUUAUUACAAUCUGUACUUUUGCCUUACCUCCUGCCUCGCUGGCGCUCAUGGGAGGAGCGCACAACUCUGCUCCUAAUAUAUAUAUAUAUAUAUAUAUGACUUUUUUCACAUUUAUUAAUACUUUCAACCACUUUUCUGAGCUUACACUGGGGUGGAUGUCAAACAAAGCAUUUGAAGUGCAAACCAGUCCAGCACAGACCUCCACUCCUCCUUCUCUGUUGUCUUAUAUCCUGUACAACCUCCACCUAGCUGUGUCUUAGGAACUUGUACAUCUUCAGGAGUAUUUUUGUUGUUGUGCUUUGUUGGUCUGGCUUGUGAAUGCUUGACUUCACUGCUUAAUAUUGUGAUUUUGGUUUCCAGUGGUUCUGCAACGUUUGGUCCAUAUCUUUGAGCUCCCAGAAAAUAUUCAGAAAUAUGGACAAAAUGAGAAAAAAGUCAGUAUUUGUACGUGGAUGUAGGGCUUAAACGGCGCUGUAGGGGAACCAUCCACUCCACACUAAAUUUGACAGAGUGGUACAUUCUGUUAAUGCAGGCGCCUCCGUGGAAAAGCACCAAAAGUACUGCUGAAAACAUGAUGUUGAGUUUGUAGUGGGUUAUUAUGCAGACUGAAAUCAACUCUGAUGUCCUACAAAAGCAAACAGCACUAAAAGCAAAAAGAGUGACAGUGUCUAUAUCAUGAUUCUAAUGCCUGUAGCCGCUGUGAGGGGGUUGGUGUCAGACCAGACAACUGACAGAAAGCUGGAGGAAAAGCCUUUAUUUACUUCUCCACAUCAAACAGUCAAAGUUAGUGAAACAUUUGACUGCUAAAAGACAGAAAGAUGAUAUGUUAAUGCCAGAAAACUCUAUUUCACAUGUACAGGAUGAGACAAAUAUAGUCUUUUAAUGCUUUCUUUUGAUCAGCUGUAUGAUUUCUGAGUAUUUUAUAUAUUCAAAAAUGAGUCGUAUUGGUGGAAAAAAUGUCAGACUGUGUUACUGUAUGAAUGACUAUUCUAAUCCUGUAACUAAAUACAGCCAGGAGAAGUGUCAAUCACAUUUAUUUGAGAUAGUAAUUGGGAAAAAAAAGCUACAAACUGUAUAACAUUUACAGCAGAGUAUGUCCCUGCACUGUAGCACACAGCUCACUGUAAGGAAAGAUAAAACCAAAAGGGGAGCUCCUUAGAAGAGAUAAAGAGACUUUGUUGGCAUCCCCCCCAGGGAGUCAUUUUAGUGUGAAGUGGCUGGAGCAGUCUUUAAUUUAUUAUUGAUCUCCAGCUUCCAUCAGACUUGUCCGUUUGUACAUUAAAGAGGGACUAUUAUGUCCCUUCAAAGCGUCCCCUGUCAUUUAAAAGGCAUUUGGCUUUUUUAUUGGUGUGUAGGAUAGAUUUUCAGCCAUGAGAGGGACAGGCGGUGUUCAGCUAAAUUAAAUGUUUGUAAAGGACAUUUCAGAGGAACAAUACGAGCUCGGCCAGAUAGCAACACUACUAUACUUGUGUUCAUUAAAGAUUUAACAGGCUGUUUGUUUGCCUUUGUAACUCUGCAAUACAAGAUUAAACGAUCCAUAUUCCUAUCCCACACUGGUUUGCACAUGACUUCCAGAGGUCUUUUUCUCCAUGUCCUCAGUUCUCAUUCCUCUAUAUCUUAUCAUCAGGGGGGAGUAUGGUAGAAUAUUCAGGAGCUAUGGAGAAAAUGUUCAAAGGUACAAUAUGCAACCUGUUGCUCCAAGGCCGACAUUGUGCAUAUAAAACUCUGACCUCCAACCUCUCCAACAGCUACGUUUGGACACUUAUUACAAACAGCAUGAUGAGAUGAUCUCCUGCCUCGGGCUGAUUUACUCGUGCAGCAUGGAAACAUCAAGCGCAGCAGAUGUUGAACGCACAUGAUGUGUAAUAAAAAGAUAAAUCAAUCCUGAUCGUAUUUCAUAAACAUAAGUUUAUUUACUUCUCUCUUCUAUCAUGUCUUACAGAUUGCAGCCUGUUUCUAUCCCUGUAUUGCUUUUUUUUAUAUGAUAUAACUUUUCUGGACUUUCCUCAGCGAACACAAACUCAAUAACUUUGUGUUACAACAAGGUGUAAGACAAUGUUCCUCCCCUGGUACCAAGCAGCAGAGGAGGCACUGAGGUGUCACUCCUCAAAAUGAACAACUCUAAAGCCAGAUGAGAAUUUCAGCUUCACAAGAUUCAGAGCUUGCAUUAAAUGCCAGCCUUUUUUUUUGCACUCAAUACCUAUAUUUUUAUGGCAACAGCGGUUCAGAUAAAGACUUGAGAUUAAUAAUCUGAGUAAAAGACGGAGAAAGAGGAUGAAAACUUUAAAAAAAUGAUGACCCAAAACUUGAUGCAUUCAGUUUUGAAAAGAAGAGACUGCAACUGCGUACUUUGUCCACAAGGAUCAUGGACAUUAUUAUCCAAAAAUCCUCACAGUGGCUUUAAAGUUAAUCGCACAGUCUGUAUUUAAAGAACCACCACAGAAAAAAAGUUUAAGAACAUUAACUUAAGCUAACCCGAGCUUUAUCUGUGGGAUCGUCCGACGGUCUAUGACCAAUCCGCCAAAACUUGCAUCAUUUAUUGUCUCAUAUUGAGGAGUCUUUUCAAUUAAAUCUGCACGCCACAAGAUUCAUUUACUCAACAGAAUACCACAGUUUUCUCUAAAUGCAUGAUUAUGAGCUAAUGAGGGAGAAAAGCUGUUAUAAGGUGACGCUGCCAGACUCGUCUUUCCCUCUAUGUAUCCAACAUGCUUUGGCAGUAAAGUGGUCGCUUGCUUCUCAAGUACUAUCGUCUUAGUAGAAUCCUGUAAUACCUCUCUCAGACUUGUAUGCCGGUGUACUGGUGCAGCGGUGCAUAGAGGGAACUUUAGAGGACAAAAAGGCAUAAAAAGAUGGAUUUUGACUCUAGAAUAAGGUCCACAUUUGGUGCUUGACUCCAGUGCCCAUCAUGUAAUUUCAGAUUAGCACAGACACACACUUUUUUCAUGCUUUAUUUAUAAUUAUCUGUAUCUACUUUGCCAGUCUCGACAUGUAGCUCUUGGUGAAUAUUGCACCGCACAGUUUGGAAAUAUCUCACAUGCAUUAAACAUGGACUCUAAUGAACGUGACCAAUUUGGUGCCAGCUUGCUUUGAUCUCCAUGAGGGAUCUUUGAACAUAAUUAUUCAUAAUCUCUCUUCUGUGUGUAUGGGUAUGUAAUGUGCAUGUGUUGGACCCCGCUCCGCUCUGCUCUGCUCUGCUCGCUGGCUGCUCUGAGCUCUGGUGCGUAGUAAGACAGAGCCCCUCUGUCAGUUCACGUCCCGCCUCCCCUCGUGUUCACAUCGAGGGGUGUGUGGAGGCCAAGCCAUCUGCCAGCUCCGCAUCUAGUGUGGAAUCCAUCAUUUAGGCGCCUUAAAUGACCCAUGAGGACACGUUGCCACCAGGAAGCAAUAGCUAGCCCGCCAACUAGCAAGCGAGCAUGUUAGCCAGUUGAGAAAAAGUCCAGCAGCUGAAUACAUUUGGAGAAGUGGAGUUUUCAGAGAGGUAAUCACGGUUUUUCACCAUGAAAAGAGAGCAGAAGGGCAAGCAGAGGGUCUGGCUGAGAGGGUAAUGGGGCUAAUAGGACUGGUAAAUGAAAAGCCGGAUGAUGAUAACAGAGCAGCUGAUUCUAUCUACGCUCAUAUAUAACCCCUCUGAAUGUGUGUGUGAGUGUGUGUGUGUGUGUGUGUGAGAGAGAGAGUGGCAAAGAAUAGAAGCCAAGAACUGAAGAGCAGGGAGUGGUACGAAGGCCAGAGACCUCCCUCUGGACUGGAUGAAUCCUUCACAGUUCUGAGAGCUUUAUGAAACAUUCAUGAUGGACGUCAUUUCUUGCUGUUUCUCCAUCAUUGUCUCUCCGCCUCUGUGUUUGACUCACUGUUUCUUUCUAUCAGAUAAAAGCAUAAAUAUGAAUGGACUAAAAUUACUCACCUGCCUGCUUCUUUGGCUGUUUUUAUUUUUACAGCACAUCAGAUUUGCUUUUAUUUUUUUCUGACUCCUGCAGAUUGAAUUCUGCCAAUGGAGGUGAAUAAUUCAUCCCUGUAUUAAACUCAAUUUUUCACACACAAACGCACAAACACUUAAAUAUAGAAGUGAGAGGAUCUGACUGGUUUUUGAAUUGGGCAACUUGUUUUUAUGGUUUAUUUACAACUCACCGGAGCUGCUUUAUGAUCUGAGGUUUUGAAGCAACACUCACACACAUGCACACACACAUUCGUGCACACACACAUUCGUGCACACACACAUUCAUGCACACACACAUUCAUGCACAUACAUGUGCGGCUAAGUGCACUGUCAACAAACAAGGGAUCAGUCUCUUCCCCAUCUGCUGAGUGUGCCAGUUUGCCGCAGGCAUUAAGACACCUUUAGAUGCUUCACAAACACACACACACAUACUUACACACACUUGCGCAUGGCAGUAGAAAGAAAGUCAUACCACAAUAGCAUAUUUAGUUCAAAACUGGAGCAGACAGCCCAGUAACAAGAGGCAUAAAUUACUCCGUCUUCCCAUAGGAGACAAUCUUGAAGAAAAAUGUAAAUGAGACUCCAUGGAGACAGAAAAGAUUUCAGCAAAAUGUGGCGAUCAUCUCCCCAAAACAUUAUCUCCUGGAAGACCUACGCCUUUCUCAAAAGUUCACGUCUUUGAUCCCGAUUCUGUGUUCAAUUCUUACAACAAGAAAACAAGCAUUAAUUCUAAAAAUGUAAAAAGUGGCAGUAAACGCAAAACAAUGCAAACUACCCCAGCUGCCACACCCCAAAAGACCGCCUGAUUCAAUCAAUAAUUUUUGGCCAUGAGCCGAAUCAUCUGCCAUCCAAAGCAAAUAUAUUCCACCGUUUGUGCUCAAGCUGCAUCAGAUGGCACCAUAAUCAUUGGGAAGUAAGCCAGCUCAGGCUGUGGUGGUAAUUGUGGCUGCUUUCUUGCUUUGAUCUCUUUCCAGCUCAUGUGCGUUGACACUGUCUGAAGCCCAGAACCCCGCGUCUAAAUGGGAUUGGACAGUUCUUGUAUCAUGACCUCACUCCUGCUCAGUAUGACAGCACAUUGGUGGAUUGCUGUCAGUCUGCUCCCAUUAGCUCACCUACCGUAUGGAUUUUUUCCCUACAGCUUUAGAUGGCUUCUAUUUUAUGAAACGCAGCUCUCAUCCCAUUUUGUUUGAUUAGUCUGAAUCAUCAUCCUACAUUUUGAAAUCAAUACUGUUACCCUCGCCUGUCUGAUGGGUGGCACGGACACAAAAACAUGUCUGCUGAGAUUUGAACUGAACUGAUCCAGUAAUGUUUUCAACUGAUGCCAGCGGGGCUCGAGUCGGAUGGCAUCUCUACAUACCAGGGACGAUAAAACAUGUUUGGGGCAAUCAGAGAUGUCCCCCAGGACCCCUGCAGGAAAAAAGGCACUUUGGUUUGCGUACAGUAUGUCUAUUACGGUACCUACUGCUUUGCAAACGAGAGCUAAACGUUGUCACUAUGUUCACUCACUAUCAUUGGCUUGCUACUCAGCAUGAGAACCAUGAAGAUUCUGAAAUGCUGCUGCAGCAUCUGCCCUCCUAUCCUCUUAAAGACAAACUGCUGUGUCUCUUUCAGUGAGCCUGAGUACACAUGAGAUCCCUGAGAGACAGAAACAGGUUAACUGAUGUAAGGCGCCAUCACGCAUUAUGAAAUGCACUGGGACACAAAUAAUGCACUGUUAGGAGAAUAAUGUAAAAGUGCAAAGGCAUGAUGAUGCUUUGUUACAACCCUGUGCAACAGUCCCAAUUUUGGAUGACCUCUUCCCUGGCUAAAGCUGUCUCUGGAAAUGUAGCCGAUUUAAGCGUUUUCUGAAUGAGAACAAAAAUGUUGUGUGUAGAUUAGAACAAUGGUUAUUAUGGUAGCCGAGUGGGUAGAAAGCACAAGUAAGCAUGUUGCGCAAAGUCUUGAACAACAGUAUUAAUACAAGGGGGGUCUGCGCUGCUGCUAAGUAGUACAGAGAUGUUGUCUGUGAACCCCCCCUGCUCUCCAGAAAUAAAGGGCCUGGAAUCACAUCUUGCUUAGCACCCCCACCCUCUGGAUGUUCCCAGAUUUCAUUACAGAAAUCUGGUUACCUUACUGUGCAACAUAGGACAAAGUAUUAGAAGUAUCAAGGUUAGUUUUCUAGAGCCAAAGGUGUUCAUAUUUGGAUCAAUUUCACACCUCAAUCCUAGUCAACCACACCAGAAAAUCAUAUUUCAUCAAUCAGCCAAUCUUCAUCCAGUUCAUAACAAAUGCUAAUUGCACCAAGUUCGAUCAUAUUGUGAGAUUUUUUUUUAAUGCUUGCAUUCAGAGGUAGACGACUGGGAGAAGAGAGUGAAGAACAACACGCUAUGAACAUGAGGCUGGCCAGAGUGGUGUCCUGCAUUUCUGAAAGAAAAAAAAAACUCAGACUGUGUUGAAAUGUCAAAUCAGGAAAAUGUUGCUAGUACUUAAAACAUUGAAACACUAGCUAACUCCAAUUUGGAGAAAAACCAUCUGCCUGUUGUGCCGCCACACAGUUAGUCAUUAGAGAGAUUUGGAGUUUGAGGCACUGCUGCUUCAGCCUGAAGCUAAGUCUACUUCUUGUGAACUGUUUACUGUCAGACUAUCAGAAUUAACCCGGAGUGAGUGUCUCUUUUUUACUUACUUUAUAACUUUAAACUGUAGCACAACUUUGAAGAAUUUUGCUGCUUAAUUGAAAGUUUCCUGAUCUAUUAAUCUUAUCGGUUACAUGCAUAAGGAUUACCAGGUGACUUGUCGUGAGGGGCUUAUCCGCUGUUUAACAGGUCACAGGAGUCCAGCUGGCUAAGCCCUUUAGCUUCUGACCAGAUGCUCCCCCUGACGUGAUGUGACUCCUGAUACUGACUUCAAGCUUACAACACCUACACCUGGCUAAGCUUACUACCACUCUGCUGCUAGUGUGUGUCCGUGUGUGUGUGUUUCUGGACAUAACGACAAGCAGCCAUGUGUGUUAUAGUGUUAUCCAUCUGUACUGUAUCUGCAUGGCUGACUGCUUAGUAUUCCCAGGUGUUGUGCGCUAAGCUGCAUGUAGCUACAGAAGAAAAAAAAUGGGCAAGUUGGCAAAGGGCUGUGAAUAAUACAUGUGCUGUUGAAUUACAUCUUGACACAGUUAGGAAAAUGUCCAAUAAACUUCCACUACAAGCUACAAAAAGUCUGUUUUUGCCUGCCUGUGCAGUUUAUGUGUGUGUGUAAGCACUUGCAGGUGUGUCUGUGGAAUGGUAGCUAGUUGCAGGUAAUGGUGUGUGACAGCGGAGCAGCUGACAACAUGGCAGGGACUGGGAGGGCAACCAGCAGCAGAGCAGAGUAAACAGUGAGGGACCUGCAUCCCCAUCCUGCUGCAGAGUCUGCAAGCGUGCAGCCAUUCAAUUUACUCACGGCACUAAUGCAAUUAUAGCCACAGUAAUUUACAAUGUCUAAGAGGGUGCUGUCUCUGUUUGUGUGCGAGUUUGUGUGUUUAAUUAGUCAUGCUGGACCUGCUGCCUUGUGAGAGAGAUGUUGUGUGUCUAUAGAUCUGCUUGUUAGUGUGUUGGUUAGUAUAGCAGUUGUCUUACUGCCUUUGCAUGUGUGAGUGCUUGUUCCUACGUGUUGUAAAUGUACAUGUGUGUGUUUUGCAGUCUCCUGAAACUUAUGUCUAUGCCAGUGUUUGUGUGUGUGUGUGUGUGUGUGUGUGUGUGUGUGUGUGUGUGUGUGUGAAGGUGUGUGCAUGUGUACACAACACCAUCUGCCUGUGACUGUGGAGCUAAAAUCCCUGAUAGCCUCUCGUCCCCAUUUCAGAAACAGCUGAUCAGUCAUCCAACUAGCUGUCUGGCAGCUACAUCAAAGACGGAGUUGUCUCUAGAGAGGCAUGUGUUACACACUCAGCCACAUCACCUGCAACAACACAUUCACUGGUAGAAUAUCAGCAGAUUGUUUGGAGCAGAGUGGCAGUGGCUACCACUGAGAGGAGCAGCUUUGAAUAUGGAAGUGUCAUGUGGGGCAAAGUUGGUGUCUGACUUCCAAAACAAAAUGUUCUGAUAGCUCUGUGAACUGUUGCACUCGGCUACUCAGUAACACAAAGUGCCUGUCCAAUUUCAUUAUAAUGUGACUGCUGUUGCAGUUCCAGCAAUUUCAAGUUCAAAACUUUAUUGUGAAAUCCCCACUGGGCAAAUUCAGUUUUCUCAAAGGCUGUGCCAAAAUGACUCCACAACUUCAAGCUUUAAAAAAAAAAAAAAAGGUUAUUCAGUGUGCAUGGUAUCAUAUAUGAGUUAGACACUGAGUUGAUCUGUUUUAAUAUGACUAUAAAGUUUUUGCAAAAUGUUUAGUCGCCCUAAAUUAUGAAGGCAAUAAAACACUAACAGCUGUUUAAGAUGAGACUGUUUUGAUGUGGGAUAAACUCUGGAAACAGAUCACAGUAUGUAUGGUCUGUGGUUUAUCCUAAGUAAUAUGACAGCGCUUGGGGGAACUUAUGAAGUUGGAAAGUUAAAAUUCAAUUUUCAAUCUAAAAAGAGCCUCCACACUCACUUUUAGGAUUAAGUGAGAAUCUGAAGUUUCAAAAAUGUCAAAGUGAAUAAAACCAAAACUUUUAAAGCUAACACUGACACAAGAGAUUCAGAACAAAUGAUGUGAAAGAGUUUAUUUUUGCUGUGUGUGCUAAGCAUGGGUGCACCUGCUCACACAGUACCUGGUCCAGAAUGUAUCUUGAUUUUUAAGUCCCAGCUCUUUUUGUAAUUGGUAGACAACACUUACAAUUUCUUGUCCAUUAUUAGAUUGUAUAAAACUUUGCUUUUACAAAUCAUAGCCCAGAUUUUUUUAAAAGUUUUCAACAGUUUGGGAGAAAGAUACUGAUAAUGAAGCCUCUUUAUGAUCUUCAAAUCCAAUAAAGCCAUCAGCAACAUGUCUGAUAAUUUCAGUGUAGUAAUUGUUGUUUGAUAAAAAACACUGCAGGCUUAAAAUACAGCUUCUUUUGACUUUUUUUCAUAGCAAAACACAGUGAGUGAUAUAUUUCCUCAUUAAAAGACAACAGGGUGAGGUUUUUGUUUGAAAACACUAUUAUCAUAUGUAAAGGACAAUAGAGAACAUGUAAGACUUUGUCUACAGAGGGCCGAAAUAUCAACAUGGAUCAUUAUGGAUUAAUUUCAGCACCCUAUUUUUGUCUUAUCCCUGCUCUUUGUCUAUUGUUGUAGUUCACUGGAGAUUCAAAGUGUUUCCAGAAAGUGGAAACUUGGAUUUUAAGAACUUUUUGUUCAGCAGGUGUUUGGAUUGGUACAUACCCCGGGUCACCCCUUGACAUCUACUCAGUGGGGCAUCAAACCUAAAUUUGUUUUCUAAUGUUUUGCACUUUUAUAAAGUUCCUUCACUUUAAUCAACAAGUUUAAUAUUUCAAAGAAUACCAACUGCACAUAUAAAGCAUAUUUAUUUCAUUGCAGCUCUCAUAAUGUUCUUGGAGAGUAUAAGCUGCUCUGCUUACCUCACAUGAACUCCAGGUCAUCCCUGCUCAGCCACUAGUGAACUGUUUGACAUCUACACUGAGAGAGAUUGGCCAGAGUGUCACCGGUAUCCUCUGAGCUCUAUCCGAGCACGGCCCAGCUCUGGCCCUGCUCCAGUUAGAGACAUAUUAUUAGCCUCUACCUUAGCCCAGCACCUAGUCUGCAUCAGGGAAUUACCUCACACAGACCACGCUAAUUAAAUCUCCCAGACGCCCUGGCUCUUAAUAAAGCUUGACAUGACAGCUUGGCCUGUGCAUGUCACAGUGACCCCACAACCCGGAAGCUGCCUUCGGUGCUUGUAAUCGUGUGUGUGAACGCUGUGUGUGUGUGACAUUCAGGCGGAGGGGUUCUGCCACUAGGGGGGAAGGGUCAGACACCUGUCUCCAACUCAAAGAGAGGUCACUUCCCGGGGUAUGGGAACGACCGUGACUCAGCAGAGGGCGACUACAUUAGCAAUACAAAUCCUACCAAGGGGGGGAGGAGCAUCUGAUUAGUAUUUUUCUAUGUUGACGCCAUUACUUCAUGUUGAAUUGUAAUCUUUGUACAAACAUUUGGUGGAUCUCAAAGGAUCAGUUUUAGUCAGUUUUCGUGUGCAGUGUGAAAUUCUUAAGGAUUAGACCAAAGGGAGCCAGUCUAUCUCCUCAUGUGGAAACAGUAUGCACCUAACAAAUUGUUUUGAACUGUUCAGCUAUCGACAUGGAGUCAGCCUGCAGCUGUUUGUGCUAUCUAGUGUCCACUUAACAUGAGUCUCUUGUUUUCCACAAGGUUGAACUCACAUGAAAGCUUUUGGAUGGAUGGAUGAUAGAUGGAUAGAUGGCCGGGCGAGCUGUCGGAUAAACAACAUACUGAGUCGUGCGGUGACGCGGACUUUGAGGCAGAAAUAUAAACAGGCAGAGUGUGGUGACAUCUGUUUAAAAGAGAAAACCCUCUCAACAGCUUUUGUGGAUUAACAUAAAUGAUUAAACCCUGUUAGCAGGAUAAACAAGUUAAACAUAGCAGCGUGUGCUUGUGUGUUUGUGUGUUUCUGUGUCAGCGCUCUCUCUGCUGCCAAAACCUGGCACUGUCUCAUCCAGGGUGCACGGUCAGGUAACGAAACAAAGACAAGUCCGGUAUCUUUUCUGCCUCAUUUUCUAACAUUAACACCACAGUUAAAGCCCUCCUACAGAUUACACUUGGUAAUUUUUCAUAAUACACCUACUGUGUUACCUUUCCUGAGUGAUGUGGGAGGUUGUUUUUGAUGUUAUGUAUAACUGAGAACAUUCAGAUCCAUUUCAGAGCAAACGCUGAUAACAGUGAUUAGAAAGUGUGGAGACGCAUUCGUUCGGCUGCGCGGAGAAAUCUUAGCCUACUGACCUGGAUUAGAGGGAGUGUGAUUGCAUAUUCACCGCUCAACAAAAAAACAAACUUAAUGUGUCGAGGGCCAUGAGCAGCAAAUCAAGACUGCAUUGUUGAUUAGCAAAUCAGCUUCAUUACAGAAUCCUCCUUAUACUCUGUUUGAUCGGCUCUGCCGUGUAUUUAUAAAUCUACAGAAAAUUUAUACCAAGUGAUAAUUAGUUGAAUCAUAUUAGGGGAUGCAAUUACAGCGCUGUCGGAAAAAAAAAAAAACAGGUAAACUGGGUCAUGUGCUAUAAGAAAUGCUUUGACCUAUAUUCAGAGAAUCUUAAAGAGCCACUCUUUCCAAACACAAGGAAUUUAAAAUAUUUAUAACGCCACGGGUAUGGGCCUGUUCCCGCGUCUCUGUCGUCUUCCUGGUGCACUGAGUGUUUGUUUAGCUGCUUCUUUUUAUAAAGGUCUCCCAGCUCUAGACAGCAAAGAUAGAUUGCUCUGAAUGGGCGUCUGUGCCAGCAUGCAGUGCCCAUUCUAAUUCAGAGCCCGGCUGCCACACCCACAGCUGCUGCUUGCUGCUGCUGCCGCUGCUGCUGCCUGGGGCCAGAGAGGGAGAGAGCAGCAGGAUGGAGUGGAGCAGCGGUGAACUAUGGCUGCACGGGGGCCAGACUGAGAAUAUAGGUCAUCCAGCCCCGCAGAUGAAAGAUGCAUGGCUGCCAGGGUGGAGAUGGAGUAAAUAUAGAGAUGCUUCCAGCUCCUCAGCGUGGGCAGUUAAGAUGACCACAGGGAGGGAUAGGAGAGGGCAUGUGCAGGGUAUGUGGGGUAGGAAGGAUGAGAGUGGGAGUGGCAUGUGAGCAGAGGGGAAUGCAGGAAAUUCAGUGCAGGGGAGAGGCGCGGGUGGGGUGUGUGCUGUGGGUGAAUGAGACUCACAGGAACAGAAGUGUGUGAAUGUUUGUGGGAACUAGUAUCAAAUGCUCUUUCUUACUGGUGAAGGGGAAAUAGAAAAAGCAGACUCCCCUCCUUGGAGCAGCUGCGUCUGGGGCACAAUAUCGUCCUCUGUUCGCCUGUGGCUGGUGGUGAUCGAGGGGCCGAGUGUAAAGAUCACACUCACUGAGCACAUUUUCUUUUGUUUUCUUUGUGAGUCAAGAUGAUGCGGUCGACUUCCAGGGCUCAGAGCUGCACUGUAAACUCAUUAACACGAGUCAAAUGAGACCUAAAAGAGCAGAUUUGUCCAAUAUAGGCAAGACUUCCUUGUUUUCGGUUGUCAAAUCGUCUCUCCCAAAGUUUAGAUAAAUCUGUUGAGGAGAGUUUUAGUAAGGAUGUGAAUGGAGCUUUGCUAGUAAGCUUGUGGUAUUGAAAAAAAAACUGCAACUUUAUCUGAAAAACAGACUUGCAGUACUUUUCAGUGAGGAAAUAGUCCCCCAAAAUCUUUUCUCAUGAACUCUGGGUGAGGCACAGGGAUACUUUCUUGGGGAGAGAUGUUGCUAUAGACAUUUUAAACAUAAAAUUGUUAUUUUUGAGCAACACAUGUGAUAAAAACAUCCACCCCAACAGAAUUAAAAACUAUCACAGCUGGUUUUACCGGUUUGCUCUCAAAGAUCGUUCCCCUGAAUCUUUGUCUACACUUUCAAAUUCUUUAAAUCUUAACACACAUUAAAAAUGUAAGGGACCCAACACUUGGUGACAAAUAAUGACCAUUUUUAACCCCCCUGUUUUACAGUAUAAUGAGAGCAGUACAGCACACCACACACACACAGAUUCUGUGUUGCAACAUGCAAAACUAGAAAUCUCAUUACGUCCCUCAAGAUCAAACGUGACUUAAGAGUAAACAAACAACGCAGAUGACAGGCUAAAUAAUGCAAGCUGUUUAGCCACCCUCACAUGUCAAGUCGUGUAGUGACUCUUUCAACUCUUUCCCCUCUCUGUUUGGUUGAGCUAUGGUUUACAGAAACACAGCUGUGACAAAUGAACAGGGUUAUCCUCCAUUUCUGAUGUCCAUGACUCUAUGCGUUGUGUGUUUACUAUUAUCACCAUCACUAUGUUUGUUGUGAAUUCUGAUUGGCUAUCAAAUGUUCCUCUUAUUGUCUUUUUAGGGUAAAAUUUAUAGAUCACUUUAAAUAUUUGCUGUAGAAAUAGUAACGAAGGCUGUUUUUUUUCUGUGUACCUAACCCUCACAAGUAUUACAGGCAUUAGAAAUGAAAAUGUAGAAGAUCUCACUCUCGUUGAAAAUGGUCUCCUUUGCUGUUUUACAUCAUAAAAUGCAUCACUGCUCAUUUCAGCCCGUUUCAUGAACAAUCAAGUAGAUUUAAAGCUCUUGUGUGUAGUUUUUUGAUGUUUAGGAAUAAACCCAAACAUUUUUAAGCCUUUUCAUAGUAAUACGGAAAAAAAAUAAUAAUAAUAACAACACACAGGACCAUCAGCAACAAUAUUGAUAAUUUUUGUUUUGUGUUUUUUUUUUUUUAUGCCUGGAGCCAACGCAAGGGGGUAGGUGUCUGCCAAGCAGCUAAAGAAGCAGCCCUGUUUUUACACUUUCCACCUAAAAUACAGUUUUUCUUGUUUGAAGACACUACUUGAGUAUGUAGAUGACAAAAAAGGGAAAUCCUGCUUUGUCCACAGGGUGCCAAAAUUGACACAUACCAAAAGUUCCCCACAGGAGCUGUUUUAUAUUAAUGGUUUAAUGAUUUUCAUGCAAUAUUGUAAAAAAUUCUGGCACCACAGGAAACUGGCAAAAUUGUCUUUAGAAUAAAUAAAUAGAUAAAUAAAUGAAUGACGUUGAUGUAGUUGUAUUGAAGUUGUAUCUAGACCGGGUCUUUUUGUAAACAUUUGCUGUGAGUUGGCUCUACAAAAACAAAGGUUGAUUGAUAAGUAAAUAACUUAAUUGAUAAAUUAGUAAAUGAAUAAGAAAAAAAUCAGGACUGUCAUCUUUUUUUUAAUUCUGAGUUUUAUUUUUAUGUUAUUAAAUAUUUGAUAUAAAGGGCUUAAAAUACCUUUUUUUUUUUUUACAAUUAAAAUGUUUUAUGUACACGAAAUACAAUUAAGGGUCAAAAAUGUGCAAAAUUUUACAAACCUCUGAGAGCCAGAAGUGUUAAUAAAUGAAGAGACACUGAAAGCUGAAGAAGCUGACUCUGAUUACUGAGCUGAGUAAAAUGACAUGAUUUACCACAAUGAGACAGAAUAUACACCACGACACAGUACAUAGGCCAAUAGUGAGAAAGAAAUUCAAUAACAGAUUUGUGUAACAAUGGUUAACCAACUCGAGAGUGCUGCCAAAGAAACACACGCACUCUGUGACUAAAGAGUAGCUGUUCAGAGGCUGGAUAGUUGCGUGAGAGAGUUUAGGUGUAAAUGCUGUCCAAACUGUGUUUUUUUUUCCAAGCCUACAGAGAUUUCUCCUGCUUACUCUCUCGCCUGCCACUCUUCCGGCUGCAGCUCACUCUGGUCGAGGUCAAACUUAGGCAUGCACUCAUGAUAAGUGCCCUUUGUUGAGACAAAUGCUUCAAGAGGUGCUUGUCAAAACGUCUGCCUCCAAAGCCAUUAUAGCCAAUGGCUAAUUUAUGUGCAUAACAAAAGAGAAGCCACUACAAUCACUCAACAACUGUACGUGCAAAGUUUCUGUAUUGAAACAUAAUUAUGCACAUUUUUCAAUCAAAUUAGUAUGCCUCUAUCGCCUGCUGUCUAUUAGUCCCAUCAGAUAAAGUUUUAAAUGACCUGAAAAUGCAGGGCCUGAAUAAGCAUGGUGAUUAUUCUCCCUUUGAUAGUCCAUCAUUCUGUUAUUAAGCAGCACUUCGUCCUCCUCAAACCCUCCCACCCGCCUCCUCCUCCUGCAGCUACAGCCAGUAUAUAACAAGAGCAAAACAAAGAGAUUUCUAUCAGUCAUUAGCUCAGCUCUCCUCCCCUGCAACCCCAGCGAGCUAAUAAUGAUCAUUUAGCUUGAAGACAGAGAAAAACGACUGCAUGUGCCAUGGACAUAGCAAUUAAAAGGUGCAGUGAUUGAGCUGACAAUCACACAAAUUGAAAGACUGAUCUCUCACUUACAUGGGUUGAAAGAGGCCAAGAUAUGGAUGCACAAUGACUGCAUUUUGGCCAAAUGACAUGUAAUUCUGUCACUAUGGCUACCUGAGGAGAUUAAGGAGUCAGAGGGGAGAGAGGGAAAAACAAACAAAAGGGUGCAUGCAGGGAGGGGUGACUUUGUGACAAACAAAGAAAGACCAAGGUGGCGACUCUGCGUGGAUGUGGGCGUUUUGGGAGGUGAGAAGGGCGCAGAGGUACGAGUCUGUGGUGAGGGGCUAAGAAAGGCUCCGUCUGGGGACGACUAAAUGUGAAGGGUCAUUGCUGAGAGUGGAGCAGCGCCUACUGACACAGACAGACUGGCUGUCUCUCCUGCACUAAGGAGUUUAGGGACACGGAGACUCAGCUGCUGGUCUAGACGACAGUCAGAGAGAGAUAGGGGGCUGCAGUCAAGGAGAAGUCAUUCCAACCCCCCCACAUCUAGAAACCUCCUCCCAGUGCUCAUGCAGAUUAUAGGAAACCCUUUAAAAUGUCUGUGCAGCUGAUCAAAAGCUUUAAAAAUAGAUUGACACUAUAUGGAAAAAAAUGGCAUUGAUAGUAUGAGCAAAAUAUUCACUAUCACAUUUAAACUCCCAAUCAAGAAGCCAAAAGGUUUUUUUUAAAUUACGAGGAAAAAAGGAGGAGAAGAUUGUUGGACAAGUUUUUAAGCAUGGCGUAGCAUGGAAAUGAGAGCAGGGCAAAAAGUCAGAAAACUUUCAUGGAUAUUGAGUAAGUGCUGUAUACCCUGUCUUUAAGCAGUCACUCUAAACCUCACAGCACAUGUGAUGCAGAAUAUGAAUCCCAGUUUCUGGCACCAAAUCCCUUCAAAAACUUUGCCAGUGAAAAAUAAUCCAAAGAGAAAUUGUGUUUCUUCCAAAACACACUUGGCAAAGGAAAUCGCUGUAGCAGUGUUGAAAGGGGGUUUUGAUUGAGAUGUUGCUCUGGUUGAACAUUUUGCAAAGACUUGAUGAAACACAAUAUUGUCUGUAUUUGACAGAAGUAUGGUUAUUAAGAUAAAGACAAUUAGGAUCACAUUCACUCUAAAAUGAAAAAUGUUUAAAUAUCUUGUUUCACAAAGAAGUGAAGCUGUCCUUUGUCUUCGUAUUCAAUCACUAAACCCCAAGUUUAAGAUGAUCACACUUUUUUUCCAGACGUAUUUCUUAUAUUUAGGUCAAAACGGUAACUCUUGUUUUACACCACUGCUAGUUUUUCUACUCUUAUAAGUGAUGUUAGACUUGAGUUAAAUUCUUAAACAUAUGCAAACCUUAAAGAAAGAGUCAUCACAUCAUCUCUUUGUAUGAUUUAGAGGCAGCUAGUAUUAGCCCCUUUCACAUUGUCUAUUUGGAUGAGACUUUUGCUGCUUGUAUUUCAGUGUAAAAUGAGAGGACAGAGUCAUCAUGCUGCAUGACUGUGUAUGUCCACAUAUUAUGCCAUUUUUGCUUUUCAUCAACACUGUAAGUCCGUGUGAAGUCACACACUGAGUCACCACUGUUUUGCUGCCGUUGGGUUCAUUGUACCAGUAGUGCGCAGUGGUGCAACAAUGGAGCCUUGUUAUGGUGCCACUGCAAAAGGAUUGUACACACUGCAGAUUGCAACCAACUGCAUAAUUCUCCUCAGCUUUUAUGUUGUGUGAAAGCAUUUUUAGGGGCUGCAUAACUCCCAUAUUGCGCACAAAUCUCACUUUAAAGUAGAUUUUAGUAGGAAUAGUCAAAUAACAGCCUCACUGAGUCAUCCUUGAGCCGGAGUAUGAACGUAAAUGUCAUUUUUUGAUGUUUAAUUUGUAGGACUUGUUUUGUAAUCCAUACCUAAUGUCAGCGUAAAAUGAUAAGAAGACACAAAGACAAAAGGCGUCACCUGGUUUGCACCCAUCAUCUGUCACUGUCUGCUGAAUGCUGAUUAAUUUGUGAUGGUGACAACUUCAUUAGCACAUGUGAGGCGAAAGAAAUGGCAAAAGCAGUAGCUGUUUCCUCAUCUGCUCUUCCUGCUGCCACCUCCAUCCUGACAAGCAUAUGGGGCUGGGACUGAGGCCAAAAAAGAGGGUCCCAAUUUCUGUAAUCAUAGUGAGUGAGAACGUUUUCUUCUACCUCUGUGUUUCAGGUUGAAUAAUGUAAAAAUGUAGAGACAAUGAGUUCCUGGAGGUGUUUUUUUUUGGCGACUUUUCCAUAAUUAUUGCAAAAUGACCAUGAGGUGAAAAUCUGAUUACAUGACAGCACUUUUCUACACAUGGCAGACUUUCUCUAAUGGUGCAGGCCUUGCUCUGGUCUAAAUCCCAUUCUGCAUCUAUAUUGAAAUAUGAAAGUGAAAAAACAAGUUCAGAGCAGAAAUAUUAGUCUAAUAGAUGAAGAAAAAGCAGAGGCAUAUGACUGCAACCCUGCCUCAUCCCUGCCUGCCAGCUGUUUGCACAGUGACCUGCACCUGCUUCACAGUGGGAAGGUCAUUAUCAAUCGAAUCAGAGUAAAUUGGGUAUUUCUCUCUGCACCCAUCUGAGGACGCCUAAAUGUAUUAUGGGUAGAAACCUGCUGUGUGUGUGGGUGUGUCAGUCUGCUUCUCUAUGUAGACGUCUUUCUCAAUGUGUCAGCCAGUGUGUCUUUGUGUUCGUCUUUGUGUGAGCUGGCGUGAUGCACGAUGUGCACGAGCCAGCAAGAAGCAGAGGCCCACAGCACAUGAGCUAUGGCGAUGAUUGGCUGGUCCUCGCUGCAUGCUGAUAGGUUGCUGUCGCUUCCUGUUCAAACAGGGGUCUAAUCAGACACUUUAACAGGCUGCCUUGUUCAAACACACCAUGCUUUGCACUGGGGAUCUGGCAAACACAGGCUUGUAUCUGUGUGUGUGAGUGUGCGUGCACGUGUGCGUGCGUGUGGAGGGUCAGUAUAAUUAGUGUUGGUGAGGAGCUGGAAGUGGGUGGAGAAAUCUGUCUUGCUCAAAUUUCCUGCAGCCUGGUCCUCAUUCUGUCAAAUCAGCCUGUCUGUAAUAUAUUUAAGUCCCUCAUCUCCAGCUGAUGAGGAGGUGAUUAGGUAGAUAGGUGUGUGUUCGUGUGUGUGUGGUGGUACAGGUAUUUCUCUAUAAGCAAUAUGUCUUUGCUUUAGAACGCAGGGGUUUCAUUUUACUUAGUCAAAAGCUCUCAACUCUAUUUAACAUUUCCUACUACUUUUUAAAAAGUGUUUUACAUCAAGUAAGUGUUGUUUUUGUAACUUAAAAGGAUAUUCCGGCGUAAAAUUAAUUUAGGGUCAAACACACCAUAACACUGAGUUAGACAACCCCUCAAGAGAUGAAUGUUGACGACCACUUGCUUCUCUAGUUAUACCAACUUAAGUAAAGACCGCACGAUGGCGAUACACAGCGGUCUGAGGAGCCAUAAACAAAUCUCGAUCAAAAAGCCACUCUAUAGCCACAAAUAAUGCUCAGAACGGCACCUAACUUCAUCAACAGUACAUAUAGGGUCCCAGCCAUAGCACUAGCCACCAAACAUCUUUUUAACUUUGAUUUCUUUAGCAAAGAGACUAAACACAACUCACCCACUCUCUUCCAGCAGCCGCUUGUUUGUAGCGAGACCUCAGGCCAGUCCGUUACGGACUGCUGCGGGGUGACACAGCUCAAGGAAGAACAUUUAUGAUCAUUUCUUUAUCAUUUCCUUGAAGUAAUAAUCACCAUAUUAAUCAUUUUGCACUGCAGACGUAGUAGUUCUUCUGCCUUAGCAUCUCUGUCUGAUUGCAUCUCCAAGGAAAUGAUUUUAAGCCGGAAUAUCCCUUUAACAGGGUUUUUAGCAACGACAAACUUAACUUUUCUGUUAGCAUCAGACAUUUACAGAUUGCUUUGACUCAAAAAUGUUUAAAACUGUGUCUUUGCUGAUUUUAAUUAUCAUCUCUAUUAUAUGAGGCUGUGGAAAGCAUUGUCAGAAAUAAACUUGCCUUUGAACACGAGGUAGCGACAGCUCUGCUAACACAACCCUCUAGCACUCUGUCUGAAAAAAAAAGUGUCAACAAAACUGAUAACUUUAUUUUUUGAAAGUAAAACUGAUUUAUUUUGUGUUUCUAUGUUUUAAUAGAGGUGUGUUGAUUUUAUGGAGGAGGGGGAGAUGUCUGUGGAUAAAUUGGCUUAUUUAAAAACCUUGUGAUCAAUGUACACUAAACUUUUAUUUUAAGUUUGUACAAAGACACAACUGGUAAAAUAAAACAUCCCAAUGAAAAAAUGUGAGUAGAUGCAUGUUUUCAUAGUGUAAGCUUUAACAGUGAAGUCAACUCAUAUAUUCCUGUUAAUUAUUACAGUAAACUAAGCUAAACAAUAGUGUUUAUAGAAUUCAUACAGAGAACUAUUCACAAAGUGUUGACAGGUUCAUAUUCACAUAUUUACAAGUUGAAAUGCUUUUCUCUGCAGCUGUUAGUGAGGGUGAGCAGAUUCUGCAGAAUGUGUUUUUGAGGUUCAUUUACGUUUACUUUGAGUUCUUAGCCUCUGAUUGGUAAGUGCUGUGACAUGUGAUCAGGGUUGUCAAGGAUAUUAAGUUUUUGGGUUAUGUUGUGGUUAUGACAAGAUGGCUGAACAGUAAAAGUGCUGCUAAGAAAGUUAUCCGCCUCCAUCCUGCUGUUUCUCAUCAGAAUUAUCCAACCACCUUACAUCGAACCUUCAGGUUACAAUAGUUUCAGGAAGGAGCGGGAGCUUUGAACAGAGAGGAGGAAGCUACAUCAAUAACUGUAACACACCUAUGUAAUACUUUUGCAAGAUACGUAACAAAGUACUCAGCAAAUAAAAACAAUUCAAUCAAAUAAUAAUCAAAAAAAGCAGAUUAUAGUUAUCAAUACAUAAACACUAAUAUAUAAAGUAAAUAACAAUCAAAACAAAUCAAAUAUGUAAGCAUGAUAGAAGUGAGUUUGAAGGAGAGAUUCAGAAGAGGACACUGAGUUUGUCUCUCUGACAUCCUCAGGGAGGGAGUUUCACGGCUGUGAAGCACAAACUGCAAACCUCUUUUGACCAGCCAAGACUCAUGAUCCAUGAGUAGGGCUCUGCUGAAAGACCUCAAGCAGCAGUAAAGCUCGUACGGAGUUAGCACUUCACAGAAACAGGCUGAAGCCCAAACAUUUUAAGCUCUCGAAACAAUCUCAAAGUCAGUUCUGAGGCACCUGGUGAAGGAUAGCAAGCACUGUCUUUAGUUAUAUGAUUCCCUCUUUUGUUUGUGUCUGAAGCCUGGCAGCAGCGUUUCGAGGCCCAAGCACACAAGUAUGUGACAUUAACAUAACAUUUCUAAAAAAAAAAUAAAUAAAAAAAAAACGAAAAAAAGGGCUGAGUUAAAGUCACUGUUUUCAAAACGCCUUCAAAGAUGGAGAUUUUUUAUCACCACUCAGAAGAUUUUAGAAAAUGUUUACGCUGUUAGCUCGACUAAAAUUGUUGUUUAUAUUUAUUGCAUACACACCAAGACUGUGGGCUACGCCUGCUCUGUACUGUUAAAUUCAACAAGGACAUCAAACUGUUCUUCCCUGUAACACCCUGGAGAAGAAAAUAAGUACAUCACACUUAGAGGUCAUUUUUGCUCAGCACUGUGUAGUAAUGAAAAAGCGAUUAUUGUAAACUGUACAUGUGUUGACAUUGUCUGAUUUAAAUGCACUCUCAAGAUAUUGAGCUUUCUGAUGCUGGAAUAAAGCACUUUAAAAUAGUCUCUACCAUUUAAAGCAAUACUGCUCAUUAUCCUGCUCAUUACCUCGUCAUAAACAGGUUGACAAAAAUGGUUUAAUUUAGUUUCAAAAUGAUACCUACACUUAGAAACUCUUCUUUGGAAGCAGAAUCUUAUCAAACACCUUUGGCUAUGAUAAAACAUUAGACUGAACAUUUCGAUUCACAGCCGGGAUGUAACAUUUGCUGCUCAUCUAUCAAAGAAUAAAUCAAAUUGAACAUUUCCAUUAAAGUUAACAUUGAACAAGGUGAACAGGAAUAUUUAUGUUGCCAUUUCUGUCCUCCUUCAGCUCUUUUCCUUCUUCAGCUUUGCAAAUGUCACACAUUUUAACAUUGACGCUAUCACUCUCUCAUAUGGUUGAAGUUAUUCAUGGCAGUCAGCAACUUAAGAUGCACUCACCAGCUCUGCUGAUGUUGCCUGGAUUGCAGGACAGGAUGCUGCUCCACCUUUUCCUAUCAGAGAUGAUUUGGGCCCAAUAGCUCCUCAAACUGCUCCUACAUCAACACGGUAACUAUCACCAUUUUCAAACUCUCCAGACCAGCUUGAAAUUGAUGUCCCCCUUUUUCCCUUCAAUGUUUACGGAUUAAGAGUGAUAACAGACACUGAAGUUUUGCCUUAGUGGCAGACUCCUUUCCACAGAUAGAUCAGGGACGUCCCUGACUUUGCUUUCGCUAUCAGGAAUAUAGUAACAAUUUUAAAAGGUUGAUAGCUCUUAAAUUAUAACCACAUUAUGUGUUGAGCGGGUAGUAUUUAAACAUUGGGAGUGAAAGUAAUCAUGGCACAAACACAAACAGUUCACCAGAGAUAACUAGUUAUUACUAGAGACUCUGGGGUAAAUGUUGAUGAAGAAAAAGCACCAAUUAAGAAAGAAAAAACACCAAUUUAGACUAACAUGUCCCUGUUGCAUCUUUUUUUUUUUGCCAAUUAAAUCCUUCCUCCUUUUUACCCCUCCUUUUACUUUCUUCUCAAAGUUUUCGGCAGUUUGCCAGCUCUUUUGUCUUCGUCCAUCUGUUUUUUCCUUACACUGUGCAUCAACAGCAUCACUUUUUUUCAUCCCUGCACACCUGCUGAGCUCAGCACUACCUGUCAUGUAUUGAGGAGGGAGUAUUCGUAUGAGAUUGCUUUCUAAACUGACCGAUUGUUAAUAAAAGUCCUCAUUUACAGCUGUGUCAGUCUAACUGUCUGCAAACCAGCAGGGAGAGAGCAUCAGCUGUUUGGUCACCUCAGGAGUGGGAGUAAAUCUGUUUCAGUUUUGUUUCAUCACCUUGAUUCCAUUUUCUGACCUUCUCCCGAAGAGAGCUGUAGCACUUCCCGCAAUGUCUCCUAAUAAAAGCUCCCUCUUUGGCAGGCUUUUUAUAAAGAAGCCAGAGGUGUUACAAGUGUUGACUUAGUCACUGAGAUUAUAUAAUGCAAGGGGGAGAGAGAAAACGCAGCCACGAUUGAACUGGUAAGAUGUAACAGUGUAGAUCCUCUUUCAGGGUAGGACCUAGCACAUUUAGUGCCCUCGGCAAGGUCCUCGUGAUGGAAAUUCAACACUAAAGCCAGUACAGUCACAGUAAUUGGUAGUCUGAGCCGCACUAAGUGUAUUUCUUUGUCUCUGACUCUGAGAUAAUAGAAAGUCCCUGAAUGAUGAGCAAUGUUGGGCAAGCCUUUUAAAGCUCUGAAAUCAGCCAGGACACAUGAUGCAUAAACACCAGGAACCAGAGGUUAUUCUCUGGCAAGACCAACAGAAAGACAAAAACUUCAUUUGGGGAAUAAAAUAAGUGAAUGCAGUAAAUGUCAGUGGUCAUGAUGGACAGAAUAUCAGAGGUGUAGUGAAUUAUUAAACAACAGGACUGUAUCAAACUUAAAUGUAGCCUAAGUCACCUAGCCUAUGGGCAGUGAUAGCCGGAUUGGAAAUACUGACCCAGCAAAGCGAGCCUUUUGCCUCCUUACAGUGUGCACACCAUAGACUGUAUAUACUAUGGGCAACUUGGUUCCACCUUCCACCAGUAUACAGAUUUGAAGCCGAAAAGCUCUCGGUAAUUCCGUGUUUUUCCUCCACUUCUUAAAACCAACAUUGCACAGUAGUGUUGUACACACUCCACCACUUGCGCAGUAGCAUUGUACGCAUUCGGCGGGAGAGUCGCUGUGAUGACGCUCUGCUCAAACAGCAUAUCCCCCGGGUGAGCUACGCAAUCCUUGUACGUCCAUAGGCUGUAUCAAGUGUCAAUCAUAGAAAACACGAACCCCCUGAUAACUUUUAAAAAUGGAGCUGUACAGAAAAAAGAGGACUUGAGCACAAACCAGUCUGACAAUAAGUCAACUGUGCCUCUCAUUGUGCCAAACUCUUAAACUCUUAUUCUGUAAAAAAAACGAGUUAGCGAAAAGUUCACGCCAGAUUAAGAAAUUAACUAUUCAGACUAAAAUCCAGCCUCAAGAACUUGAAGAAGUGCAGUUUUUAGGAUUCCAGAUUGGCUCCAUUUCUUAAGACCCAAAGCACGCACAAACUACAAGAAAACCGUGCCAGUUCUGGGCCAGCCUUCCAACCAAAGUCUGCAAAGGCACCAUCUUGGAAAGGUCCAGCAGAUGAGCUUACCAGAUAAUGGUGUGAGGUGUGUUAGGAGUGAUUUUUCUUCUCUUAAGUCUGCAAGGGAGACAAUCACUGACUUCCUGACUUAAAAUCAUAAAUAUUAAACAUGUUUGGAUAUUUCUGCAUGCUAAGGGAUCCCUGAGGACACCCGAGCAUACACACUGUCUAUUAUCACUCUGAACAACAUCAGAUUUCUUAAAAAGUUAGCACUUUUAUUAAAGGGUCAUGGUUUGUUUUAUGGUUAAAAUAAGGUACAAGGUUAGGUGGGGUUAAACUGAGAGGCCGGGCACGACCCCAGGGAGGAUGGUGAGAGUUCAGGCGAAGUGUUCAGUGGUAACAGUCAAGCUCAGGAAAUGCAGUUUUCUUGUAAGCGACAAGAGCUUGUGUAUAUUUGAAUUUCAAUCACUCUGGUUUUUUUAAGCGGCGACUUUUCUUGAGGGUGAGCGUGAACUGUCAAUGUCGGAGAAGGUUUGUGUUAAUAUGUAUAAGUAGGUGGAUGUAAGUAGGAGAGACGGCUCCGUUUUGUGUGAUGGGUCUGAAGGACAGGCAAAGUCUGACAGAUUGGUACUCUACACACACAGACACACACACUACGCAAGCAUAAAGAUCAUGCCUCUGUGCGCUAAUCCCUCAGUGCCUGCUUGUUUAAUUCCAUAGAGGUUAAUUAGACAUAAUCAGAGGGAGCCACUGUUCUGCCACAGAGCAAACUCCUCUAAUUUGUUAUCACUGAACUCUUCCUUUGUCUUCCUCGCCUCCCCUUGCUGCCUGUUGUGUGUGUGCAUGUGUGUGCAUGUGGCUGCAGGUCGUGGACUAUGAAUAUAAACAGUGUAAGCCUUGAAGGUGUUUUAAGUGGAGGGUGCAGCUGGUGACUUUUUUCUUGCUGGGAGAACUUUUCUAUUGUCUUUUCUUCAUCAUGCUUCAGGGGACUAUGAAAUGAAAGCCAAUUACAAAACAUCAUACAACUUCUCUUACCCUUGAAAGCACACAACAUCCAAGAAAAAGAUGAUUAAUUGGUAAAACAGUGUAUGAUCAUUGAGCAAAGAAGAUUUCUUUAAGUUUUGACAACGUCGAUGCUCGUGCGCUUGAAACCCUGAAGUUAGAUGACAGGAAAAUUAAAAAUGAGCUUUCUUCUGUGUAAUUCACUACACCAAAAACAACUGGUGAAAAGUUGUGUACGGUGGAGGUGAUAAAUGGGUGAUAUUAUGAAUCUUCACAUUAAGUUUCUUAACCUGUCUCAUCAUAUCAGCACAGUCCUCCAUAUUUCUAAAACACAGGAUGAUAUUGGUAAAACUACCAUUCGAUUGACAGGUAAAAAUGUAGGGCUUUAUAUGAACCUGAGCACAUUUAUAAAGUUCUUAUAAAUUAAUUAAUUCACAAGACUUUUUACCAAUCCUUGUUGCUUUAGACCCUCUGUGUUUCCAUGAAGUCUUAUAAAUGCAUCAGUAAGGCUUUACAAAUGUGCUCAUGAUGCAUCUUGAUAUAAUACAAUAUUAAGGGUUACCAAAAUGUGCACCAUAGGAGAGACAUGGUUGUCACACACUCCUCAGGCCAACACUGGAGUGAUUGAAGUCUUCACUGCACUCAGAAAAAUGAAUUGUGGCAUAGCUUAAUUUUGACUAUUUACACCUAUUUGAUUUUAUUUAGAUUAUUUAAUUACUUGGAGUUAAUUUAUUCAAAUGUCUUGAAUUCAGCAUAAAUCUGUUAUCCUGAAAACAAUUCAGGUUAACCUGUUAAAAUGUAUGAAUAUAGUUUAAAAACAAUAAGCUGUAGAUCAACUAAGAUUCAUUUAGUUAAAAAUUAUGAAACAGAAACAAAUUCAAUAAUCAAUGCAUUAAUGUCAUUUGUUAUUCAAAAUUUCUAUGGUUUUACAUUUGACUGACAAAUACAGUAUGCAGCACAUAAAGUUUAUUGGUCUGUUUAUGUUUAAUCUCAGUAAUUCAAAAGGAUGGAAAUCUCAAAUGCAAUGAGGCCUGAAUAGUCCUGUGAGCAUGUUCAGGGGAGCUGACCCCUCCAGGUUAACAGAAAUACUGCAGAAUUAUUAUGGUUUCUAUGUGAAUGGUCUUUUAUUGGAGCUUUUUCGCCCUCAAGGAUGCAUCAAAAACACAACCGUGAGUUUUGUGAAUGGAUAUAGUCGAUAUGCCCUCAGCUGAGAAUCUAUCUAACGUUGCACGAUUUAAAAACUGGAAUAACAAGGUCCUCAAAACAGGGUAAAUAGAGGUUAAAAAUAUCCCUGAGCACCCAUCUGCUUUGUCAUUGCCUCACCUUUGAUUGAUAGCAGGGCGUGUCAUUAGGAUCUUGUUUCUUCUGGAUCCCUUCAGCUAUUUCAUGGGAGUAUGUUAAUUUCAUAUUCCAAUUAAGAGGAAGUCACUGAAAGGAGGUGGUACAGGGUUUAAUGAGAAAUAAUUGGAAUUUUUUAGCUCUUUUUUUUGCUGUUGCAUGAAAUAGAAGGGCAACAUGAUUAGAAGUCUCUUUCCAACCAAAUUAAUUCCAUUUAUUUCUGCUACAGUAAACAGUAAUGCAGAGCGCUGACUUCUUAGAGAAUGAGGUUUCUUUUGACAAUGGCCUAUUAGUCUGACUUAUGAUUCUGUGCGAGUCAUUUUUAGAAAAUAAUAAGUUUUAGAGCUGCACAUUUGCUCUCAGAAGACAUUAUUGCAGCCUUUGCUAAUGCGGGAGUUAUUCAUUAUUCUACCGGAUAUUUCAUUCCAGGUUUUGUUGCCAAACAGACAAAUAUCAUAUGUUGGUUGUAAGCUGGACAUGCUAUAUUAAGUGUGUCUUUUCUAUGUUUUGUACAUGUAUUAGUGUGUGUUUAUGAGUUUAAGAAACAUGUGUUAGUGUGUGUGGUUGGUCAUGCAAUGCCACGGGUCAUCAAUAAUUUAUCAGCUCCACUCUCGUGCAUUUAACACUUGGUUUCACUUGAUUUUCUCAUCUGGCUCCUCGCCCACAGGGGGAUCAAGUUAUCAUUAAAAUAUCUCCUUCCUUCCCCACUUGCUCGACAAAUUCACCUUUACAGUAAGAAAGCAGUGAGAUGGAAAAAAUCCCAUGGUGCGAACCAAAAAAGAAAUGUGAACAGAGUAAGACAUACAGUCACUCACUGGAAAAUAUUCAGCGUUGAAUCACUCGUGAAGUAGGGAACAUCGUAGGCUGGCAUGAAGCACAGCUGUGUGUAAAACAAAUUACAUGGAACCAACUUUAAUUAAAAUGAAAAUUGAGUGUAAUUCUGUGACUGUCAUGAAGACACAGUAUGUAAAAUAUGAGCUUUUUUGCAUUUGAAAGGCUCAUGGAAAUGGUGAGAGUUUCAAUGAAGUCGCUCUAAAAUAUGGAUAUCGUUCAUCCCCUGAAAGUCAGCCUUGGAAAUUUUAGUCUGGACGACAGCCAUCAAGUAAUAAUUGAGCUGGGCAGCUGGAAGCCGGCCCAAUCACUGAGCUAAUGGGAGGGGUUUAAAUGACACGACUUUGGCUUUCUUAAACUCUGUAGCUUCAUGAAUGACUUUUUAAAGCACAUGCUAGGCGUUUGAAAUAAAUUAUUAUUCUCUCUGGUCAAUUUGAACAAAUCAGACAGUAUUUUCCCAGUGCCUUCCAGACUACUCCUCCUCACCUUUGCCUCUCUUCGCUGGAUUUCCAUGGGUGUUAAAGACUAAAAUAAACUACAGUUGCUCUUGUAAAUGGAGGAAACUAAUGGAUACAGUCAGAACUACAGGUUCUAGGCUUAAUUCUCAUGUAUCUGGCAGGGAGAUUUCUUUAGAAAUCUCACGAACUAUACAAGACUUUCACUGCUGGACUGUUAACACUUCCUCCCCCUAUGUGUGAAACUAAUAGAUGGCUUUGUCAUCAGCGUGAAGCCCACUGCCUGCCAGUAUCGAAAUGAGAUCCGCAGAAUUGAGUGAAUAACUUCAAUAAUGUGGACUAUAUUAAACUACUUCCUGCUGGGGCUUUUAUAAAUGGAGGAAAUGAACACAUCCCUCUGAAAUAACACUUUCCAAGCUUUAUUUCAUUCGAUGUACGUUGCAGAGGUUUGAAUCAAAUGUAGCCACAGCUUCAGGGACUUAAUACACCGAGCAAGGACAGAUGAAGAUGACCAGAGCUGCAGGGCUUCAGGUGACCCGUGCUGCAUCACCGAGGAGCAUGAAAUAUAAAUGAACUUUCUCUUUUUUAAUCUCCAGAUAACAAUGAGUCUGACCAUCUGACUGUGCCUUUCCAAGUCCAUGUUCAGAUUCAACUUUGAAAAGAAACAUAACAAUGUGGAAGCACAGUUUGAUUUUCCAAAAACAAAAAAAAAGAAAAGAAAAAAGAAAAGAGAUAAAAGCCAAAAAUACUUAAAAAAUAUCAAAAUAUCUGGAGUAGGAUUUUGGGGUGGCCAUGUUUUCAGGGGGGCCCAUGCCACCCCUGGUGCCACCAAUCUGUACACACCCCUGUCUCCAAUGUGAAACAGCUUCAUCCAGUGUUUUCACCAUCUGGUCCAUUUUUAGUUUGGAGGAGCUCUCUUUGGAUAAUUCUGCUCCAAGUAAAAACCUUGUGAAUAAAUUACAAUGUAUUUUGAUAGUCUUUUGAAGUUAACAGUCUGCCCUGCUGUUGCCCUGAAUUGCUACAGAGCUGAGGGGCUGUUAACAUUCACAGAAGAUUCAACAUUACAAGUAAUGCUGGAGUUAUCUUCAGACCUUCAAAAGACAGAAAAGCUCUUUUGUUUUGAUCAGAUUCCAGCAGGUGCAUUGUUGUCAUGCAGCGGUCCAUCAUCUAAUCUCACAAUAGAGUCUGCCAGUCUAGUAAACAGUUUUCUUACAAGAUCAUGUGGCCUAAUUUUUACAUGAAAACCAUGUCAGCUCUUUUGCUAAAUCACACAUUUGCAUUUAUCUCUGAUUUAUGGUAUCUCCCACCAAAGCUUGCUAAUGCAAAACAGAGUUAUUGACCUCAAAAAGGAUGAAAAGUCUGAUCUAAAUUUAAUGUUUUGCUUCGUGUUCUUGUUUAAUGUCUUGUUGUGUACAUUUAAUCCAGAGCAAUGCACCAUUUUCUCCAGAUUAAUGAAGAAUGACAUUGGCUAAACCUUUGCAGAGUUCAUUUUGAAUGAUAAAAACACCUGACUAUGCCGUUUAACCCUCAAUCAAAAGUUGGAGAUUCGCCUUAAUGAGCUGGUUUCACCUGGAAAUAAUUAUGAACGAUUAUGUUCAUUCUUAAUAUACUCCAACUCUCUGCGGCUUUAGGGGUCAGACUGAAGUCAUAACCCACAUAAAGAGAGUUGUCCUUGUUCUUGGUUCAAGAAUAACAGAAAUAGAUAAGAAAAAUAAUAAAACUGAAGGGGGAAGGAAGAGAAAAAAAGAUGAUUGAAAGAAUGGAGAAGAAAACUGAUGACCGAGCUAACGGAGAAGAGGAGAAAUAGAUGGAGUCUGGAGAGAGGAGGAGCUGGUGAAUCGGCCUGUUUAUGAGCAGCAACAUUAAUCUCUGUCAGUCAGGUGGUCAAUAUUGUCUGUGGUCUCGACCACUGCAUGUCGCUGUAAAUGAUUGAUAUGGCAAUAACCUGUUUACCCAGGUGGCUUAAAGCGAUGGUAUUCUGAGCCAUAUUGAAUAAACAGCACAAAUCCAGUCCUCUCUGCAGUAGUACAGGCUCACAUGUAUGUGUGUGUAUAGAAAAACAUACACAUGCAGGCAAACACACAGCUCAGGGGUCCUUUAGUGGCGGUUUCAGGGCAGGAGGAUGGUGCUGGAUCCAAUCAAACAUCUCCUCAGCUGAAGUGCCCUUUAAGAACGAUGAUGAAGCCUAAUUUCACUCUCACAGGUUUCUUAGUCAUCUUACGGCCCUGAUAUUAUAAUCACAGACCCUGUUUACAACCAGCAGCCAGGGUGGGCAGCAUGUGUGAAUACAUCCAGAUUAAAUUUAACCCUGAAUUUUUCCUGCCUCACCCCUUGUAAAAUUUCCAAAUGAAGUCAGGAGAGCUGGUGUGAGAACAUGGAGGGAAAAAUCCAGAAAUGACACCACCAGCGAGGGAGCAACAUGUCAAAGGAGACAGGGGAAAAGAAGGAGAGUCAGUUUCAAAGCCCAUCUUUCUGUUUCCACGGCAUAUGGACUUAAUAUAAAAACCUCAUCACAGCGUCAGUCUUUAUUGCUUCAUCUGUCAUCCUUUUGUAAACGUUACACUGUGGCUACUGAGAUCUGAUUGGUCAAACCACAUCUGGAGGUGGUAAAUGCCUCAUGAGCCAUGUGAUUGUGUCCCUGUUAACACGGAAGGACCAACAACUUCACCAACAAUCUCUACAAAGGCAGUGGUUCAAACUCAUUAACAUACUGACACUGAGGUGACUGAGUUGAAAACAACAAGAAAAUAGAUUCUCACGAAAGGAGGCGACACAAAACUCCGUCUUAAGUCACUGGUAAAAAACUGCAUGUUUGGAGAGGUUAGAGGGGUCCUAAAUGACCUGCAUCUAGGUCAGAGCUGAAGGUCUGCUGAGAGGAAGCAGAGAUAAGAUGCAGAGCUGCUCCUGAGGCCUCAGCCUUCAGCAGAGUCACUCUGACUUUUCCCUCUGACAGUCCCUCAGUCUCAGGGCUGCUGGUGUCUCCUGCUCUCAGUUGGUCAGCUUAUCAGCCAGUGCUGCUACCUCGUACAUACAGUACACACACACACACACACACACACACACACACACACACACACACACACACACACACACACACACACACACACACACACACACACACACACACACACACUGAGAGGCUUUUAAACAUAAACACAGAUUGGAUUUCCUGUCCUGCCUCCAGUGCUCCAUACAUUACAUUACGCUAUUAGGCUGUCUGAAACUGACUUAUUUUUAGCAUACCACAACAUUACAGUGAAAGUCUGCCUGGAAAUGUAGAUUUGAUUUUUGUGUCUGCAAUUUUUCUUUUUUUAGCAGUUGAAUAAAGGAAACCACAAAUCUUAUUGGCCAUGACUGCUCAGGUUUAUCUCACACAAUCUUAUUUGAUGACAUUUGAUGCACAGAGAGCUUUUUACCUGACAGUUGUCCUACAAAGAGUCAACUUUGAUAGCAUAUAAUAAUCACACAUAUCAUUCUUGAAAAUAUUAGAUUAUUUUAGGGCUAUUUUAUGCUUUUAUUUGAUGGAUAGAGCAGUGGACAGGGUAGGAAACUGCGGAAGGAGAGUGGGGGCUGACAUGGGGCAAAGGUCCAUUAGUAUGUGAAACCAUGCUGCCUGCUGUGAGCACUACAGCCUCCCAAUAUAACCACUCAGCUUAACCCUGCAAUAAUAAAUAUUCAUAAUAAAAGAGAUCAUAAAAUGGUUUUCAUCUUGUUCCUGGCGUGUAUUGCCCUUUAUUCCUAAUUCCUCUAUUUAAACUAUUAGAAAUAAUUGGUAUGAAAGUAUGAAAUGCAGUUUCAUACUGUGUCUUCCUUACCCUUAAGAAGCACACAUUUCUAUAUGUUUUAAAUUUCUACAUAAAUCGGAGGCUCCUGGGUUUUUUAAUGUUUAAAACACAUCCAAAUAAUCAAUGAUCAGGGGAUGGGAAUUGUUUGUGAAAGUAUGAAAAACAACCUAUACAGUGAACAAAAUCUGCCUGAUACUGGAAAUGACUUUGCAAACAGUAAUAAGUCACAUAAAUGAUCUCAUGUCAUUUACAGUAGGGAAAUGUUUACAGUGUUUAUAUUCUGAAGGCAAAGACAGGGAAAUUUUGAUAAUGUCAUUUACUCUAAUAAACUUUAUAAUGCCAGACUGGCAGACUUGAAAGCGGCGCUAAAACAGCCUCUAUAUUUCAUCAUGUGUUGCUAUUAAAGGAGAUCUAUUGCUGAACAGCUACAAUAUGCAAAGACAUUAAUUCAAACAAGCCCCAGUCCCCAGCGCCAUGCAAUAUUGACUUUUUACCUUCUUGAGCUGUUUUCUAUUCAAGUUAAUUAAGAAAAUUUGUAUAACUUUCCCUGUUGCAACAGAAAAAGAAAGGCGUAUGGACUGCACAGAGCUGCUGUUAAUGAAAUAAAGAUGCAAUAAAAGCGUCUCAGAAGUGAGGGGGAGGCCUUCCUUACCAGACUGUUCCUCUGUCUACAGGCCCCCACUCUUUCACACACAUCCUGGGUCUUGCAAUAAAAAGCUAAUAUCUAACCAGAGAUAGCUCUAAUGAGAUACAGGGAUUUGACCAGACACCUUUAUGACAGGUAUAAUGAGUUCUUCAGAGACACAGAAAUGUCUGGGUAAAGACAAAGAGAGGUGGUGUCUACAUAAACAUUUCCAAGAGCAUCAAACACAAAGACGGUAGGUGGCUGUGAGCCGUCAGACACGAUUACUGAGAGUCUGAGCUCUACAGCUGUCUGUAGUUUGUUCCAGGGUGCAGCAUGGUUAGCGUUAGACGCUCCUUAUCAGAGACCACUCUGCUGCUGCUCCGGUGCAGUGUAUCAGGGGCAGACAAACGCUGAGCUAAGGAGCCAGUUUAGCUUCAGUGACAUUACCUGUCUGCUGAAAUUUCUCUUGAUUUUUUUCUGUUUAGCGACGGCGACAAAAGUUUAAACAAUCUUUUCUCGAGUAGGAGUUGAGACACUCAAGCAAAGAGGGGCUUUGGCGAAAGUAAAAGUGCUGAAUCAUCAUCUUUACUAAAAUUAGACUGAAUAAUGCCGGCUCUGAAAUGUACUCAGUAUCAAAGUAAAGAGAAGCCCUCUGAAGGACAUUUCAAUUAUCUGAUUGUGUGCAGCUAACCGGACCUCAGAUAAAAUUUGGGGGACUUUUUUUAAUCCCAAAUCCUUUUUACUUUAAGUAUGAACUGGUGGGUAUCAGCAGACAUGAGCACAGUUAAUCCAACAUUUAACUCUGUAAAACUGAUAAUCUGUUAACAAAGACGAUAACUUGGAUUAACAGAUCGCUUGAAAACUCUGUUUAAUUAAUAAAAACAACAGAGAUGUUGAAAUCUGUUUCUGACGGUCCUUGUGAUCCAAGUCCAAGAAACUCCUUUAACCAAACAUUACGUCCAUAGAGAUCCAUGGAUCACUUCGUGUCGACAAAGGCUGUAAACUCCUGCUCAAGUUGUCUGCGAUUCAUCCUGUCAUCCCUCUCAGGUAAACAGCCCCAGCACACCAAAUUCUAGUUCUUUACAAUGAUUCAGGUUAAGAAUGUCCUCCAUUAAACACAGAAUCAGUGGUUUUCUAACUCCAUGAUGAGCUUCCCCCCAUCCAUUUGGUCGCUCUGCUCCCAAACUCUGGAACUCUCUCCCCCCGGAUCUCAGAAACAUGGACUCACUACCCCACUUCAAAUCAAAACUCAAAACACAUCUGUUCCAAAUUGCAUAUUCCCUUUAACUGUCCAUUUCCAUACAUGUAUAUUGUUUUUAUUUAUUUUAACCGUGUUUUAACUGUGUUCUUAAUGCCUGUACAGUGUCCUUGGGUGUCCAGAAAGGCGCUUUUAAAUAAAAUGUAUUAUUAUUAUUAUUAUCAACAGCUUCUGGAAACAGACCUGGUUCUGAUCAUUUUGAAGUUAGGUCAGUUUUGUUGAAGAAAAUUGAAUCUGGAGCCUGUUGUUUCAGGGUCUAACUGAAACUUCCCUGAGCACACCCUUUGACCUGAAUGAGAGCUUUGAGCUCUGAGGCUGUGACAGAGCAGAGAUGGACUGAACACAGCUCUGGCGAAUGAUCCCCAUUUUCAGGGAGUCGUUCCAGUGCAGGAGCUGUCUCUUAUGAAGCUGAGUUAUGAAGUUAUGAAGCUGAGUUGUUGUUGUAACUUCAUAGAUACAGUCAGCUUUCACAGUGCUGUGCUCCUGUAGUAAAGUCUUAAAAGUGACAACACCAAUGAAAACCGGACAGCAGAAGUUACUGGUUUCAUUUUUUAAAUGAUCCUAAACACGUUAACUUUUGUUCAUCAGCUGUUCUUGCUGCUCUGCAUCUGUUUCAACAUUGUAAAUGAUUAUCAUUCACCUGCUUCUUUUGUCCUCUCACCAUCAGUUUAUUUACGGGAUGUUUCUGGUCCAUCAUGCUGUGACUUUUUGUGAUAUGCACCGGGACAUCCACUAACCUCUGUGAGGUCUCUAAAAUUUGACAUGAUGCUGAUCAAACUCUACUAGAAAAAGCUAAUUAUUUGGACUUUGUGCUACUGCACUACACUUAUCUUACAGUGUCUGAAAAUAUCAGUCAGUAUUCUUACACAACUGCCCUCUUAAUGCCACAUAAACAAACAAAACACACCAGACCUUCUUUAAAUGAGGGACAUGAGUAUAACAGAGCAGACUCACGAAAGAAAGUAUCAAAAAAUAUAUAAAGAGGAUAUUAUACCCUUGAAGAAAGGAAAACCUUGUAGUUGGUAUUUUUUUAUCAGAUGAAAGAUGGAGCAGCAGAGACCUCCUAACCUCAUCUUUGUGUUGAUGAGAAGGGGAGGAGAUACAAAAUCGGUUUCCUUUGUACAGAGAGGAAUGAUCGCGGCUUGUUGAAAGAGACUGUGUUGUUACAGCAAAAGAUUUCAGGCUCUUCAGCUCGCUAUGAAGCCAUGGACGAUAAUCAGCAGAACCCUGAAAUAUAUUACAUUUCUGUCCGUACAAAGUUGUGCCUGUUUUUAAUUUGCAUUGUAAAUUAAUUCAAAUUUCCUGUUUGUAUGAAUAUGCACAGCCUUCCUUUUCUCGCCAAAAGAGGACACUUUCUGGCUCUGUGUCUGGUGUAGUCUGUUUAAGCUUCAGCUCUAGUAGCGGGAGGAUGGACCAUGUGGUUGUGGGCUCUCCGUGCGUAAAAUGAAAGCCAAAUGUGAAGUGGCACGACAGUGAUCCUAGAAGGGAAGCUGGUCCGGGCAGAGGCAUCCAGGAAAUUAAUACAGUUUUUGAAAAACGAGAGUCUAUAGGACUACUCCAUAUGGUUCCAGUGAAAAGAGAGAGCAUACACAAAACAUCAGGCAAACUGUUUUCACUUUUUAUCACAGCAACUCCAGACAACAGGUAUUUUUCUUAAUCAUUGUUCAUGAGCAUAAAAAGCAUAGAAACAGAUGGAGACAUAUUUAAACCUUUGCUAUAGUAAGCUACUUAAACAUAUACAGUAGGUCUUUUGCAUUAAAAAUGUUUCUUCAUUUAGUUACAGCCUUAAUAAAAAUGUUAUGUCUCUGUUUUAUUAGUGUUUCUUGUUCACUUUUUUUCUGUCCAGAUGGCCUCCAGAGGUAUCACUAGUCUUUUAAAUUAUUAUUGCAUUGCAGUGGCUGCAGCUAUAUAUAUAUGUGUGUGUGUGUGUGUGUGUGUGUGUGUGCAACUGAAUCUCUGCAGGCUUAUGUGGUGCUUAAAAGAAUAUGACCAAGAUAAUUGGUUUGCCAGGAUGCCAACAUGCCACCUUAUCCCGGUAUGCUGAUGACAUUCUAGUGUAUUUAUUAGCUCUUUUGUUUGUCCCUUUAAGUUAAUCAUAAAAUAUUUCAAUCUCUUUAAUAUUUUAUGAGUAACUUUGUAACUUUUUACAACUUUGUCUACAUUAUACUUGCACUCGUAAAGGCAUAAUUUUCCAUCAUAUAAUACUGGUUAAUUUAUCGGUUUUAAAGAUGCCGAAAAGAGAUACACAUCUAGACAGCAUACCAAAUAUAGAUUUAAACAGUGCGUCUCCCUUUCUUCUUAAUUUGUUGUACUUUAUUUAUGUUGUACUUCUUCGCCUUAAGCCUGUUAUUCUUCAAUUUUUGGCCUAUACAUAAUGGAUGCAGUGUGAGUGAGUCUGGGUGGAGUUUGGCUCUGGGGCUUGUGGGCAUUGCAGUGAGAUAGAGUAAGAGAAGGAAAGAGAGACAUAGAGAGCGGCAGACUGACCGAGAGCCUGAGCCGAGCCAAGCCUUGGCAACUGAGUAAAAGAGAGAGAUUAUUCGCCUCAGCGGAGAGGAGAAGAAAUCGUGGUAGACAGAGGCAAAACCUCUGUUUGUGACCCUGUCUGGCACACAGUGAUAUAAAAUACAUUACAGUCUUUAAGUGUACAUUAAAUCUAGGAGAACAUUCCAACAAGACUCUAUCUGUAGUAUACCACUACACUUAACAAACGUCCUGUUUCAGCAGUCAGGUCACAUAUAUACAUGAUUAUUAUUUCUUGUCUGCAUGCCUGACUACCCAAAGGAACAUUAUGCGAUUUCUUUACGGGCAAAAGAAUCUACAAAGCUCAUCAUCUGAAUCAGUCUGAGGGGAAGAAAUUCAUCUUAAGAAGGAUUACCGUUGCUCAGAAUCAGAGCUGGACUUCAUGACCCUUAGAAACAUGCUCACAUUUCAUUCCAUUUCUCUCAAGAGUCACUGAGAAAAGCCCCUAAAAUUACCACAACAGAUUUGAUUAAUAUCAGCUUGAUUACACACAAGAUCUUUGGUGAAAAAAAAUAUUUGAGGAUAUUCCUGUUGAGAGUCAAGAACGGGAGACACUCCAAACUGGCAUUUUGUACUAAGACACUCUCUGAAUAUUUUUACUGAUCUUUUAAAUACAACCCCUGCUCCAGGGGCUUUGUAAAAUGACAAUAAAAACAAAAUGUGAUGAUGUGAUGGUUUUCAUUUGAUUUCAACUAAAAAAUGUUUUGUAAAAAAUAAACACAGAUGCCAACAACAUGUUUCAAAGAAGUGGGGACUGAAGAAUAUUAACCAUUGUGUUGCAUCAGCUCUUCUUGUAAAAACAGACUGUACCCUUGGGGACCCAGGAGACCAGAUUCUGAAGAUGUGAAAGUGAAUGAUGUCCCAUUCUUGUCUGACAUUGUAUUCUAACAGCUUGAUUAUUCUUUGGUUUCAUGAUACUUCAGUUUGGUACUGUUUUAUUAAAAGAGGCAAAGUCUCACCUCAACAAAAAGAUUCUCUGAAUGGUAGCAUAUGUUGCUCAAAAAAUUGUACGUAUCAUUAAGCAGUAAUAGAGCCCUCCAAGUAGUCUAAGUUACUCGUGUCAUGAGCUCUUAUGCAUACCAGUCCCAACACGGAUGCUGGCUUCUGAAAUGUACCGUGAUAACAAACUGGGUGGUCUCUCUCUCUCUCUCUCUCUCUCUCUCUCUCCUCUACACAGCAGAGGACAGAUUUUGAUCUUGAAGAUCAUACCACUUCACCUCAGGAAGAAGUAUUUCUGGUUUCCUCUUUGCAUGACGCAGUUUUAAUCAGUGUACGCAAUAGUUUUGCAGUGAUUUCCACUACAGAGUCAUGUCUGCUUUUAAUGGAGGACUGUCUUAGAGUUUACAGAUCAUGGCUCCUUGGUAUCUGGAGCCUAUUACAGCUGUCAAGGGGAGAGAGACCUCCACCUUGGAUAGGUUACCAGGUUACAACCUGACACGCUCACACUCACACUGACAGGUAAUACAAAGAGACUAGUUAACCUGAGGAGCUUGUCUUUGAACUGUGGGAGGAAGCUGCAGAUCCAUGCAUGUACUGGAGAAGCAUUUUAACCCCACACUGAGAAGGCCUCAGCUGGGAGUCAAACCAGCAGCCUUCUUGCUGUGAAGCAAAAGCGGACCUAACCACUGCAGUCAGAUUGCAGAUUACUGUAACAACAUAACAAUUUCAUGGAUCUAGACUCGUGAAAACCCGAUAAUGCUGUCUGCAAGCUCUGUGAUCCUUGUGAAGUCUGAAUAAGGUAUUCAGAGGCAGUGAUCCUCAGCUGAUCUUGCCUCAGGGCUCACAAUUAUGUCUUUAAUUAAAUAAUAACAACCCAAAUUUCUUAAAACUGCUGUUUAAUCGCAGGUGAUGACCUUCAUUAAAAUCCAUUUCCACCACCCACCCUGUUGGGAUGUGAAUAAACUUUUAGACUGCUGCAAGCACAGUGCUUUAUAGAUAACACACAUCCUUUAAACUGAAGAUGCAGACUUUUUGUCACAGCUUUUUUCAGUCCUCAUCCAAGACCCACGAAAAACGUUUAUUCCCUUAUGUUUGCAUGGCUAAAAAACAUCAGGGAUAUGUGAUAGAUCUGUAAACUUGUAGAAGAAGCCAGGCCAUUCGUUUAAAACAAACCACUAUGUUUGCACAGAAGAAAGGAGCUUCAACAAGAAAAAACCAGGUUGGUCCAGAAGAAAGGACAUGAACAGGGCUCAGAUUUACCGGCCAUGUUCAGCUGAUCUAAUAUAUUCCCUCGCGAUAGUUGAGACAGAGGGUGAAAUGAUGGGUGCCUUGGUGGCUCGACAGAGUUGUAAAAUCCUGUCUCAUGGUAUGACAAACCACUGUGAAGUUUCUCAGCAAGUGGAAAACCUUCAGACUCAGGGAUCCAUAACUCAAACCAAACUUCCUGUAUUUCAGUGUCUCACUGGCACCUGAAAUGCCCUCACUGACACAGCACCUUUUUUUUGUUCACUUCCUUGUUAAAAGUACCCUUCCUACCUUUUUGUUUGAACACUGUGUCACACUCAAAAUCUGCUUCCCUUUGUCACUUAUCUAUAGAGAGGAGUAACAACGGUCCUCAUGUACGUCUAACUCUGCUAACAGGAGGCUGAUCUACAGUCGCAGAGUUUGGGAGUGUCUUACAUUGAAACCAUUCCUCUUGCAGGUAUCGAUCCGGGGGAAAGACUGAAGCUGAUAGCUGAGCUGCAACCAGCAUGGGGGCUAACUCCCAGUGUUCCCGGUGCUGACAGGCCCAGACUGGCAUCAUUAUUACAGCACUAAGCAUUGGCAGUCAGGCUGCACUUUCCCCUCUCUCGCCCUGUGAUAAACUACUGACGGGACUCUCAGCAGAUAGGUUUUUCAGCAUACAUCAGCUCCGAAAUGCACAUCAAUUAUUCAACCUCACACUGGCCUAUUGUAAUUACUCUGCAUUGAUAGGCUGCCAGCCUUCCCAACCAUAAGUCAAUGAAGUAAGGAACGAGAUGCAAGAACUGUACUCCUGCGGCACUGCUGAUUGCAGCCUGAUUAGGUUGUCCUUGUGGCCAGUGGGACGUUAAGCAAGUGAAACAAAAGCCUUAAAAUAACCAAAGGAAAAUACACAAGUGUCUGCAACAAUGGCUGCAGUGCUUGUCCAGUAUAUGUAAAUGCCUAAAUAUGUAGCUGUACAUGAAUUUUUAAGGGGGACAAACAUUAUCUUAUGUUCAGCUUGCUGCUGCGGGAGACGCCAAAAACUUAAAUGUAGUCUGUGAAAGUAAGUCAUCUUACAGGCAGACAAACUGAUAUCUGACUAACACACAAGGAAUCACAGACAAAUUGAUAAGACUAUAAUCCGAACCAGAGUUCAGAAUGCCAAUCAAUGUCUUUCUGUUUACAUUUCUCAUGACUCUCUCCUUGCCUUCACUUUGACAAAGCUCCUGUAAUCUCCACAGAAUAUAGAUCGCUUGUUCAUCAGUCUGCGCACGAGCUAGUCAUACCAGAUAGCAAACAGAGAGUGAAGAGUAAAGAGGACAGGGAGGGGGAAAAAAAGACAGAGGGAUAGAGAGAGAGAGAGAGAGAGAGAGGAGGGGGACGAGGAGAGUGACAUCCCAUUCUCACCUCUUUAGUUUUAUCGGACAAGAAAAUGCAAACUCAGUAAAGAGGAAGCAGGGAGAGGGAAAAAGAAAGGUGACUUACUUUUGAGCGAGGGUGACAGCAGACAAAGAAAAGGAGCUCCAGAGCGUCUUUGUGAGUCUGAUUGAGCCGUAACAGCCUCCACUGACACGGAUGGAGAGAAGGAGAAGGAGAGUGGAGAAGAGAGGACCGGUCUUGACUCAAGAGUGCUGCCUUUGCUUUGUAGUGUACUGUGUGAAAGCAUAUGUAUGUACAUGUGUGUGUGUGUGUGUGUGAGUGUGUGUGCCUGCGCUCUAAUUUAGAAAGAUUCCUUGAAAGGGAUUUCUGCACAUGCACUUAACCAACUUGCCCCAGAACUACUUGCCUACAUGCAAAUCCACACAUGUGCAUACAACGACACACACAAACACACACACACACACACACACACACACAACAGCUUUCCAAGUUGCCAUAUCACACAGCUGGAGUGUUUAGCAGCGCUCAGAUAAUGCCAUAUUCUCUUGGCUUUCUUUCCCCUCCCUGCAUACUGUUCAUGGGCAAAUAAUGAAAGCAUCUCCUCUCAGAGCAGGCAGGGAGUUUCAGUGUUUGGAAGAGAUAAGGAAUAUGGGCUCCAUUCACACCAGAAACAGACUGAGACAAAUUGAUCCCCUCAUUCUCCCGGUCAGUCUUUGUAAGUGAGAAUAAUGCUGAAAGCUGUCAGUUCAGUGGCAAAGAUACACCCACUGAUACUCAAAUGUUAUUAUUAGAGCUAACUUAUCGCUUUUUUUCUUCUUCUGUGGAGUCAAUUCGAGGAAAAUUGAGCAUCCAACCCUCAGAGAAAUCUUUAGAUGAGCGGGCGCUUCUGCAGUAGGCAAUUAGCCCUUUGUGUGGGUAUUGUUGUGGAGAAUAUGAGGAAGCCUGAGAAAUCAGGAGCAUAAUGAUGGCAGGUGUGGAAUUACUGUUCUCUCGUUGUUUCCACGCCGCUAGCAUGGUGGCUCUUUUUUAAAAACAGCUCUUCUCUCAAGUUCAGAGCAAAAUUUUAGCAUCGAAUUGACAGAAACUUUCAAACAAAGACGUCAGCUGUGACUGCUGCCUGGCCUCCACGGCGAUGAGAUGAAUAUUAAGCACACAUGAGAGGAUUUUGCAAGCAUGUUAGGAAGCUAGCCUUCGUGUUCUCUCCUGCAUGGGUCAUGACAGUUUGUCAGAAUCACCUUGUGUUUGGUAAGCCCGAGAAAAAAUGCAGAUUUUAACCUUGCAUGUCAAAGCCUUAAUCUGCAUCUUCACUCCUCCUUUCCAACUGCCUUCUUUUUUCCACCAAGCUUCUUUGUAGAUAACUCCAUCCUGCCACACCCGCAACAACCCACUUUCAUGAAAGCGAGCUGAAUCUGAUGGCUCCAACAAUGGCAUCUCUCCCUCUUUCCUUCUACAAACUCUCAGUGUGGGCUGUGGUCCACUAAAGCACGGACGCUGCCCUGUAACAAGACCAAUAUGUCCCCCUGGGGUUUUGGGAUUUAUUGCCGGUAGCAUUUAUGGAGAAGUCCCAGUUGGAGAUGAAAGCACAUUCACACACAAACACACUUGCACACACUGAGGAAAAAGGGGUUAGCAAUGCUAAUUCACGCACACACAGACAGGGGGUGUAAAUCCAGCGCUCAUUGUGGAUUCUGCACGUCGGCUGUAUUGUGCAGCGGUGAGCCCCUUUAUUCAAUUGAGCUGCCAUCCAUCCUGGAUGUGGCAGUGAGCAGGCACGUACAGGGAGCUCCCAAAGGAACCCCACACUCACUCAAACACACAAGAGCUGUUUGCAUACGCAGCAACAGACAGUGUGCACUGAUACAAAGAGCCAUUAGGACAAUAAUGACCUCAUGCAACUCUCCGAAGAGUCAUUAUGCUGAAAUAUCACUUUAAGGAGAGCAGGGGUCUCUGUCCAUGUGUGGCUGUCAGUCAGAAGAUACCUGUGUGUGCCUGAGAGUGAUUAAGAACACGUGCAUCCACGAGUAUUUUAUCAUACCAUGGCAUGUUGGGAAAUCCCGAUGGGUUUCUGCUGUACGUGUGCACAACAUGCAGCAAAAAAUGAAGCCUGUGCAAAAAUGAAAAAAGCUGCAGUUCCUUUAGCAUCCACUGAAGGCUGGCUCCAAAAGCACUGAAAUCCCCGUUAGGACCCAUGAUAAAAUACCCAACAACAAUGUACUUUGAAGGAAACAUAAAGUUUGUUAUUUUAGCAAUAUUUUUGUUCUUAUCCUGAGACUGGACAGUGAAAAUUUGGAAGAGAGAGUAUGUAAGUGGCAUCCAACGAAAGGUCAUGGGGUCAGAGCUAAACCGCGGGUGCCCACUUUAAGGAUUUUAGCCUCUGGGGUGUGUAAUUCAACCUCUAAGCCUAACCGGCACCCCAGGCUGAGAGUUAUACAUAUGUUUGCAUAAACUGGAGCCUUUCUGAGCUGGACGGCAGGUGGGCAUAUUAUAGCUGUUUGCCAGGGGGCUAAAAUAAAGCCUACAUAGACUCCAUACAUUUGUCUGAGUCCAGGUAAACUGGGGUAAGUAUGCAUUUUCAGCGACCACCAAUAUAGAGCUUUAAAACAUCUUUUCAGAUGCCAAGAAGUGACAUCCCUGAGACCACAGCCAGGUUUUAUGAAGUUAGGGAUGCACAGUGAUGUUAACCCAUUAUCUAUCUAUCUAUCUAUCUAUCUAUCUAUCUAUCUAUCUAUCUAUCUAUCUAUCAUGGGAAAUCAAUAUAAAUUUAGGGUCCUGUGGAGAGUUUUUUCACAUGUAUGAAUUAAACUCAAAUUUAUUUAUGAUACACAAAAGUAUGCAACCUCACAGGAGCUUUAACUUUGUCAAGUUAAACAAGGUUUUGAUAAGACCAUGGUUACAGUGAAAGUGUCCAUCCCUGUAAGGUAAGGAGAUUUUUAUUUCUGUAGUUACAAAAAUGAGCUUAUUUUGGAGUAAGCAUGUCAUUAUUUUGGAUGUGUGUCUAUGUGAAGGAUAAGUAAGUAAAGGUAACUGAUCAGAAGAAGGGAGUGAGUAACGGUGAUUGGUUUUUGUUAAAGCUGCAGCUGCUAGAGUUGUUUACUUUUACAUCAGUAGAGAUGUAAAUCUAAAUUGCGGGAGUGUCUUUCUGCACUGAAGAAUUCAGUAUUUACCCCGUAAGGCGGUCAAAAAUGAAUAAGCAGAGUAAAAAUAUCAGCACACAUGAAUGACGCACAACUCUUAUCAGCCCUAUAGGCUUUUUACAUCAGAGAGGGUCUGUGGGAGUUCUGGCUGGGAAUACUCCACAGUGGGAGGUCUGCAAAUGUGCUAAUUGUUUUUCUCCUUUAUCUUAUGUAUUGAGUGAAACCUUGGCAGAAUAUUCAUUUGUGGAGAAGUGAAAUGAAAACAAAACUACAAAUAUGUAAGGCUGAAUAAAUGAAGAUGACCAAAACUUCAAUAAUUCACCUUAAUUUGAUGAGCAGUGUAAUAAAGUUAUGCAUGUAACUUCAAACUACUGACUUCCUCCUCUGUUCAAAAUACAUGGUUGCAUCUAAGCAGUCAAGUGGAGGCUGACACAGUCCAAAAGCCUAUUACCCCUACAAGAGAGAUGGUGUAUUAGCGGUGCCUCUCCUCUCAUCUGCCCACUGAUGGAUGCUGUGAACUUCAGUAUAAUUGUGUUGAUUGGUGUGAGGAAGCUGCACAGCUCUGCAGAGCAAAUGAGAAGCGUUUAGCCGGCAAAGGUGGGCAGUGGCAGAGAUACAGCGAGGUGAGCUAUGGUCUCUGGCCUUGGUUAUUAUCAAGCUGAGUUAUGGGCCUCCGCCUCCUCCACCAAUCUGCACACAUUACAAUGCCAAGCCAGGACAUGCCAUCUUUCCUUCUGCUCCAUCCCUCAGUUCUGCUCAUGCUCACUCUCUCUUUCUCUCUCUGUUUCCUGUCUCUCACUCUAUUUUGGUCUUUUUAGGCAUUUCUGCACCUGCUGUCCAUUUAUAGAAAAACAAGACAUCCAAUGAGCUGGGAGUUGAAGGUAAUUUGUAACAAAUUGUGAGUCUAUUGGAGGGAAACUUGUUCAGAUGAAAGCCAUGUAACCCAAUAUAGAAAGUGGCAGAAAAUGGAAAAGCAUGUUACCAAAUCCUCAUGAAAAAUGGCAGUUACAAACCAAAACCUAAUGUAAUAAUGACUUAACUAAUGCUUAGUCUUUCAAAACCACUAAACUGUAUUACAACAGUCUGAAUCUGUCCAGAACGCUGCAGAGCUUUUAACAUGCACCGACAGAUGGUCACACAUUACACCUAUUUUAAUCUCGUCGCGCUGGCUUCUUGUUAAAUUUAGAACGCAUAUAAACAUUUUGGAGCUCACUGACAAGGCUCUACAUGGCCAGGCUCCAGGGUUUAGACUUUCUGCAUCCCAAACCACAGUUCCACACCAUGAGGCAAGAUCUUAAUCAUCUGAAUAGGGUUUUAUACGCGACUCUACAACAUUAAAUCAGAGCAAGAUCACAUUUUUUUAAUUAGAAAUGAUAAAAGGUCUUAUUUUUGAUACUAUUGAUCACUGAAUUUAGUAUCAAUAUUUGCAUUUUUACGUGCAUGUUUAAAAGAAUGCACUAUUUGCAUGUCUAUAAUGAACAACUCUUACAUCUGUCUUGUUUUAGGAUUUCUUUUCCAGAUGAAUGCUACACUGCUACACAGGCGCACACCACGACUUACAAGUCAGAGACAGCCUAUUUUCAUAAUGCUCAUCCUGUGAAAACAGUAUUUUCUGUUUAUUAAACGGUUUAUGCUUAAUAUUGAACAGUUUAAAUUCAAUAAAAUGCAUGAAAAACAAAGACAAGCCAUGGCUCAUAGCAUGGCAAUUUGUGCGCUCCAAAAUAAGCUCUGCCAGCUUAUGAGAGGCAGUUGCGUGCUGCAUCAGCCUGAUUGCUGAGCUAACCUGGGGGUUGCACAAACUAAAGGCACAUUGAUAAUAAUUCUGAGUUGAUGCAAAGUGAACAUUACUGUUGGCUUGUCAACUGGUCUAUCAGGCAGUUUCUUGCGUCAAAUGUACCACUCAAAAGUGAAGUGGUUGUGUUGUUUUCCAUCAUGGCAGCAGUAGAAGAGUGGAAGAGGCGGUCUGAGCGCAAAAUAGCAUAUAAUUUAAGAAAAGGAAGAAUGGACCUUAAAGCUGUUGUGAAGAGAUUUUGAUUGAUUAUGAAGCAGGUUGAAAGGAGCAUUGAUGCAUUUCAAUGAUGUGAAAAAAAUGUGAAAGAAAAAGGUUUCUUCAAAACAACAACCUGACAUUCUGUUCAGUCGUGUACCUUUAUUUCUUUGUGAUUGAAAUGUUCGGAGAAUCUUAAAAAGAAAAGACCAAAACUACACUGAUCUAUCUGAGCAAAAUACAGAGGAAAAUGGAUGCAUCAGAAAAACAUCAAUAGACAAACAGAAGAAUGCUUCUGAGGAAAAACACACCCCGCUCAGUCCCAGAGAAAAACAACAUCGUCAUUUCCAUAUAUAACAGAGUUAGCAUGUGUGAGUGGCAGAGCGGCAUCAUCGCUCAUGUGACGUUCAUUGUGUCACUGCCUGCUGGGGCAGAAUGCUGACAUGAAGUGACUGGCAAAAGUCUGAGCGGAGGAGCCGCUGCUGUCUGUCACCCUCACCUCCUGCUGGGGAGGCCUGUGUGUGUGUGCAUGUGUGUGUGUGUGUGUGUGUGUGUGCACCCUUGAGGGAUGGGGAGGGGGGAGGUGGGACAAGAAGGAACAGACGGAGAGGGAGAGAGAGCGGAAGGGAGAAUCGAGUUAAAGCGAAAGGAACAUUCGGCCGUAUCCAUCUUCUCCAUCUCCUUAUGAAUAUGUAAACCAGACAGGUCAAGUAGGCAUCAAUGACUCUCCUCCCCCUGGAAUUCAAGGCAGAAGGAGGGGAGGAGAGAGGAGUGCUCCCCUCUGGUGCUUUCAUCCAAUAAUGGUAGAUCUCUGUGUGGCAUGUUAGAGAUACCUCUGAGCGGGAGUAUGUGUGUAAGAGCUCUGCAUGUCCUAACGCCUUUAGUACAAACAGGGAAGCCUGGCAGCCAUUUGUUGCAUUAAAAAUGGGCUUUUCCAUAACCUGCCUAUCUGGUUUUAUUAAAUAAUGGAAAUUCAGAGGAGGAAAUAUAUGCAGCUUUCCACAUUUCUUCUCCCUGUUUCUGGAGGAAAAUGUGGUUGGGGUUUCGCUGUUUUCGUCCUCCCCUCAGAUGUGGAGGGAGGACUUGGAAGCCUUAAUAUUACGAUGCUCAUGCCAAAACCACUCCCUUCCCUUUGCUCUGCGCCUUCCUCCCCGCUUUGGUGCUGCCCUGGGCUGUGUGUUUUCAAGGGAAGUUCUGGCACAGCAUCGGGGACAGAGCACACCUCACCACAAGUCUGUUUGAUGGUCCGAGAUGAGAAGGAAGCAUUUGGUUUGGAUUAUUCUUAUUCAGUUGCUGACACAGGGCACACUGAGAGAAAGCACAGAGUCCCAGAGAGACGGAUUAACUGAGAGGUUAAUUCAGGACUAUUCUUCAAUGCUCUGAUGACUGCACUGGCUACAAUGUCUCCUGAUGUCCCCUGGUGACUGUCAUUUCAGGUCACUGUUCGGUGUCACUGCAGUGGUCUCUUGUAUUCUAUUAAACUCCUCCUAUUGCCAGCAUGAUGACAAACUGCUUUUUUUCUAGCUUGGAAACUCUCUGCCAAUGAGUGCAGGCUUUUAAAAGAAUAUUAUGUAAUCAAUAUUUCUUUUUGCCCCACAUACCAUUUAAAAAACAGUGAACAACAACCAGUUUGCAUGAGAGUCAGCUGAGGCUCAGUGGUUGAGUCCGUCAUCUCUCAGUCGCAGAGCUGCAAGUUCGAUCCCAGGUCCCGCUCAACCACUUAACCCCAAAUUGCCCCCCGUGUCGGUGCCUGUGGUGUGUAAUUGGGAUCAGAAAAUACUGAUGGGCACUUUACAGAGCCGCUUUUGUUCAUGGUGUAUGAAUUUGGUAUGAACGGGUGAAUGUGACCUCUAAUGAAAAAGCACUUUGAGUGGUCAGAAGACCGGAGGAAACACAAUUUAAAUACAGCUCAUGUAAAAUAAAUAUGACAAAAUGAAGAAAAUUUCAGUAACAUCAUUGUGGAAAAUACCCAAAGGUUUACCGUCACACUUUUGUUAUCUGAAUUCUUCAUGUUUUAGACAUUGUCAUUGGUUAUUGUUGUCAGUGAAUCCUGGUGUGGAGAUUAAAUAAAUAUUUAAAAUCUGUCCAGCUUUAUUUAUGUUUGUAUGACACCUUUCUAAGUCAAAGAUCAGAAACGUAACGGCAUUACCGCAACAGCAUUACUAAACUCAAAACACUUGAAUGCACUGGCCUUUACAAAGCAGUCAUUGAUAAAGUGGUGAGCAUAUCCAACCUGACAUCAGAUUGUGACCAUGUCCUAAAAUGAGCUCUUCAGAGGAGCCAGGAGAAACACGCUACGGGGAUGAUGCCAACAUCUGUGUAACUCAUGUUAUGAAACUUCACUAGAGUUUAGUAUGGACAUCCAACAUUGUGAAUAUAUGUAACAAAAUAUGUUUCAGCUAAAGAGCUUAGCCUCUUCACGCCCCUGAUUAUGCAAAUUUAUUUGUAAUUACUAGCCUUGAAAUGAUUAAAUCAGUCAAGUUAUGAAAAGAAAAAAUCAUCUUACAGUUUACAGUACAGUUUGUAUGAAUGAACGAAUUGAAAUUGUUUGUUGUACCAGGCUGUAUAAAGGCGGUCUUUCUGCUGCAAAGUUGGCUAUUUUAAUAUGAAGCUUAAUGGGGAUUUCUUGAUGUUCAAAGCAGGCCUCUAGUGGCCACUCGAGGAACUGCAGCUCUUUUUUUUCCACUGACCAUAAUCCUCACUACAAGAGGAAUUAUUGCUCUCCACACUAUGUCAUGACCUUAACGCCACAUCAAAACAGAAAGUUCAAGAUCAGCUCCAAAAAUCCGACUCGAACUGAGAGUGAAUGACUGCUUCAUUUUUUUUGAUGCACUGGGCCGCUGACCAAGCUGUCAGUUUUGAUGAAUUUAGGGGUGACAACCGGCUGUUAUACACUAAAUAAUUAACAGUUUGAUCCUUAUUAUUUAUUGUUGUAAAUCUCCCCACUCAGAUCAAUGAAGUGUCAUAUCUCAUCAAGCUAAUGGACAUGCUGUGCUAAGCAGGAAGGUCUUUGAGCCUGUAAAUGUGCUUCCAUAAGCUCACAGCUCCUGGCCUAUAAUAAAGGGAUCAGUGACUCUCCUUGUAAAAGUUCGCUUAAUAUAAACCACAUCAGAAUCAAACCCGUGACGUCUGUCUGCUGCCACCUUCUCUGUCCUGUGGAGGUCAAAAAACUCAUUUCAUUAUUUCUCUUUCAUCCUUUAAUCCUCUCCCACCUGAUGUCGGGGUGCACACAGACUCACACACAGACACACAAACGGUCAACAGAAGUUUGUUUUCUUGUUCGUGUGUGUGUGUGUGUGUGGAGUGGAGAUAGAGGGUAGAAAAUGCAGAAUAGAGGGCAGACCUGGACAGAUGUGUGAAAAUGAGAGAUAGAGAGAAGAUGACUUGCAUGACUUGUGGCAACAUUGUCAUCUUAAUUCCUCGAUUUGAGGGUGAGUCUAGGUUUACACCAGGAUUACAGCUCAGGACCAAUUAUUACCUGAGAGACUGAAGGAGACGCACAAUGUCAGACUUGGGAUAAGCGAGGCAAACGUGAUGUGACAGGCAUGCAGUCACUGGAGGUGGGCAUAUGGUGAGCUAGCAGUUUGUCAGCUAACAUCACUGAGACUCCGCUUAAAUAUGUAACAGUCGUCUCCAUCAUACCUGUCAGCGCCUCAGACACCUGCCAGUCAUGAUGAAGCCCCAAUCCUCCCACAUGGUUGUGUUUACUCAGGUGUGUAGCUGACAGAGAUCCACACAACAGGUGACCUCUGUGUGCCUGCUGACAGUAUUACUUCAAGUGUUGUGUUUGGCUCUGACACUUCAUGAAACCUAAAUUGGAUUGUAAGAAAUUUCAUAGAGAGGCGGUUGGUGGAGAACACAAGAGGAUGUAAGUAGGAGGAAGCCUCUUUUAAAUUCCAGUGUUCUGGCUGCCUCGACUCAAGGGUAAUGUAUGCAGAACCAUGGCCAGCCUGGACACAUGCAGAGAUAGGGGUCAUCUCUAAACCAGCAUAUCCAACUGCACAUUAUGCCGGGCUUUGUCAGAAAGACACACCAUUAUUCGCUGAGUGUAUUCAUCCUUUGUUCCCAGCGUCUCAUCCUAGAAAUCAGCUAAUCACCGCUAAUCAAGUAAUCAAGACUUUGCAUGUAUUAAUUAGGCAAUUACGUGUCAUAAAAUCCAAAGAAUCUACACAGAAACAGGAUUCCCGGUCUAAUCUUUUUUCACCGGCUUUGCUUUCAUUUCUGAAGAAGCGCUUACACUCCCCUCUGAAAAACAGGAGUAAAUGAGUGCAAGAGUGCCAAAACUAAUCUGUGGAGAUCAACACACGCACUGAAGCGGUGCCGUCCACAAUAAAAGGCCGGGGGGGAUUUUAUAAGGAUUUCUAGUUUAAACCUAUUAGCUCUGAAAUGAAAUGACACCUGAAGUUAUGGAAAAUCAUCAGCCAAACCCAGGGAAGUCUUUAAGCAAUAUUACAGUAUAGAGCUGGCCUUAACUCACCUGAAUACUCCGGAAUAGUGUUUACAUCCCUAUUUACUUUGAUAAUCUGUUAGCAAAGCUAUCUGCAAGCCCUAAUUGACAACUUGCAUUAAAGACAACAUCCUAACUAUAAUGUGAACAAACACACAGACAUUAUUUCUAUUGUUCAGCACUACCAUAGAUCCGUAAAGCAAUAAGGCUUUACUAAUUGCUGCUGUACGCAGAUGGAGUCAGGUAGUCAAGCUUUUCUAUGAGUUCUACGUGGCUGCAAGGGGCUAGAGGCAGAGACAGUAAUGAUUAUGGAAUUACCAUGGCAGAGAUUGUGAUGGCUAGCCUAAUGAUUUCAUGUUAGCGUAAUUAGCAUUACGAGGAGGACUGGUGAAGCGGGGGCGAGGAGAUGGGAAACUGAAGACAGAGCCGCAGAGAGAGGUAAGUAAGAGAGUCGGAGAAACUGACAAAGACAGCGAGGAGGAGGAGGAGGAGGAGGAGGAGAGACGGUGAGCAGAGAAGAAAAGGGAUGGAGGAGAAAGCGAGGGAGGAGGGGGUGAGACAAAAGGGAUGGGAAGUGUAGGAGGAUGUUCAUUAACUAAAUGAGGAUGAAUUGUUAGCAUGACUGUGGGCUGGUGAGGUUCCUUAGCUUCAAUUUCAGAAAUACUUGUCUCACACUGAGGAGGAAGCCGGCCCCCUCACAGGCUGUCAGCUGUAGGUCCUGAAGAUGAACAUCAGCUCAUCAACAUUUUUCUCUCUAUGGCAACCACGUCGGUCAAGACUGUUACAAUCAGACUGCAAAAUUCUCAGAAAUGAUAAAACCCUCUUUGGAUAAGAGAUGAUUUAAUGACGUGGAAGGGAUAAGUCUCUCCUGUGGCCAUUGUCUUGUUUGGGUGUGGUGUUGUUUGUGAGUGGGUUUUGUAUGAUGUAAUGAUGAUGUAAUGAAGGUGCACAUGAACAAACAGUGAAGGAUUGUCAACAGCCAUUUAAAAGCCUGAACUCAAAGACGUCGUUUGUUGACAGUCCUGCAAAAAAGGAAAUGCAAUUCUGCUUCAUUUUGUGCAAUGUUUACAAAGUGAAAGACGUAAAAAAAAAAAAAAAAAAAAAAAAAAAAAACCUGAAAUAGUUUAAAAAAAAAAGCUCAAACUUCUGGUAACAACGCACCCCUUAUAAUGCAUUACACAUUUAAGGCCUCAUAACAACCUCAUGAGUCGUAAGACGCAUUCAUAACAACUUACAGGUAUGUUUAUAUAAAGCGUUGUAAGCAGUGAAAAAGAUGCCUUAUAAAAGUAUAGUUAAUAAUGUGUUAUACCUUAAUGCAAAAGAAAAAAAAUAUAUUGAUAAAAAUGUUUAAUGGUUCUGAAUCAUUUUUGUCUGACACUUUAAACACAAUAUUAAUAAUGUACAAUUUAAUGUAAAUAACCUCAUACGGUCACUUUACUUAAAUCACCAAUAGUACUGCUUAUGCUGACUGUGAAUGUUAAUAUGACAGUUUUUGAACUGAGAAUCAUAAACUUAUUUUAAUGAUACAUAAAAUAAGUUUAUGAACCUUUAUAUCCAGGGCAAAGUUGUGAGCUACAAUGUGUUAUUAAAUUGAGAAUUUAAAGGAUGUUGUUUUUUCUUUUGCAUCAAGUUGAAAACGAUUAUAAACCAUACCUUUAUAACGCAUUAUACUAACUGAUUACAACAAUUCAUAAACAUUGCUUUAAACUGUCAUGAGCCAAUUAAAUUAUGAACUGGUCAUCAAAGAGCAACAUAGAAAUGUAGAAAACUCAGACAGUAAAGAAAACUAGUUGCAACAUUUUUUCAACAAAUACUGUUACAGUCCAAAAAGCUUCAUUUGGUCUGUCUACUGUAUAUAUUAUUUCUUAUUUUUUAUAAACGUCCUGCUUAUCAACAUAUAGUUACUCCCCAAAUAAAACAAGCACUACACAAUGAAGGACAGUUUUAGUGCUAUCUCAACUUUUCCUUUUGUUUUAUAAGCUUUUGGUAAAACUAAGACUUUUGGAGAGUAAAGGCAAAGUUAUUUACUACUUUACACUCAUGUCAGCAGGUAAAUAUCAGUAAAUUUUCAUUAUUUCAUUGCAGUUUUGUUUUAAUAAAGUCUAUUAUCUUUGGUAUGGCUGUAUUUUCUAAUAAGCAGGUGCAGUAUUUCAUGAGAAACUGGCAAAUUAACUGCUGUCACACACAAGUCUGUGUGUGAUUUGUUUCCAUAUUUGUCUACACAUUUUUGUCAUCCUGUUGCAUCCUAAUUAGCACCUCAUUGUGUGCUGCCAAAGCUGUGAUAAUGUUUGAUAGAAUUCCCUCCCUUUUCCACACAGCUUUAGAGAUCAUUUCCACUGGGUAAUGUGCAAAGAUUUGAGUAAGUGAUUACAAGCAUGCUGAACAAAGAAAGACCAGGUUUUAUUAAUAAUAACAUCAGAAAGCUGAAGUGUACAUCCUCCUGUAAGCUUGCUAUCUUUGCAGGAAUGAGGAUAAUUAAUGAGGGAUGAUGUAUACUGAACAGGUCGUUUAGCAGAUUAGAAACCCAACAGGGUGAGAAGGAUCUUCAUGCAAAACGAUGAGGUUUUGUCUCAACUUGUAGGGUCCACUUUUAAUGCUUUUUUCUUUGCAAAUGACUGGACAUCAAAUGUGCUUGACUUCUUUCUGUGUAUUAACAUGAUUAUAGCAAGUCCUGUUAAGAGCCCCAUCUUAAAUUUAGUGCCCAAAAUUCUUUUCCCUGAAUAAAAUAGACUGAGAUUCCUAUUCUUGAUCUCUGAAAGCAAACAAGACCCUCAGCAACAAGGUUGACUAUUUUCAUAGAAUAAUCUUUAAUGUCUAAGGACUAUUGCCAUGGAGCAUUGACUAAUCAUAUUCAAGCAUUUAACACAGCUGUGUAAAUGGGAGUAAUGGUCAGUAAUCAAGGUAAUAAAGUCAUUUUCUUUAAAUGCACUGAAUCCAUAGGUGCAUGGCAGGAUUAUGGUAUUUAAAGUGUCCUUUUCUUGUAGUCUAAGUAAAACCAUUGACGAACAUUUCAAGCUGGCUUUGGCUGCAUGCUGGAAAAAGAACUCCAUGGAGGGCACAAAAAGGGCAGAAUGCAAUCUGGCAUACUGCGAUUCAGGAAGCUGACAACCAUUUUGCUUUAAUUGAUUUCCAUAAAUAUAAAGUAACCUAUUUUAAAAUGCAGCCGACAAUUUGCUCAUAUACAGUCUCUACACUCCAACUCCUUUCUUGCUUCUUGAGUGGUUAGACUGACUGUGAACAAUGACGACAGGAAGAGAAGUCAUGGAUGGAGGUCCUUUGUCUCGAGAAGGUUGGCCUUCGCUCAUAAAAGCUUUUAAGAUUUUCAGGCAUUCGCAGAGGACUCCAAAUGGAUCAUGAUACAGACACUUAACACUGCAUUUUAUGAGUGUUUUCAACAUUUUCUACAUAUACCGUACCUCUAAUGCAACUCAUCCUCUAUAAACCGGCUAUUUUUGGAUGCAACACUACGUUCUUUUAUGUAUAAAAAAAGGAGAGAAUAACCUCUCAAAAAGUUUGGUAUUUAAUUGCAUAAAUGUGGGUGUCUAUAUGUGUGUGUGUGUAUCUGGGUUAAUACGGAUGAAAGAGUUUGUAUUAAUGUAACUGCCGAGCCAUACUUCAGGUUGCUUCUCUCCCUGUUUUCCUCUCUGAGCCACAGUAACCAUUUAAAAUGCUUAGCAGCCUAAUUCCUGUUGAGUCACAUAAAGCGUUUGUCAGAUCUGCUCUCCGUGUUCAGGAUUAACCUAAUCCCACCGUUAUGAAAAUUAAAGUUUGAAUCUUCCUGUGUCGCCCCUGAAACAAGUUUCUACCUCUUUAUUGUCAUGUCAGACUGCCCUAAAAAAAACGAGUCUUUCUCUCCCUUUUUUUUUCGUUCUGCACUACUGAGUGAAGGGAUGGUUUAUUCACUUAAUGAAAGAGAGAAGGAUAUUUGCGUGAGCGAGAGAGUCGAGGCAGCCAGUUAAUCCUCCUCUGUCUGUGUAACUACUGCUCUGGAGACCUCUAUAUGUCAGUUAGCAUUAUACUGUAAAUACCUUCUCAUAAGGCGGAAAGCCGAGCAGCGGACACUUGUGAAAACUCAGCAGCUCUAAUAAUGACCUGAAUUAAUGUUGUGCUAAUUUGCUGCUCAUCAUUCUCUCUGGCCUGGAUGAGGCUCUUAAUGCAGCUGUUUAAUCCACAAACUCACCAAACAAACUCCGGAGAAGAGAUACUUCCUGUGCCACUUGUAGGAGAUUCUGAAACAUUUGAAAUACCAUCCACUAAUUACGAGCUGACAUCUUUGGAGUCAGCUGCAGGUGUUGGACAACUCACUCAUUACAGGCAGUUCUUUCCCUCACCCAACAUUAUUAACAAACUCCCACAGUCACUUAGCUUCCAGUGCUCUGCUGCUUGUUCUUACGUUCACUUUCUCACUCCAGCUUUUUCUUGGAGUAAUGGGCACACCUGGCAGCUAAAACCUGCUUUGUCUGUGUCCAUGUUUAAUUGCCUCUUCGAUUAAAUUGUUGUUUCUCAUCAUAGCUGAAUCCACUGUUUACCGAGAGAUACAUACACCACUGCCCCAUAGACGACUGGCUGUCAGACCAAAAAUAAAAAUUUAGCUUUGCCUGUGCUGAGAGUCAGUUUGCCCUCUCUUCCCAUUUGUCAAAUUGCUUGGACUAAGGUUUUGAAGAUAAAACUAUCUCAGUACCACCUGGCACAUGUGGGGCUCUGGCAUCAAGUUAGCUGUAAUAACAAUACAUCAGCAUCAGCAAGUUGAAAUGCAGCCUAGUUUGAGCCCAAUUUCUUAUUCAGCACACUUAAGAGAGUGUACAAACAUAAGCAUUAGCUACAUCUUAAAUUCUAAAGCCUGCUCUAUGUAGGUGUGAAGUCCUCAGAAAUACAGGUCAUCAAAGUGCAUCAUUUUGAAAGAUAGGGUUAUUUAGAAGAUGAGGAGAAGCAGAGGCUGUUUAAGUGUUUGUAUUUAGUUGUUGUUAGCUGUUGUUAGCCGUUGUUAGCUAUAAUAGUUGAAAGCAACGCAUAGCUCAGUAUUAUAGACAAACAAACGCUAUAGAACCAUGUCCACAGUUAGAUGUUGGAGAGUUCUAUAUGUACCUCUUAUUUAACUUCGCAAAAAACAAAACAGUAGCGCUAAUAAAUAAUACAUUACAAGAGCUUUCUCUGUUACUGUUUACUGUUGAUGCACAGUGCUGCCAUCUUGGAUUAUGACAUUGUAGUCAAGUCGGGGUUGGUGAGGAUUAAUGCUGAGGUUAAUGGGGCUUUUUAGGGUAUUUUUAUAUUGACUUUAAUUCUACUCUCCUUUUUAAGAUUUGCAGAUGCUUUUCUUUCACUAAUAAACAAGGCAAACACUUAACAUUUCAACAUUUCAAUCACUACCACUCAUGGUUUCAGAGUUUUUGAGUGAACAUUUUUGACCAAACAUCAUCAAGCAUUUCUCACAGCUGGGUGAUGAGUAAGAAAGCCAGGUAACAAAUUACCACAGCGUCCCAUAUAUAAGGUAACAAACCUAAAUGUUGUGCCUUGACCAAGCUGCCAUUCUUGAAAAUGUGGAGUGAAACCGAGCUGCUCUUUCCACUGCAAACGCCACUUUUGACCAAAAGAGUUGAGAGUGUCUCAUCAAAGAGUGGCUGUCAGUAAAAAAUGAAAACCUGUCCAUGUUUUCAAAGAGGUAUAAUAGAAACUGCUGCACCAAUUUCAGGAGUUUAGAGGUUCUAUCAGAGCGGCUCUUCAGGCGUGAAGCAUUAAAUAAAAGCAGGACGGUUCAGUUUAGUCCUCAGUGAUUUAGAUGUCCAGGACACACUGUCCAUAAUCCUGUUCAAUGGAUUUGUUUAGCAACAAAUAGGCCCACAGUGCAAUGUAUCAGUGCAAGCUCACAUUUCACUGGCCAACUCCCGAACACUUUGAAGGACUGUAUGCAUGCAUGAUGUGUGCAAUAGAGAGAAGCAAAUGAUGAAACCGGAAAACAGAGAGUCUGAAACCCAUACAGAGGGCUGUAUAAACGGAAUGUUCCUUCUGCUUUGAAAGGCAGGAAAUCAGCGCAAAUUCAUGUCUAACAAAGCAAGACGGUCACUAAAUAUACCGAAUACGACAAUAGAGUGCUGCUUUAAUGUGCCCAGAUGUAACAUAAAGAGUGAAAGGUAAAUAAAUAAAAAUAACAGCCUCUUUGAAAUCAAUAUGAUUGAGCAAUUUUCCCCACAGGUUGUCAAUUUUCUUCAGCCCAGUUGGGAGAAAGCUUUUAUAACUUUAUGACAUUCAAUUAAACAACUCUCAUAAGAGAUGUGUGCAGUUUAAUGCAGUAUAAGCUAAUGGCACGCAAAAUGAAAGGAGGUUAUCAAGGCUUCUGUAAAUCACAAAUUCAGCGGUGGUCCAGACAUUUUAGCACAAAAACAACCGUUUUAAACGCAUUUCCCUGAGGAGGGUUGUUAGAUUCUAUAGUUUUUUAAUGUACAUGAAUAAAAAAGGGUAAAUAGAAAUCAACUAUAAGGGAGCGAAGUCAAUAAUCCUAAUGUCUCAUAGCACUGGAAAUGUCUUAAAGCGAAGCCUCAGCGGACUUUAAAUGUGUCAUAAAAGUGGAAAGUUGUCAGAUAGAUUUUGCUCUAAUGAUAAAAUGUACAGUUAAUCCAGCAUGAAAAACAGUAAAAGGCAGCACAUACAGAUAAAAGCGGAGGUUGAGCUAAGUUAGCCCCUCUUUGAGGAGCAGCUACACAUGUGUAAUUGGAGCGAAUGUGACGCUUGUCGGGUUAAAUACAUUCCCCUGAACUUUAAGUAUUUGCAUGUGUCGUAUAUAUGUGCGUAUUAACUGUCAGAUGAUCCCCACAGCGCCAUGCAUGACUGAGUGCCCUGCCUUUACUUUAUUUAAUGUGUGUUUUUUCCUGAUGGCCCGGGACAGUCCUGUCUCUAUGAUGUGUGAAGUGCUGAUUUAUGUGAAUAUAGGAAUACUCACUUGGACAGGGGAGGUUGGUUUCGUUUCAUCACUGGAGGAGAUGAACAUGAUUAGAUAAGCACUUCCAUUGUGUUGUUGACAUUACAGAAAGUUUGGACUCCCAUUAAUUUGUAUGUUUUAAUUUCUUUGUCAGCCAUGUAGUAAAAAUUAGAGAUUUUUUUUCAGUGUUUUAGCUACAUCAGCUGCACUCUCUUACCUUGCCCUAUCAAAGGAAUCACAACCCUAAUGUUGGGAUGCUGUUUAAAAGAGUGAUUAAAGCAGAUUUUAAUGGUUUGCAAAUCAUUACAAUCCCAUAUUCAAAUAGUAAUAGAUUAUUAAAGGUAACAAAACUAAUGCUGAAAUAGAAAAAAUCUGUUCUGUAAAAAAUGCAUGCACACCGCAUUAAAACACACACAACUCUGCUGUGGAAGCUGGGCCUGAGCCUAUCUAUGGUGGACAUGGGUGAAGAUGUAUACUGUCCUGUGGUAAUGACAAAUCAAAGUUUGACAUUUUGAUAUUGAAAUUUAAUUAAGAUUUUACACAGUGUCCAACCUCCUCUGAAGUUAAGGUUGCAUGAAUAAAAUAACAUACAGUAUCUACAAUUGAGUGGUUGUAGAUAAGAUGCAGUAUUUGUUUGUUUUAUAUUAACCUACAUCCUGUAAAAGUCAUGCAUCUUGUUGCAUGGCAUAGCUGUUUAUCGCAGGUAAACACACAGUAGUGGUUCAAGGUAAUAUCAGAUGACUCAUACUGUUGCAUGUUCAGCAAACUAAACCACAGACUUACUAUUUAACAUACAGAAAAUAGUUUUCCUCCUCUUAUCCAGGGCUGGGUUGCAAUGGUAAAGCAAGUCCUGCUUUCCAUCGCCAGUGUUUUUGACCCAAGGACCCAUUGGUUUCUUUGCUUACCUAAAUGCAUCUUAUUUGAGCAUAAAUAAGAUGCAUUACCUAAAUGCAUCUUAUUUGAGCAUAAGAGCUCAGUGUUAGCUGAACCCUUACGCACUGACUGAUGAUUUUACUCAAACUAUGAAUGAAAACCAGAGGAGUAAGAAGACUAAAUUCUUAUUCCUCAUUCACAGAAUUUAUUUACAGAUUUAGGAAAUAUAGUCAGAACUAACACCCGGAUGCUGUCUUACUUUUUAAUCCUACAUUCUUGCACUUAGCUGGUUAAUAUAUUCCUUAUUUUCUCAAACAGUGCAGUGUCAUCUGUACGAUAUACAUAAAUAAUUGACUCAUAGUCCUUCAAAAUCUCCAAACAAAGCUGAUGAAUUUGUGUCAACCUGUCAUCACUGUCCAGGAUGAGAGACUCAUUGCUCGCCAACAGACUCAUUGUCAAAGCAAGGCCGACUCAGACUGACUUAACAAUGAAAGAAUUGAAAACUUUCCUUUGUGAGCAGAGGUGAGACUGAGCAGGGAUGUGAUUCUCCUGCCUUUAGUAUGUAGAACAAAGUCUUACAAUCAAUCCCAAAAGACUAGUUAAAGAGGCCUGGGAAAAUGGUGCCUCCUGAGUUAAUCUUUAAAAAUGUAGUUUCAGAUCUUUAAUAGUGGAAACAUAUGUCAGAGAAAUAAUCCUGUUGUACAAAAUCAAGUCAUUGCAGAUUGUCCGGGAUUAAUCUCUGGUGUGAGAUCUAAUCCACGAGCAUCCCUUGACUGCUAGAGAGCUGUGAUAAUCCUAUAUCAGACCCAGGCUGUUAAUCUUGUUCCUAACAUACGACCUUUUCCCACUACAUGAAACAAAAGCCGGAAAUUACCUCAAGGUGACUCAAUGUCAUGAAAAAAAUGGUUUAACUGAAGAAAGUCGGCAAUGAGGACUGACAGGAGGAAAUAAGAGAGAACGGUUCCUUUCUUCCUCAGUUGUAUUCAUUUCCUUUCAUCAUUAAUUUGCUCCAGUGUUUUGUAGUGAAGUAAAGUGAAUAAUUCUGCUGGAAUGAAGUAAUCCAUAUUCAACAAGCAUUCAGAACAUGCUAACGUAGGAUCACCCUCCCACUGCUUAGCUGCACUCCUUUGGUAUUUCAUCACACUUAGUAUUCAAAGCAUGAACAUCCUUGGAUUACCACUCUCUCUCUCUCGCUCUCUGCACAUGUGUGUGUAAGCGCGUGUUACUGCCCUUUUUCAUUGGCCCUUAUUGGUAAUCAGGCGACACUGAGAUCCUCCUGCCUGCAGAACGGGGAAAGUGACCGUCUUCUCUAGGCCUCGACCUAGCCUCCGCUUCACACUGAGAUUUAUGUGACCUGUUACGGGUUCCCCCCGCUGGCAGGACCCAUCAUCUGAAUUAUAACGAAAGAUUAGGCCCCCGAGCUAAUGAUAGAGCCUGGAGGGGAAAGUGACCAUGUGUUUGGCUGUGGCGUGUUUCCUGUAAACCAGAUUAUAGAGCACACACAGAGCCGUGCAAAUAUGAGAGACGAGCUCACAUAAAAUUAUGUCUAUAAGCAGACAUGGAGAUUAAACACACACUGACACACACAUACACUUCAAUUUAAAACCGGCCUAUAAAAGCAUGUGGGGUGCAGCUGUGCUUAGAUUAUGAAUCUCUAUUAACCUUGCCAACCCAUCAACUCACUUUUAAUGAGGCCAAAGAUAACAGGCUUACACACAGAUACACACACGGAGCUCAAAGUCUCACAGUUUAAAUUAGUUUGCCCAAAAAUGUGAAUUUAUUAAUCCUGGUUUAAAUGGAAAUCAAAAUGCCAAACUUGGCCUACAUUUUCCAAGAGAACACACACAAAUGCAAAUAAACACACGGUAUUUUAACUCAGUGGAUGCCUGUAUGAAAAGCCUGACACACGAGAUCCUUGUGUAGGUCAGUAGAUGGGUAGACGUGGCUCGGGGCAGUUUUCAUACUGUGUGCUGCUCAUUUCCACUGUUGUGGAGUAAUGGCACAGUUUGCCGUGGCCUCUGGCGUCAAGAUAACCCAAUAUCAGCCAGCAACUGGACUGCUAUUGUUUCAUUUAUAAGAAAACAUUUCACUCUUAUAUCACAUCUGCUUCCUCCUGGGGAAUACUCUCAGCUUGUGGAUGGAUCUGUGAGUGGGUUUGUGCUAACAGUAACAGCACCCGAAAGAUCAUAGAUCACAGGAUUCCCACCCUGCAUCCUACAAAACUGCCAUCCAAUCCGAAUGAUCAAUACGCCCCCGGCCUGCUGUGGACAAUAUCAGUGGAUCCCUCUUUAAAGUUUAAGAAUAUAACGGAGGCAAUUCCAUGAAGCUAUUACCGGUUCAAGGGCAGGUGUACAUGGGAUCAAUAAUAGUGGAGUACAUUGCGCUGAAAGCAUCUGAGGGCAACCACCAAACCUAUUCUCAUUCAUAGACCAUGAAAUACAGAGGUCUUAUCACGGCCCCUUUCAGGGUCUGUUUUUCUGCACCCUCCUCCUUAAAGCUUUUCUUGCACACAGUUUAAGCAGUGAGACAGCCCCACAUUUAGGCUCCAGUGUUACUUUUGUUUUAAAUCCCCAGGUAGAAAGUCUUCUAUUUGACCAAUGUAUACACCGUGACCUGCUUUCUAUCUGGUCUCAGUACUCCUUGUACAUCACCUGACCUGUCACAGACCUGACAGCAAGAUACAUAGCUCUUCGGCUCUGAGAUUGCAUCAGUGGCAUCUACUACAGAGCCUAAAGGUUACAGUGUGGAUCUAUAUUAGAACCACCUUCAUCGGCUGAUUGUUAAAAAGGAUCUGAAACCUGAAAUUGAUCUGGAAUCAGUUUUUGUCCUUCUGCAAAUAUGUACAGCCAUAGAAAAAAAAAAAAAAAGCAAUUGCCACGGGCAUGCUUAUUAAUGACCCACAGGCCUCUGCAUUACAUGCACCUGCCUCUCAACUUGACUUGUGGCAAUAAUAAUAACAGCUCUGAAAACAGUAAUGUGGUCCACGAAUCCAGUUUAAGGUCAACAAUGUGUAGGACGGCGAGAGUACAGAUGCUACCACAGGCACCUGAAUGAGAUGCCAGAAGGAUGUGACAAAGCAUGGGAAUAAGACGAUGCCAGUAUAAGAACGAGUCUGAGGAUCCUGCACUUUUCUCAUAAUAAUAUGACCUUGCUAAAUACUUGACUCUGACUGGUUAGUACUCCAGAGCAAUGGUCUGCUAUUUCUUGAUAACAGACUGAUGUUAUGAAUGUGGCUUGAUUGGACUGAAGUUGAAGUUGAAGGUUAAAGACAGUCAAUAUAUUUACAUGCACAGUUAAGUCCAGCUAAAGGCUCAUAACUCAAUCAAGCGAUUUAUCCGCAGUACUGUCCUUGUCUCAGUUUACAAUCACUGUGCCAAAAUCAAACAAAAGGGUGUCUGUCCCUGCUAAGGUAAGCGGUGGACAUGCCCCUUUUCAGCUCUGCACUACCAUCUGCUUUACAAAUUAAAAAAAGUUAGAAAACAAUGUUAGCAUGUGGCUAAUGGGAUGAAAACACUCACAGCUCUGUACAAUAUCUUUGUACAUUAGAACGGUUUCAUCUUUUUAUCAACCAGUUUCAGUCAAACUAAGGCAGUGAAUCGAUUUUUUUUUGUGAAAUGUGAACAUACUGUUUGAAACUAAAGCCUAUAGAUUUAAAUAAUGCAUGAGUUGCAUUUGAUAGGUCGUGGUUUGGGAUACUGAAGUGUUUAAGAACUGGAAAGUGUAGAAGAAAAUGUCACACUAAAUGUUCAGUUUAAUUAUAGUAGAGGUAGCUUAUUCUGUUAAGAUUCAAACCUGCUGUAACAACCCAUUCACUAUACAUCAUUCCUUGAAACAGACUGUGAGAAGCGUUUCUUGUGGUAUAAACAGGCCCUCUGACUGCCAACAGAGACUUUCUUCCUUCCCUCACUUUGACUCCAAAUUGAACCAAGCAGUCAUAUUAAUGUUGGAUCUCCAAGCUUGGAUCAAAGUAGCCGCCCUCCUCCUCCUCCUCCUCCUCCUCCUCCUCCUCCUUCUCCUCCUUCUCCUUCUCCUUCCAUCCCCUCCCACUCUUGGUUGUCUAAUGCUGCUUCACCCUGCAUAUUAACACUGCUGUAAUUGGACUUGUUGUUUGUUUGUAGCUUCGCUGUUUGUUUAGAUCAUGUUUGAAGCCUCCCUUAAUUAAAUUGCGUCCUUGGUGUCAGAGUCUCUGAGCAUGUUGAAACCACACAGCUGGGUAAAAUGUUGCCAUCAGAUCUGAGAGAAUGUUCAUGUGUAAGGGAGGAGAGGUGAGAGAAGGGUAAACGCUCCUGAAGUAGGUUAAAUUACAGGCCAAUCAUUGCACUAUAGGGAAGUGUCAUCUGUGCUCAUUCAGCGGCUGCAUUUUUCACUGAAUUUAGAUAGGAUGAUGGAGGAACAUUUAAGUGAUGUAAUUAAGAUAAAGCCAAAAGUUGAAACUUUUACCACUUGAUUGAUCUAAAUUCACUUGGAAUGCAUGAAAACCUCCGAAACUCAUUUGGUCAGUUUGUGGUUUGCUGAGUUACUUCAUCCCGUUCGCGCAAAUUGAACUAUAAUUGCCCACGUUUCAAUUCCACCGACUAUUGUGGGACUGUGAAGUGUGUUUAUGAUUGAGUCUGGGGAACAUAAAAGAAGUAACCAGACCAUGGAGACUAUAUUUAACCUUUAAAGGCUUACUUUUCCUUGUAAGCACCCCUACAUUUACACUUUGCCUCUCUGAGGGGUGUAAUGACUUCCUUGGGCAGUCUGCAUGCACUCAGGAAAUCUGUUGACAGACGGGGAGUCCACAGAGCCAUGCACGUCCAGAAAAAAUGGAGGAAAGUCUGAUGACUUGUUUAGAGAUCUCCUAAAUGGCUCCCAGACCUAAUCACUGGUCUUGUUUAAUGGGCAAUGAUGUUAUUAUUGCGGAUGACUAUUUGAUCUUGCUGCGCCUCUUGAGAGGAAUUAGGGAAGAGUAAUUCACCAACAAACACAACAGACGUGGCAACCCAUCUUAAACACAGAACCCAUCAUCCCUUCACUGCAACAGACCCAGCCCUAGAUUAUCUCCCUCAUGAGGUAACCAUUUGUUUCUUUGUUUGUUUGCAUGCGUGCACACUGCAGAGACUUAAACUCUCCACAGCACACAUUACUAAGACAAACCGGGCCACAUCUCUGCUCCCUUGCCCCAAACCAUUGCCAGGCACUAACUAAUGUAGAUAGUCUGGCUAUGAAAGAUUACAUUCUGCCAGCCUGGGUGCUGCCAAAAAAGCCAACCUAGAGCAGGAGUGUGAUUAGAACCUGAGCCCCCUGACUGAGACAGCCCUGUGAGGGUUUUUAUGCUGCAUCAGUGUUGGUGCUGUAUCUUUGCAAAAUGCCGUCUUAAAAAGUGAUCGAAUGGGGGCACAAAUGUGGGAGCUGAUUUUAUCUCUUAGACACAUGGCAUCUUAACAGGUUAAGAGACAGCUGACUGGCUGUUUGAGGCCAGCUGUGUUGGAAAUUGUUUUGGCAUGUGUUUUUCCAUCACUGUGCCCUCCCUCGGUCCAGCAGCCUGUCAGUAAAAAACUCCACGAGACCAUGUGUACAACUGAGUGUUCGAGGAAGAGAGGAUGUGUGUCAGUGUAAAUACAUGAGUACAGUAUGUCUUUCUAGUUACCUUUGUGUUUGUGUGGAAGCCUGAUGCAGCUGUCAUUGUUCUCUGACAAAGAAUAAUAUAAAAAAGGGUUUUGAACUUAAGUGAUGCAACAACAACGAAAAAUAAAGCCAUGCAGUUCCACGAGUGAUCACUUGGGGCAGUCUAUAUAAGCUCAGGAAGCCUCAUUCACCUACGCAACAGGAAAGUUGAACAUGUACAACAUGAGUAGUGCAGUUGACUGACAGACAGGUCCAUAUAAUUGUUCCCCAGACUACAGCCGUGUUUUUUCAACAGUCCAUUUUUUAAAUCAUCUGCAGCCAGAUCUGUCAUAUUUCCCUGUUUCAGUUUACUGUUUGUGCAUUACUAACUUGUGUGUUUCCAGACUGAAGGCUGUGAAUCUGUUCCCAAGAAGCUGUGUGAGAGACCUCAACCUGUCUCACAUAACAGCAAUUUGUUUAAACAAAUAAAGGCAGGUCCCCAAAACAGGCACCUUGCCACAGGCGUACAAGGUAAUUUCUGAAUAAUUGAUGUGUUUAAAAUUGAACAAUAACAGGAAUAUAAAAAUAGAGCUCACUACUUUCUGUCUUCAUCUUAGUAUCAAUUCUGCCUGUUUUUCUGGAUUUAAAGCUCCUGUGAGGAACUUCCAGUUUGUGUGAGUUUUUGCGCCCUCCUAUGGACAAAGCAGUCUUCUCUUAUCUUAUCAUCUGUUUGCCCAAGUAGUGUCCUCUCAUCCUGCUGACUUUUGAUGGUCAAAUCUUACAUUUAUUUCUAAUGUUUCAUGGAAAAACAUCAAAAGAAGAAGUUCUUUUUCAGCUGCAUCGCUGAUACCUACCCCCUCACGCUGCUAUAAGGCAAGGUUAUAUUACAAAUAUAUAUACAGAUAUAAAACAUAAACAUAGCCACUGGUGUUGUUGCUGAGGUCAUUUGUUUAUCUGCGCUUUCAUUUCUAAAGCUCUUGUGAGGACUUUCCCAGGCUGAAAAAGUCCUCACAAGAGCUUUAGAAAUGAAACGGGCCACCUACAGUGCAGAUAAACAAAUGUGUUUAUGUUCAAAGUUGCUUGAAUUUUAAUAUAUGUUUGUUAUUCUAACUAACUGAUAGGCUUCUGACCUGUAAAAAAUAGAGGGUUAGAGCUUUCUCAGUUCCUACAGACUGAUACUGGUGUAAACUGGUCUCUGCUCUAUGUUGCCACAGUUUCUGCCACACUUAACAACCAUAUCCUGUGCAUAGCUGUGGUGGUGUAAAUGGGCUUUCCAGAUCUUAAAGCAGAGGAAUGAGAAAAGCAGGUUGCCGUGGCAUCAGUCUUUUAUUUAAAGCUCUGUAAUUUUAGCACUGGCUGUUUUCGAGGUAUUCUGUGCUUCUGCUUCAGUGAAUCUAUACAAAUGUCGUUGAACUGUUGCUCCUCUUCUCACUUUACUCAGCCAAAACACUCCACUAAUUGUAGGUUGGACCUGAGUUAAAUAUGGGAUAAAAAUUCCCUGUUUUGUGAAGUUGCAAACAGCUCCUCCUGUGCUUGAAAUUUAAAUCCCAAUGUGGUAGUAAAGAGGAUGUAAAGAAAUCCGGUCAUCUCAACAGGAAGUGAGGGCCUCUUCAAAGCUAAAGCUCUAAGGAAGGACAAGAAACCAUAAAAAUAUCUCUCUCCUUUGUCUGAGGGCACAGCUUGGCAGUAAACAAGGCCACAGCUGGCCAGCGCUUUCAUAUAUUGUCUAAAUGUUAUACUACAUGUGAGAUCAGAUGGGCUAUUACACAGGUGAACAGGUGACACAUCCACAUAUUAAGUGAGGAGGGGGUUGUAAUUUAGUUAUCAAGAGAUAACCACAUCAUUUGGCACUCAGUGCCCCCAGUUCAGCCUAUUACAGUUCACUGACCUUGCAGUGACAUUCUGCUGAACAGGAAACACUCACAAAUGCAGCUCGCGAUGCUAAAGCAGCUAUGUUAAAUGAGAAAAUGAGAUGACAUGAUUUUUCUGGCAGUGGAAUGGGCUGGUUAAUACACAUUACCACUGAUUCAGUCACAGCAAAUCCAGCCAAUCAGCCUCUCUCCCUCUCCUUCUCUCUGUCACUGUCUCAGCUGAACAUGAAAACCACAACAAUCCCUGAAAAAAGGAUCAUAGCUUUAUUUGAUGUCAGCAGGGGUGUAUGAUUAUUUUAAAAUAUCAGAGGCACAUGGUCUUUUCAUUAGAUGUUAACUGCAAAAUAAUGAGAAAUUAGAGCCUGAUUUCUUAAAUUUCUUCUAAUCAAGGCUUUAAAAUGUUUUGGCACUUGAUAUGCAGCCAAUAGCAUAAGAAAUGGGAUUUGUACAAGAGUCUGAAGCAGUAAAAAAGCUUUUUAUUGCAAGCAAUCUCACUGACAAGAGUGAAAUCAUUUAGAAGCACCUUUUCUUUACAUAAUCAUCCAGCUGGGUUAUUUUUGGAUGGUAUUCUAAGUUAUCUUUCUGGGUGGGAAAAAUGUAUGGUUAGAUCAUAAUAAGGUGUACAGAAUGAGUUUUAAAGUGUUUUAAUCUAGUAUGUAAAUCAAAACCGAUGCUGCUCAGAGUGCAGUUCAGCUAGAGUUCAGGAGCACAUUGAGUGAUUGUUAAUCCUUAAAGCCUUCAAAAACAUCUCUAACUGGAUGUUUCAUCUGUCUGCUUGUCUCUGUUCUUCAAGUCAUGGUCAUCUCCUUCACCCCAAGGUCGUCUGACCACCUCUGUCCCUGAGGCGUUUCUAGCCUUCUGACCAGAGAAGAAAUCGAACGUCCUGUUCAGCCCAAACAAAAAAAAUGUCAAUUUCUCUGUUGAUUCAAUUAGGGAAAAGGAGUGUGUGAGAUAAAGCGAGUGUUAUUUAUCAUGGCUAAGGUAAGGCUCAAUAUCGAGCUAUGUUAAUUAGAGCUCUGUAGCUUAAACAAUGACUGUGGGAAGCAGCGCUUCCACAAAUAGUUCCUACCAUCAAGAUCAAUUGAUCUGGAAGAAGCUAUACUUGGACUUUCUUGGAGAAUAAUUAGAGGAAAUAAAUCUACAACAAGGUGUUAGCUUGAUCAUUUUACAAUGUCAAAUCAGUUUUUACCAGAAAAAGCGCCUGACAUCAGCUGUAAAAGCAAAUGCUACAUAAAUUCAUGAAGUAGAGAUGCACAGAAACCUAGACUUAAAGGGCUUCUUUUAUGGGUUUGUUUGUAGAGAGAUUUGAUUCAAGCUGCUAAAUGAUUAAAGAGGAAAAAGUGACACGCACUGGUCGAGCAGUUUUGUUCAAGGUGAAUCAGCAGGUUGGUGUGUAUUCUUAGAGUCUUCAUGACAACAUAAGAAAGAUCAAUAUUUUAUGCAUGCAGUAGUUUAUGCAUGUUUGACUUAUGUAUGUGCAUGCAUACUUUUGCUCAUCUGCAGUUUCUUUAAUUCUUUUUUAAAAACAACAGCAUGGACACUGAAUUGUAGCAAAGACUUUGCACAGCUCCUCUGCAGGAAAAACUCAGUAUCAAUGCUCCAACUGCAGCUCUGUCAACUCUUCUUUGUGUUUGGGAUUGAGGGCACAAAAUUUAAAUCUGGCUGUGGAAAACACUGGCCAGACAUCUAAGUGAAAAGAAUGGGCUGAUAUGCUGCGAGUACAUUGCUUUUGUAGGCUUGGUAAUGGAGGAGCAGCUUUCCCUUCUCUGUCUCUGUUUUUGUCUUUCCCUCUAAGUCCCGUACCCAUGUCUCAUUUACAUUUACCGACACACACAUACACACUCAUAGCCAUACACCCACACCCAAUCUUCUCCUCCCUUCACUUCCCUCUGACCUUGCAAGGUUGUGUGUAGCAUAUUUGUGUAGGAGCCAGAGAGAGCAUGCAGGUAUGUAUGGGUGAGAUUGGUUCCAGACAGGGUAAAGUAUUGAUGUACCACAUACAACUCCUGCAACCAUCUUUCCCGCACAAGAAAAUGCAAAAACUCAUCAUGCUAAAGCAACAACAUGUACAGUCUCACAUCAAUUGAGGUGGUAUUCUGUUUUGAAUCUUCUUUCUGAGACAUUUUGGUAUUGCAGAAAACAUUAGUUAAGACUUUUUGACACAAAUAUGUCACAAUUUUGCUGAGUUGCAAAACAUUCUUAGACCCCAAUGCAGAUGUAAAAGAGAUUUAUGCUCCUCAGGAAAGCUCCUAAAUCCAAGGGUUACAAAGAGUAAGAGCUCUUAGGCAGGUGGUCAAUGGGGUAAACAAAGAGGCCGAGACAGGACAGCCUGGAGAAGUUGGCAUCAUGAUGAGGCGAGGAACAGAUACUAGCGGGGAGCAAGCAAACAGGUUCAGGUAGCAGGGAUGGCUGGAAUGCAAUGGCAGCUUAAUUGGCAACACAGACCAUCUGGCAAAGACUCUGAAAAGUGACAUCUAUAUACAGUACACUCUGAGGCUGAUGAGGAGCAGCUGGGUAGGCAGGUGACUGGGUCAGGGGAUCUCUGAGGGAGGGGGAGUGACCGAGGGCAAAUGGAGGGCAAGUCAAACAAUACAGGAUAGAAAAAACACCAGAACUGACAAACUGGGAAGAGUGAGGAGGAGGAAGAUGGAGAGGAUGGGAGCUUCAAGGCAUUUGUAAUCCAGGCAGUCUGGUAACUUUUCUAAACAAGUAUCAAGAACCAAAGGACGAGCUCAGACCGACUGCGAGGCCAGGGGAUGUGAGUCUUUGGUAGAGUGUGCUUGGACUGAUGCAAAUGCAUAUAGUAGUGCUGACCAAGUUGGACCAAGGCCAACUUAGUGGGGUUUCAUCCUGCGGGACCUAAUGCAAAGAGGCAUGUGUGGGUGGACAACCAAUCCUGAUGCCCAAGGUUGUAGCAGUAGGCUGAAGUCCUGUGACUAAGAACAGCAAGGCACUGUGGAAGCUAAUUAAAAGCCGGAGGGCUUUCUGGGUCCAAGAGAGGCCAAUGGAGAUAGAGGAGGACUGUUUGCAUGGGCUGCCAAUGUUGAUAAGGAUCCAGGCAGAAACUCUUGAGGAAGAAGGGGCAGAGGUGGCAGGUAAAACCAUCCUGGAAGGGAGAGCCACAGAAGCAUACUUUUCAUCCAGACCCCAAACCAUAAGAGUCAACCUAUGUUGACUGAGGACCAAAUGUGACUGGAUGUUGGAGGCUUGUGAAAGGAAAACUAGAGUCCAUCUUAUUCCAAAGGAGUCAAAUAACAACCCUCAUCCAGAAAUUCUGGAGACAAUGUACUUGAUGAGUCUUUCAUAGUACACAACAAGUGGAGUUCCCCAAGGCUCCAUCCUGGGGCCUCUUCUUUUUGACAGUUACAUGUUUUCACUGACUCACACAAAACAAAUUACCACAACUAUGCUGAUGACACACACACACACACACACAUACAGUACAUAACAAUGUCACCAGGGGAUCAGGGCCCUAUUCAAACCCGAGUAAAUGCCUUGAAGAAAUCAGUGAGUUGAUGAGCAAGAAAUUUUUGCAAUCUAAAACAGACAAAAGUAAAGCUCUAACUUUUGGAGUUUAGAAGCCUUUCCCUGUCUUGCCUGAAAAAUCUGCACCUCUUAGCAUUGUAAAGAUAGAAAUCAAUCCCAAUAUUAAACUUUUAUGGAGUAUUGAGUAUUCACCAAUGAACCCAUUCUUUUUUUUCUCGUAAAACUGUUUUGAAGGUUCUAUGCAUAUUUGAUGCCCUGUGAAAUCUAUCUAUUAGAUGUAAUCCUAUGUUUAUAUCAACAGAGAUUUACCCAUGCUGCUGUUUAAAUCUCCUCUUAUACGUCUUCACAGAGGCAGCUUUGUAAAUGUUAGCUACUGCUGGCUCCUCUCUGUGAUUACUACCCCCUUUCUCUGUCUUUUGUCUCACUUCACCAUGUGAUUUCUUGUCUCACUCUGAACCCUUUGGGCCCUGCCAUACUUGAAUAUUUAUCAAAAACAAUUUCAAGUGACACGUUGCUUCUUUCUUCACCAAGGCAGAAUGGCCUCAGGUAUAGCCAGACAAAUGCAUCCAAAUAUGAUCAAAACAAACUCACAUCAACAGGAGAGCCGCCUGUGUUUGUGUACUGUUAACAGAAACCUGCAUUGAAGGAUAUUUAGGUAGUACUUAAUGUUUUUAGGCAAAGAUUCUUACAAACAUUAAUGACAAUAUACUUAGCAGUAUCAUCAAUGCAGUGAAGAUGAUUGAAUUGUUCCACUGUGUAUUAAUAAUUUACGUUUCAUGCUCUGACAUGUUGCAAACAUCAAUAACAAAUGAUUGUAAUUAUAAAGCCAGAGCCUGGGUUGUCCAUUCUGCACAGGGAACCUGACAUGGAUCACAUGCGUGUAAUGGUUUUUGUGAAUAAUUAAUCUGGUGGGCCGCACCAUCUCCAGAAUACUAAAUAUUAACAGUCAUCUAAGGAGCUAUUAGGAACCAGUAAUAUCUGCAGCGCAGCUAAAUGAAUACAUAAUAACUCAACAUUUCUUAGGUUGUCCACAGAAUCAGCCGAGCGUCAGCGUAUUCCCCAUCUGCAUGCUCUCUAUACAUCCAUCAGCAGUGACACACACAAAUACGUACACAGUGGUUAAUGCAGGGACCAGCUGAGUGAUCCGUCUUGUGUUUGUGUUAUGGGCAAAUGGAGUUCUGCGUUGUUGAGGCAGGCAUGCUCAUUCACUGCUGCCCCCGUGUCUCCUAAGGCUCAGAGUCUAAGCACUGCCACAGAAACACAUCAAUCAUCUCUCAUGGCCAGACGAUCCUAUGGACAUGGAAUAUUGAUACGGCUUUUAAAAUGUGGGGCAUGAAUAUGAUCUCUGACACCUAUCAGCCCUGCUUUGCUGCUGUACUACAUAUAACCACUGGAGUAUAAGUAGAUCUCUGUUUAUUUAAAGGUGACUUAUAGCUUGGGCACUGAAAUACGAGCCGGGUAGUUUCAAGUUUGGAUCAGCUGGAGUGUAUUUAAAGCACAGGGAGCAAAAAAUCUUCAUGCACGGUGCAAAUAACUAAAAUGUUAAUGUGUUCGUCACUACGGCAAGAAGCCUCAAUUUAGUAUCAGCGUCAGUACCUUUUUACGCAGGUUAAAGUCUUUUGUGUGUGUGUGUGUUUUUGUACGUAUCCAAAUGUGUGUCACCGUUCCACAAUUAAACCCUGAAUGGAAACUUCUCCCUGAAGACGUCUCCUCAUUACCUGCUGUGUGUACGAGGAGCUCACCCACCGUCUCCUCAGCUGGAAAAAGAAGUGUCAUCAUCACCAUAAAUAACAUCAUCUCCUGACUCCCCUCCUAUUCUAUUUUCACCUGGCAGUCCUAGCAUGCUAUCUGCAGCUCCCUGUGCGUGAAGAUUUACGGCUUUAUAUAUCAUUUAAGAAUCCAUUUAAAUCAAUCCCCUUAUGUUCAGGCAGCAGGAAGAUGCUUGGUGGAUAAAUCUCUUCCUGUAUGUGCAGGAGGACAGAGAUGUUGUCACAUAAAUAAAAGUUGACUUAAACGCACCAGUGUGAAAUUAGCCAGGUGGCCUAACUGUCGUGGAGUCUGUUCGCCUUUUGACCAGAGGAAUAAAAUAUGUCACCGAAUCAUAUGUUGAAAAUAAGCAUUAAUAACUUAUUCUUAAUCUAACCCAUAAUUAUAAGACAAUGCUUCAUAACAUGCACAUAAAAUCUAGAGAAUGAAAUCACUAUCCGUGACUGCAUGGACUCAGACUGCACACACACACACACAAUGUUGCAAACACUCAAAAAUACUCUGAAACACACACCGCAUGCGUGUUGAAUUUUAGGAUUGCUACUGCCUCGCUAACAAAGCCUUCACAGUGAUGAGUAUAGAACAUUUCCUCCUUUGCCUGUCAGCCAAAAUGGAUUCCGUCCAAAAACUGUGGAGUAUCCUUCACCACCCUGAGCAGUGAGAGAGAGAAAGUUUGCAAAGUUCAGACAUGGAGCUUCGGGUGGGAGCACAGUGGUUAAAAAGCCACAAGAAUCUGAUCUGUUUUGUAUAUAAAGAAAUCCAUCAUAUUUCUCAGGAGGACAAACUGAAUAUUCUCUGUCUUCUUUUAAGGCCACACCUUGCAGACUUUUAGGAGCAGCUAUUUUUGAGAAAUACAGUUCUUAUUCUGUCUGGUCUUUGUUUACGAUGAACUGUCUGGUACUGUCUGGUCUGUUUAUAGCACGUUUCUGCCUCUGCGAGAGGUGUUUAUUUAAGAAAUCAUCUCUGUACCAUUCUUCGAGUUUCCUUGCAUUGCAAUCACAAAACUUUGUGCGUAAUGCAAUGGAAGAAUAACAAGUGUAGUAGCAGCUGCAAAUUCACCUUUACAAUUGUUAUAAACAAGCAGUGUCUCCUACCAACGCAAUCUUGUGCAACAAAUGUCAAAAAAAAAAGAAAAGAAAAGAAACGGUAUCCCCCUAGAGCAAAGGGCUGGGGUUUGCACUCAUAAAAACAGAGAAAACAAAAACAAACACGAGAAGAAUAAGUAAAUACAAAGAUGAGGAGUAAAGAGCGGAAAACAAUAAGGUUCGCAGUGGGGUAAAUGUGGCGCAAAGUGCAGGAAUGUUGGUUAAAUGAAUCAUGUUUAUUAUCUUUCCCCUCACAGGAAAGAUCCUAAUUAAUCUCACGUGCUAAAAUUCAUACAACUGCUUAAUGACAUUUCUGAUACACAGUGUACAAAUGUGAAACAUGUAUGAUCUCAUCUGGAAAAUACAGGCAAUUCAGUAUGAUUCUCCUUCUGUUUCACGAUAUUUUAUAUCCCUUCAGUUUUUGUUGUAAGUGUUUCAAACUGGAGUAUUUACUGCAAGCCUAAACGGUGGGAGUGCAGGUGCAGUGUUCCAGUUUUGUCUCCCGAUACACCUGUUGAGCCAAGGACAGUAAAUAAGGAAAUGUUUUCUGCUGUUGGACAGUCAUGGCUGAUAGACUGAGACCAUCUGUGUCCUCGUUCGCUCUGAAAAGAGGGGAUGAUGUUGAGGAAGGAGAGAUGAAGGGAUGGAGACAGUAAAGGCCUGCACAACUGUUGGUAGUCACAGCCCAGUGCACACAUCCCUCUGGCUGCCUUCAGGCUUGACCUGUGUGUGAGCUCUGUCUAUCCCUCACAGCCUGAACACCUCUGGACACACACACACACAAACACACACACACUCACAAACAGAUCCGCCUGUCCUGCAAAUGCAGACAGGUGCGCACACUCAGUCAACAAGAUUUUACCAUAGUGCUUUCAUGCACACAAGCGCUCGCCUACACACACACACGCACGCUUGGCUGCCACCUGGGACGCAGAUUUGACAGACACAUCCGGCAGGUCACUUGUGGCGCAGGUGCUUCCUGCUGCUCAAGCUGUAAAAGUCUUUGCCUGUUCCCACAUAAUCUCCUCCGCCCUCUCUCUAGCAGAACACAUUCUGUUAGCAGAUUACACGUCAAACCGCUGUGUUCGUUUUGACAGGCUUUAGUUUCUACAAAGUGAAUGCCGGGUUAACAAUACUCUAAGCAAACAUUUGUUUUUAUCUCCUGGAAAAGCUCAACUUAUUGAUGCAAAACCUACUUAACAAAAACCUUACGUCUUUACACAAUUGUGCUUUUAUUUUAGCCUCCAUAUAUUUGGUAAAAAGUACACAACACAAAGAGUUCCUGGGGUUUGUACCUUGCAUGAAUAAAUGAAUAAGUGUCAUUUAACACUGGCGCAGAUGACUUAAAGUUUUUUUUUUUUUCCCAGGUCUUCAUAUGUUCACCAAUGCCUUGGGAAAAGAAUUGAGUUGCUUAUAAAACCUUUCUGCAAGGCAGGAGCCAAAGAGGAAAUUUACAACAAAUAAAACUGAUGUCCUUUUUUUAAAAGCGUAAAUUUUGGGUGCUUUUACCUGUGGAACAUGGAGAGAAGUUGUUUUGAAACGGUUCCCUUCUUGGCUCAGGUCAUUUAGACAUACUCAAACACAGUCAUCUUGCUCUGAUGAGAAAAAACAAGCAAGCCGGGACCGUCCAGGUGGUCUCGGCUCUUUUCCAAUCAAACCCUAAAAUAGUGUGUUAGCAUCAAGAAACUGGGACAAGUAGCUGUUUGACUCAUUACACUCUCCUGAGGCAGUUAGCGUAAAAAUAGGCUAACAUUACUCAGCAGCUCCAUCAACUCCACCAUCAACAGAAGAGUUGGUGCCAGGCGAAGGACUUAACAACAGCGGCUGGUUCAACAAGUGGUUUAGCUUCAGAGUUUGUGUGGCUCGCCAAAAGAGGAGAAUUUGCUCUUCCUCCACUUGAACUGGGCAGGUUUUCUUUUCCCACUGUUCUGCUCUUUGUUGAUGAAGUUUGUCUCAAGGAGACAUUAAACAUGUUUUUUGGGUUGUGGGGAAAAAUCACAGCUAUUCUCUCGUACCAAAGAGAAAGAACUCAGAAAGCAGUGGUAGCUUUUUCAUGCAUCAGAUUUUCUUUUUUAUAGCGUUUAAGAGACCCUCAAAGCGCUUUACAAUGGAUACAUCAUUCAUUCACUCACAUGGUCACGCCUUGGUGGUGGUAAACCACCUUAGUAGUCACAGCUACCCUGGGCCAGACUGACGGAAACGUGGCUGCCAGUUUGCGCCUACGGCCUCUCCGACCACCACCACACAACACUCACAUUCAUACACCAGUGGAGGACACACACUGGGAGCAAGGUGGGUUGAGUCACUUGCUCAAAGACACAAUGGAAAGACUUGGGAUAGGGGGGAACUCGAACUGCCAACCUUCCAGUUAUGAGACGACCGCUCUAUCUCCUGAGCCACAGCCGCCCCCUACAGCCUGAAAUUUCCUACUCUGGUGUAUUAAAAUAUCUUUUUUUUUCAGCCUCUGUCUGUAACGCUUCGUUUAGCUGCUGUCUCUUUAAAUGCUGUAGGCAAAGUUACAACAGCAGCCAAUGUAUUAAUAGCUAAUAUGCGCUAAUGUGGCUAAAUAAGGAGCCAUGUAGGUGCUAAUGGUUUGACUGACAUUUUCCUUGAAGACAUGAAAUGCAGGUCAUUCUGUAUCUACAAAACUGUGUAAAAAGUAACACCCAAAAGUUGUGUUUAACUUAAUAUCUGUGGGAAAGCAGCUAACACAAAGUGCUGCAGGCAUCGACUGAGGAGUUGAGUAUAGAAAUGAGUAUGGUAGUUCGUCUAUAUGUGGAUUCUGUGAAUCAAAAGUAAUGUGUAAGUCUUAUCACACAGACUAGGAUUUCUCCAUGGCUCAAGCAGACAUGGUCUAAUUCUUGCCUUCCUGUUCCUUUAGUUGGCAAAAUAUGCUUCCAUACAAACUAAUGCAUUGGAACCUCUUUGUUAGACUUUAUGAGUCUAUGACAAGAACUCUUCUGACGUUACAGUUUAAUUAUUCUUAAACUUGGCCCUGUUUUGUAUGGGCAUACGAAAUGUCUGCCUAGGUCAACCUAGUUCUUGUACCCCUCUUAUACUAUUCUGGUAUUUUAGGAGCUAAACUAGGAGCAUUUAUAAACAGCCAGAGUUACUAUAAUGCAAACUACAUUAAACAACAGAGAGGUUGCUUACCUGUGUCACAGGAGGGAUGACUUACAAAGAUUUUUUCUGCAGGAUUUAUUUGCAUAACAAUCCCUUGAUUAUGGCAAGUUUAUGUUUCCGAGUUUCAGAGCGCAUGAAUAUGAAACAGUGCAUUAAUAAGAGCAUAUGCAGAUAACUGGAGCGCAGAGAGAGUGGCGCAAGGUCAAGAUGUUUUCCCCAUGAUCUCACUCCUAUAGCUCUAUCUGAAGAUUGCUGGUAGGAAAUAGAUAACUGUGUGAGGGUCAAAACAGGUCUAAUAUCUGACAUUAUGCAAAAUGAGAGGAGUAUCUCCCCUGCACAGGAGUGAUUCUCUGCCGGCAGCACUCUACAUUACUGCUGAUGUGUUACCAGUUGCAGUGCAAGACGGAUAGGCCUAGCGAGACAAUGUCUUACCACAUGAUCAAUAUCUAUCUCUGUCUCCCGGUUAAAUGAAAAAAAGACAAUCUUCUGCUAAUGUAUCUGCUUUAUUACUCGUAUUUAUCACAAAGCCAGAUGAGAAAGAAAAAGGGAGGCGGGUGGCUGCAGUGCAGGGUGUUGAAUAUGAACACAGUGAGUCACACGUAACAGCCUGUCAGCCACAAACAGGUCAACCGAGUUUUUUCCUACCAUAUGUGGACAUGCGGCUGUGUAUGAAUAUGCUAAAACAGAGCAGAUUUUCAUCUCCUCCGUCUUGUAUCUGCAGUGUGAAUCCCGCUUCAAGAGUUUCACGUCCCCCUGCAGCCUUCCUUGACUGCCGCUUUAAUUUUUGAUGAAUCUUGUAAUAGCUAGCGCAGAAUAUAUUGAAAAAGUGGCCUCUGUGCGCGCGGCGACAGGCGUGUUGGAGGGAGGGCGGCACCAUAUGUUGCAAAGUGAAGAUGAAAUUGGCUUUGUCUAAAGUGGAGAGAGAUCCAGAGAGGGUGCCAGGUUUCCUGGAGAGAAGAUGGAGACGAAGAGGAAAAAGUGGUAAGAGAAGAAAAAGAGGGGAACCCUCCCUUCUUCAAUCCUCAUCACCUCCAACAAGGAGCGUAUGAAAGGAGCACCUGUGGUUUGAAGAAUGAGAGAUCCAACGCUUUCCCCUCCUCUUCCUCUCCUCAUUGACUCAUCCUUCCAUUUCCCUUUUGCCCCUCCUGCUGCUGCUUCAUUCCUCUCUGGCCCGGGGCAUAAUCUCUUCCCCAGACAAAAAACCAAAGGAGGAGAUGCUGACAUGUAAUAAAGAAGGACUGAUUCUGUUUGGGGCUGAAGCCGCUGGUGCCGGGCUUGUUUCCUGCUUUUGGAAAGAAGGACUAAGAGAGAGAGAGCGAGAGAGGGGGGGAUGGAGGAAGAGAGAAAAAGGGAGAGACUAAAAAGGAGAAAGAGGGUGGAUAUUUCUAGAGCAGAAAGAUGAGAUUACUUACUAACAGAUGCCUGCUAAUGAAGUGCUGACAGGCCGGGUGAAGGGCCAGGCCCGGCUACUGUAUAGGAAAUGAUGGAAAAGAGUGAGGGGGGAGAAUGGACUGAUGGAGGAAAGGGAGGAGUGUGCAUGAGUGUGUGUGAGUCUAUCUUAGGCUUCUGUUCUCCAAUCUCAGAACUUGUGCUGUGCUCCAUCACCAGGGGAACUGAUAGCUUUUAGCAGGCAAACCCUGAGGUGGAAAAGGCUGCUCAGCCUCCCUCUGCCUCUCUCCCCCAAACUCCCUCUUUUUUUCUCUCUCUCUCUUUAGUUUCAUCUUUCUCUUUCACAGCAUUUUGUUUUCCUUUGGUAUCCCUGUGACACUCCCCUUUUCCUUCCCCCCCUCGCAAAGGCAGGUUGGAAUUGAAGUAAAUUUAUUUCUCCUCUCUCCUCAUGCUGCUGCUGCUGCUGUGGACAUAAACCUUCCUCCUUCCAGAGCAGUCAGCGCUGUCACUGAAACGUAUUACCUCUGUUUCCAGAGCUCCUCACACAGGUGGUGUUGUAUUUCCAAGGCUGAAUAACAGGGAUGAUUUCAAGUUGACGUCUCUCUUUUUUUGUUUGUUUUUGCGUGACAACAUAUCACCUUUGUUUACUGUUUCUAUUGUUUCCCUCUGUGAGCAGAUCUGAGCCCGAUGGAGGACAUAAGACAGACCUGGCGGGUGAUGAAACACAAGGACACACAGGGUGGAGAGGCGGGGAGUUGGAACAGUGUGAGGUCUGGCAGAGCAGGUGAGAGAGGGGUUUUUGUGGAUGUUGCUGGUAAAUUCAGCAAAAGGAUUUAAAAAUAGGAGAGGGCAGUGAGUCAGAUCCCUGGACAAAGAGCAGUAAGGAAUUAACUUUUUUUUGUUGUUUUUUUACCUUCUUCCUACCUGCCCCGCGUUCUCACCUUCCAUCCCACAUAAUCACGUCACAGGAAGCACCUCAGGGAGAGGGUCUUUUUCUAACACUGUCUCCCUCUGCUUCCUUUGUUCUCUGAAAAUGAGCACCUCAGAUCUGAUGCCUCCUCCUCUGUUAGUGAACGAAUGUACCGAGCAACAGCGAUUUCCUCGAGCAGGCGUCGCCUCCCGCUGCUCCAGAUUACAGCUCAUUAGUGGUCGCUGCAGAGAGACAGCCCACACCAAUGCCUCCCCUCUGAUUCCCACUUUGUUUCUUGUGAUUCUGGUGUGGCACGCCAUGGUGACAAAAAAAAUGGAGGCUGGUGGUGGUUAUGAGGAAUAAAGGGGCUGGAAGGGAGACCAAGACAAAAACAUGGAGAGUUUUCACAGCUUGUCAGCAGCUGGUGAACAUUUAAAGAGGACAGCUUCAUCAGAUUGACACAGCAGCCUCUUUCCACUGACAUAACACUCUGAGUGGGUAUCUGAAGUGCGAGCUUUUCUGCUGAUAAGCACCUGAGAAGAUGAUCAAGAGGGACUAUCUGUAGAGUUAUAUCCCAUAUAGGCGGACAUUAGCUAUUAACCACCUUCUACAAACAUUAGUGAUGAUCUGCCUGUACAUUUAUUUAAAGUACAAAUAAGGUUGAUCUUUGCUUGUCUUAAAAAAAGUCAAAUAUGUUGAUCUUUGCAUUAAUAUGGACGACACACAAGCUCCACCUAUGAUAAAGUGAAGCCAAAAGAUGAUGAUAUACUCCGCUGUUGAGCCAAGAUAGUACAGUCUACCGUAGACCUGAUUUGUGUGGUCUACGGUAGACUGACACAGAUGCAGUAGCUUAUUGUAUUGCAAAAGACCUGCUACCAAUAAGCACUGUUAGAUUUCAUUUUUUAUUUCGUGAUAUAUAUCGAUAUAGACUGAUAUGAAAAAAAUAUAUUGUGAUGAACCUUUUUCCGUAUCGCCCAGCCCUACUUACAACAUAGCCCCUGUGAUGAUCUGCACAACCCAAAAGACAGCAAACAGACUGUGGAGAGUUGCUAGUGCAAAGACAUGAAAGGCAAAGCCAGGGUGAGAAGUUUGUUUGGGCUGAAGCUCACCAAGCUAGGCUAGGCCUUACAGCCUAUUCACCCUUACCUCUCCUCUUUAAUGAGGGAUGAUAGAAAAAACAGAGAGAAAAAACUGAGAAGACCGUGUAGGGGGGUGUUAUAAAGAGAACAGAGAGGGAAAAGCCAGGGCAAGAAGACUUUUUGGGCUUAGUAACAGCACUGUUAGCUAAGGGCUAAACAGCAGUUUGGUCAUCUUCACCCUGGAACACUGAUGGUACUCUUCUCCAAUUCUCCAACAAAGUCGUUUUUGGAAGCUGCUCAUUACAAUCAAAUAAUAACAAAUAGUCUGAUUGGCAGCCUGAUCUAAAACUUUGUUCACAACGGUAUGACGUCAUGGCAGCAUCUAUGGUUCCCACCCUGAAUGUUGAGAGAGGGUUCAAGGAGGUCAUGUCCAGGGUCACAGCUACAGUUCUUCAAACAUGCCAAGGCUUGUUGGCUGCGUUGACAGUCGAGCUCUUGUACAUCUUUUGUCUUUUGUUUGCGAAAAUAAAACCAAUUGAGAGUGCUUCUCUCUAACUGUCAGCCGUGCCAGGCGCUGCGUGGUAAUUGCCUUUGAACAGCUUUGUGUUUCUGUGCAUUCCCAUUCAUUAUCUGUUUUUCUCUUCCUUCCUGUUUCACAAGACUGGUUGGAAGUGAAGCAUAUCACCCCCACCCCCCACCCACCCCUAAAGUUCCAGUCUUGUUCGCUAUCCUUGGACAAGUUUUGGCAAAGUUACAAAAGGGAACAGAUGCCAGAUGUGCGCAUUGUGUCACUAAACGAAACCCAUUUUUCUGGCUUUUGUUUUUUUUGUUUCCCGAAAAUAGUUCCUCCACAGGCUUGCAAAAUCCUCUUUAAAUCAGAGCACAAUGAUAAUUGUCAUUAUUAUAAAUCGUCUGUGAGGCAGAGGUUCUUUUCAAGAUAAUAGUAGGGAAAAUUAAGCAGCUGCUCCUUUCCUAGCUGGUAAUUGAUCCAUUCAAGCAGCAACCUAGGGUCUAGAGACGUAAAAUCAAUGUGGAGGUGAUAAAAACUGUAGUUCCUGGGUUGUCCACUUGAGGCUGACUGAAGUAGAGUUAUCAGCAAACUGCACCUAAAAGUUAAAAAAAGAAAACCCUGGGUGUAUUUUGCUCUACAACUGAGGAAAACAUUGCAUCACUGUUUUCUACACCUGAGAAGCAAAACAAGAUCAUGGAGAGUACGAAUCAACCAGUCAGAUCAGGUCACUUUCAGUUUACAUCUUUUGCUUCUUCUCGAGAGGGCAGCCCUCCAUCCGUGUACGCUUGGAUGAUUUACAUCCACCAUCCACUGGGGCCCCCUCAGACUGAAUAAGCCUCGACCAUUACAGUCUUGUGGGCAGAGGGAGCUAUGAUAGAAAAAACAAAAACAAAAACUCCAGUCAGUAUUCCCUGUCGCCCGCCUACAAACACAGCUCUGAGCCAUGCUGCACUGUACACUGCUGCCUCUGCCUCCUCUAACCUUACAUGACCUUUGACCCCUACAGUCAUUCUGACAGGCUGUGCUUCUGACAGCCUAUCCCCCGAACUCACUGUGUCUGCGGGAACAGCAGACCAUGAAGCAUGCGAAACGCCAGGGCGAAGAUGUUGAGUUUCUCAGUGUCAACAGACAUCAAACAUCGAACAGAGCCAUUAUUUCAUUACACCGACUUGAAAACUCAUUGCGGGCUGCUUCUGGAAAGCAAACCCAGCUUUCUUUUGUAUCUCCAAGCUUUAAUCGUAUAUCUGUGUUUACACAAACUCAAAAGAUAUACUCUGCGAAGUGUUGCGCUAGCUGGAUGGCACACUUUUGAUUCUUUUGAAUCAGAAAUAAAUCUUCGAUGUGUGACUUCAGUUUCUCUGGCGGGUCCACUCAGAGGCAGGAGUAUGAAAUAUGCUGCUUGUGUCUCAGCUCUGUGGGUCACUUUUGGCUGUAAGGGGAUUGAUUUUUUUCUCCCUCCUGUUUUUUUUUUUUUCAGCUCUCCACUCAGACUUCGCUGAGCACUCCUUCAAAAUAAAACAAACUCAGCCCGGUUGACCCCAAAACAGCAAGACUGACCUGAAAGUAGCUUCAGGGUCAACCCAUUUUCAACAUGCAGCAUAAUGCUACGGUUAUACAGCAAAACAAAUCCACUUAAUUUGGCUCUUUUAUUGUUGAAAAAACUUGUUGGUGCAAGGUCAGGUAAUAAAAUCUGAACUCCAAACCUUUCAAAGUGGAGGACAGUAGCUUUUGGCGUGCAGUCGGAGCCCUUUACUCUGUCAGUUUUUCAUUUUUCAGCUGGUAAUACAGUUUGAAAAUGUACCACAGCUUGUCCUCACUUCAAACCCAACCCCCUCCCCUCCCAUGAUGCACCUUUCCCCACUCUGUGUGUCAGCAAGCCUGGGACACCCACUCAGUCACUAUCUCAACUUCUCCCAUCUAAACAAUUCUGUCAUCAUUUGUCAAACUCCUCUAUCUGUCUCUUCCCUCUCCAUCUGCAUGAGGAGCAGAGUGAUGCUGGGGUGUGAUAGGCGCCCGUCAGGGUCCACGCGUCUCGGUGCACAAACACACGCACACACACACAUUCUCUAUGAGGAGGAUAGAGAUGGAUGCCCUGCACAUUUGAGCAUCCAGACAGAGUGAGUGCAUGUGACAGACAGUCAAUCAGCCCGUGAUGAGAGGUAAUCGCACAGUGGACAGAUCAAUUAGUUAUUUUCUCCAGAGACGAAGAGAAGAAAAACACUGCUGUUCUCCAGGUAAAUGAUUUGCAUUUCACUGCCUUUCAUCUCUCUCAUCCUUCUUGCAUCUUUAUCUUUUCUGUUUUUUUUCUCCCAGCCACCCCCAUUGCUUCCUUCUGUGCACCUCCCUCUCUCCCUCUCCUCUUUGAAUUUGGCUGUUUUGGUUGUUUAUCUCUGCUCAUUUCUCCUCCUGCCUGUCUCAUAGGGAGGGAGGUGGAGAUCCAGACGAUCAGGGCUGACUGAUGGUAUAUGAGCACAGCCUGUGAGUGAUGAGAGCUCUGCCCGGCCGGAUCAUUUAUACUGGGCCAGGCUGAGAACAAACAUAUGUAUCUCAUAGCCAUCGGAGACACUCCAAGGCUGGUUUGGCCACACAAAUACACACAUACACACUCACACACGCAUUCACAGAGGUAAAAACAAACACACAUUAGGACGUGAUGUAUCAAGCUAUGACCUCCUGAAGGGCAAAACUCUCUCUGUAUCUGUUUCACCAGCAGACAUGGACAGGAAAACCCAGUAACAUAUGACCCAUAAAAAGGCAUCUGCUUCAGAGCUCCACUGCUUGUUUAUCUCUUGUUUUCCUGCUGCCCGCUCAGCCAGAGUCAGCCCACAUCAGCAGCUUGAAUUGCUGGAUUUAGAGUUGUUAUGCAUGUAGGUCAUUUUUUCUCUUUGUGUUGCUGUGUUUACUAGCUGUAACAGUGGACAUUCCCUGAGGUUGCAGAAAUGUGGUACAGUCUCGGCUCUCACUGGAGAUCGCUCUGUCCUUCACACCCACUUAAGGCCGGAUCCAGUCAGUGCUUGUCAAAGCAAUUUUACACAGCAAUCUUUAUUUACAGGAAAACCAUCCUGUGCACACACACAGACACAGACGUACACACUCAGAGGAGUCGAUGUUUUUCAAGGGCUUAGAAUUUGUACAGUCAGAUUGGAUUUGGCUGCGCGAUAUGAAGCUUUGACUUUUUGUUACUUUUAACUUUAGUUUAACAAACAUUUACUUUUCGCUUCUGUCCGCUGAGCAUUUAAUGUCCUGAAAAUUUCUUUAAGUUACAAAUCGGUUCAACGGUCACUUUUGUCUUUAUCAUCCUUCCCAAUGAAGGAGUCCAGGGAGCACCAUCACCAUAAGCUGCACUGCAAGCCUGAAUGCUACCGAUGACCCCACCUUUUUAGUUCAGCUGUUCACCGUAACUUUUGAAUGAUGGUGGCCUCUAUCAGAUUCUCAUGUGAACUGGUUUCUGUCCUGAACUUAAAAAACAAAAAACUAAGAUGUUCCAGCAUUAGAUAAAGAAGUACACAAGAAACUCACUGAAUAAAGUGUGUGAGAGGAUUGGUGUCAGCCAAGCAGCUGUUGAAAAAUCCCUACUUUUACAGUUUCUGUAAAACAUAUUUACAAAACAUGACAAAUUUGAUUGUCAAAGUCACAAUGAUGAGAUUUCUGAGAGAAGACGCUAUUUAAGCACGAAGAGGACAAGAUAAGCAAAGACUGCUUUGUCAACGUGGGCGCCAAAACUGACACAAACUGAUAGUUCCUCACAGGAUGAAAAGUAAGGAGACAGAGAGUCCAACAUUUACAGAUGGGGCGCUGGUUUAGUUGAGCACCAUAGAGGAUAUCUUUAUCAUGUUGGUCACAGAUUGAAAUUCCAGUGCUAGCACUAUUGGUUGCAUGUCAUUCUCCCUUCUCUCCUCACUCAAAUCACAGCAAAAACAAAACAAACAAACUUACUCUUUAAAAAUGAGCAGGCUGAUGUUUUAUUGAGUCCUAGUGAGUCUUUCUCACACCCAGAUGUUUUGAACAAGUCAAGAGUGACACCAAAUUCACACCUGGGCUGUUCAGACUGAAGCUGCAUCAUAUAAGAGCUGAUCUAUGUCUGAUUUAGGACCACAUGUGAGGCUGUGACCUGUGCUGUUAUCAAAGUGUAAUACAAAUCAAACCACAGUCCCAGAUGAGCAACAUGAAUAAUGGUUUGGAUGAAGUAACAACAAAGGGGGAUAAUUGAACCCUGAUCUGUGGACAAGCUUCUGUCUUGGAGUGAUGGAAAGGUAAAGCGUAGCAGCACAUAUGUUUGAAAAAUCAGUCUCUCAUAUAGUCCAGACACAUAAAGACGGAUGAUAUCAUGACAUUUAUAGUUCUCCUCUUCCUGUUGGAGCUGUGUUUAUUAGAGGUCUACAUGUAGGCCAAGUUUCAAGUGCCUCUCUGAUCAUUUUCCGUUUCCUUUCUUGGGUGUCCUCUCAGCCAUAAUGUCAAGAUUCUUAAUGUGAUCUGUCUCUUACUACGAUCAUGUUGUUACACAACGGCAAAAAAAAAUACUGCAUAUCAUACCAGAAGCAAGCACAAAACAUGGCCAUGUGUUUCUCGCUUAAAAAACUAUGUGGCCUCUCAUUUUACACUUAACCACCACACAUCACUCCUCCUGUGUCAGCUGAUAUUUCCCAGAAACCCCCAGUCCUCCAGCGCUGGCCCAGCAUGCUCUAUUCCUUCGUUCUUUCAGUCCAUCUUCUUCUCCUGUGUGCCGACAGGACCACCUGGUGCUGCUGCUGGUUGCCAGAUUUUGGAUUAUCCUGCAUAACAAUGGGCCAAAGGAUUGUUUGGACCCCUUCCAUUCCCGGGAUGCCAGAGAGCGCUGCGCUCCUUGCCCUUCAGAGACGGCGGCCCUCCUCUCCAUCGUACACACAUGGAUGCACGACCGCUCUGGGACAGCACUCCCCCUCACACACAUUCAAACUCUUAAUUAACGUGUCCUUGUGUUUAUGGCCAUCCAGUGGCCCAUAAGGGAGUGAGUGAAGUCUAUAGCUGUGUACAUGCACAAAGACCAACACACAGUGGUCAUCUGCACUUUUAACACACACAUGGUGAGGAAAACAGAUGAAUUUUUGUAGUAAAACCCAAACAAAGGACAUUUCUGAAGAACAAAAGCCUAACUUGAUGUGGGCUGAAUAAGUAAACACAGACAUGUGUGUAUCUGUGUUUGUGUUUUCAUAAACAGUCUUUCUAGGAAGCUGCAAUAUUAAAACUCAGAAAUGUCAAAACCAACAAAACAAACCUCUUCUCAACUUUACUUCUGAGAGACUCGGCCUCUCUGAGACGUCCUUUUUGUUCCCCAUCAUGUCACUAACCUGUUGCAGAAAAGCUCUGAUUUGUUGGAAAAUGUUCCUUCAAGUGUUUUGUUUUGUUUUUUUUAGCAUCACACGACUUUGUCAGGGUUCCUUGUCCUAACUUAUUUGAUGAGUCACUGACAUCAAAUUCAAAAUGACCAGCUGCAUUCAAGAAAAACACUAGUUUUAACAUGUCAUAUGUUGUUUUCAUGCUAUUUUCAAUACAUAAAAGGGUUUUUAAUGAUUUUCAAACUAUUAAAUUCCAUUUUUAUCAACGUUUUACAAUGUGUUUAAACUUUUUGGACACCGCAGUUGUACUUAAAAGGUGUAAUACAAAACUUUGAUAAAUUAGGUCUACAGAGACAACACUCACAACACAAAUUCAUAUAGAGUAAAUUUUUCUGUAUACCAGUAUGCCGUGCUUUUUAAACACAGAAAGAUAAUCAGUGGACUUUAUCAUUUUCAGCUGCUAUUCCAACAAUUCCCAGGAGUAAUAUGAUUGGACAUUAAAGUUGGUUUAUUCUGCAUUAAUAUAAAAUAAAUACACAGCCACAGCUCUUCAGACUACAUAGACAUCAUUUUCCGCUCUAAGUGAAAUUUUCACAUUUAUAAUACUUUCAUACUUUUUAUUGAAAAUCUCUAAAAUGAUUAAAAAUACAAAUAAAAGUCAUAUUAGUCACCUAGAGCUGCUGAGAGAGAGAGACACGGAGAGGGAGAGAGAGAUCUUUCACAUCUUUGUAAUUCAUUUUUUUAUAUGUUUCAUAUUCAUUUGAUAUUGUUAUCAUUUCAUCUGUAAAUAUAUGAAUACUUUGGCCAAUAAAGCUCAUUGAACUGAAUUCACCUGAGCAAGACAAAGGGUAAGAGAGACAGAAAAAGCAGUUACUGAUACUCCAUGUCGUAACCUAAUGGUGCUUUGUAUCUAUUAACCAAUCACAGCACAGGAAUGACAUGUAAACAAUGUCAAACCAGUGUAAAACAUGUACAUUUUCAGCUCAGUUUAACACAUUUGGAUUCGAAUCAUCACACUAAUAUCACCUAGAAAUGAUGUCAGGGUACAAACAGCACACUCAGCUAGCUAAUGGCUUCUUUUGAGCCUUUGUCCCUGUAGCUCAAAGUUAAUGUUCAAUCUAAUACACAGAAAGCAAAGCCUUAAGACAUCACAACUUCCAUUCUCUCUUUUUUUAAGAUAUAAGCCAUUUUAGGCGGUAACAAUCACAGAAAGAGCCCUCAUAAUCCUGAAGGGACCAAUAAAGGUAAGCUUUUAUGUAGAGUGAAAAAACGGAGUCAGUGAUGCUCUUUUCCUUGUGGGGACUAUUAACUAUAAUAGGCUGUAGCCUAUGUGUCUGCAGAACGUCUCAUUGCAUAUGCUGUGACAUCCCUGCAGCCUGGGGCAACACUAGCAUAUGUGGCCUUCAGGCGCCCAGACAGGCUCUUACUGUACUCUAAAACAACAUAACUGAGGCGGCGCAGGCGCUCAGAUCACACCGUAACCGUCAGAGUCGUGACCUAACUGGAACAGACAGAAACCUGUGAAAUAGAGCCGGGUUCUAACAGUCUGAACCCCGAACCAAAUCUGUCACUCAAACAGCUAAUGGAGGACACUGAGAGGAAAGAGGACAGAUAUGUGGAGGGAGAAGUAAGGUGAGAGAUGGCGAGUACGGACAGAAACACUACUACAAAGAGGAAAUGUGAAUUGAAGAGAGGAUAGUAAAAAGAACAGGGCUGUGAUUCAGGCGUGAGCUGUGACAAUUUAAAGAGUUUUGACUUGAGCUGUUUGUGACGAUACUCUGUCACUGAGUUACACUCUGUUGCGUGGUCUUCUGCGUGAAGAAACAGGCAGCUCCUCACGCUGGAAGAGUGAAAAGGCACUUUGGUUUCCACCCCCACAAACAGAGCUAUCCUGUUUGAGAAUUACACAUAGAAAAACGAGCUUCUCAAAGAGCCAUUUGAAAUCACUUAUACGAAUAAAACUUUCAUGAAAAAAACAGUUGCUACAGUUUGAGAGGAUUGGAUUGGAGCGGCUGCUCUUGGUAUUGAUAUUCAGCCCUUCCCCUUUGCAAUUGUACUAUCAAGAGGGAGCAGCUUGUGGCCAGAUGUCAUGGGAAGACACUGUUUCUCAUUUGUUAUUCACCCACAGAAUAGAAACUGCAGGAAUUAGAGGUUAAUUAUGAUGGGGAAAGUUGGAAAAAAGAAGGUGAGAUAGAAAAAGACAGGAAUGGAGGAGCAGGGCGGGGAAAGUUAAUUUCCAUCGCUGUUGUUUCGGUGUUGUGCUGCAGCUGGUGAUGAAUGACAGACAGAGAGCUCUCAGCUGGAGGAGGACGGCUAAUGGAAUUGUACCACAUCAGCUCCCAGAUUCACGAGGAGAACACACCACGUUACUAUUAUUCUUUCUAAAUGCCAUGCAUGGUUAGGGACUUACUGCUUCAUACAGAGUGUGCUGGGAAAAAAAACGCUCCCCACAAAAGAUUUGGAUCCCACAUUGUCUGUGUUCACUCGUCUUGUUUUGAUCCGUUGUGAAAUUAGAUGCAAAGAAGAUGCCAUAUUGAGCCUGCAUCAUUACUCUGCUUCAUUUACAGCCAAAAAAUUAUACAAUUUAAAAUGUCAUUUGGUCAGGGGAUGGAGUUUUCAUUAGGAGGGUGCCGUCCUAUUCAACUGGCAGCAAAAUCAGGCCCUUUAAUGACCAUCCUGCUUUUUAAUCAACUCCAGGAACAUGUGAAUAUGAAAAAAGGCCUCAGGAAGCUUUUAAGCAGAGCUUCAUGUGUUAUAUGUAAGACUGGAGGACCUGCAUGGAAGCUGGGCUGUCAGGCACUGCUGUUGGGGUCAACUCUGCCACAUAAUAGAGCUAACUCGAAGAAAUCCUGACUCAGACACUCAUGUCAGCUUAAAUAUACACCCUAUUAUUACUGUAGUUUUCACAGCCUUAUUUUUGCCAUCAGAAAGCUCGGUCAUUUUUGCAUGAUUUACCAGCAUGAGAUAUAUGUAACCGUAUGAUUCAUACAAACCCACUUUAAAAUAAAGGAACACAUAAAAUGUAAGUUUGUUGUAGUUUGUUCCAGGACUGAAUGAAAACAGUAAGAAUUAUUAUUAAGUACAAAUUUGAAUUGAUCAGUAAUCCAAAGAGAUACUAAAUUAAAGCGGUUAUCAGGUUUUGCAUAAGUGUUUUAUCAGAGGGCUAUUACAGCUAGUUUGCUUGCAGCCUGCUUCUUUCUCCUUGCAAGACCUGUGAGCGCCAACAUAAAGGACAACUCACAGUGGUACCAGCACAGACUGUAUAUACUAUGGACAACUUGGUUCCACCUUCCACCAGUAUACGGAUUUGAAGCCGAAAAGCUCUCGGUAUUUUUGUGUUUUUUCUCCACUUCCUGAAACCAACACUGUGCGGUAGCGUCGUACGCACUCCACCACUUGCGCAGUAGCAUUGUGCGCAUUUGGUGGGAGAGUCACCAAAUGUCGCUGUGAUGACACUCGGGUCAAACAGUGUACCCCCCGGGUGAGCUACGCAAUCUUCGUACACCCAUAGGCUGUAUCAGGUGUCAAUCAUAGAAAACAUGAACCGCCUAAUAACUUUUAAAAAUGGAGCUGUACAGAAAAAAAGGGACAUAAUUAAUCUUAGCGCAGUAUCAAUGUUUUGAUAAUUCUCAAUACUAGUAUAUAGCAACUGCCCUAUCAUGGUUUGACCCAAAGGUUUCUGUAUUUGUGCUUAUAUUUCAAGCCUCUAGGAUUUCUUUAUCUAGUCCCAGUCAGUCUAGAUCUUAAGAAGCCUUUCAGACAAGAGGCGAUACAGCUACAAAAACUUCAAAUCUCAGUUGCCUUUUGGAUGAAACUUUAAAUCUCCAUGUUUUGUUGCUGAGAAUCCCUAAAGACAAAUUUAAUUGUCAAAUAAACAAUCUUCUUCUCUUCUUUUCUCUUCUCUGGCAGGCGCAUUGUAAAUCUGUUUGAGUCCUGGAGGUCUAACAGUGGGAAUGUAAAUGUCUCAUUCAUAUACUGAAUAAAAACAUUAACAGCACAACAGCUCCUGCUUAUCGAAGCAAAAUUUUUACAGCUGCCCCUGGUGACUGGGAGCUGUAUAGGUCUCAAAGUCAACCCUCUUCGUUAUUAUAAAUGAAACAUGAGUAAAAGUACAAAACACAGGCAAACUCACAAGGUACUGAACCUCCAAUAACUGAGUAAACAGUGUACCAGCCUGACAGAUCGUUGAUGUUUUAUUACUGACUUAAAUCUGUGCUAAGGUUAAAGGUGUGAAGUCAACCCUGCAGUGAGCUCCACCAGCUAGAUCACUCCAGAGUACAUCACAAGCACAGGAUGUCUAAGGCAAAAUUUUGUCUUCACUUUUUUACAAUGGUAGAAGAUGGAGGCCUUCUGCCCAUAACAUGGUCCCACCCCUUGGAUCUUGAAUUUUUAACCCUCUAUAAAAAGUAAUAUACUGGACCUGGUGUGAGUCAUCUACCUCAGAAGACUUUCACUCUUUUCUGUGAUAACGACUGAUAUUGCGGGCAGGUGGAGGCAGGUCCUGAGCAGUGUGCUGUGUGUUGAUUCAGUUUGGGGUGUAAUUCGACACUGAUGAUGUUCAGCAGAGCGUGAGACCAGUUGAGAUGAGAACGCCUUCAUAUAUCGCUCUCUCAUGCCCGCCCGCCUGCGCUCGUAUCCCACCCAAGUGUACCCUUCAACUGACCACACUGCUUCUCUUCUACAUGCUUUAUAGUCCUAUUGAUUCACUGCUGUAUUUACUGUAUUCACUGCUGGAAUUAUGAACUGCUAAAUCAAAGCAAACAGGUGGACCGGAUGAAGUCAUCAGAUACAGUGGCAUUGAUUAUUCCCAUUAGAUUUCUGCCUUCCUCCCUCGCUCUCUCCCUUCCUCCAGCGUCCUACUGUUUCUCUGGUUGACUGGGUUGUGGCCACUGGCCGAGUAAUGAUGGACAGAUCAUUACUCUGAGCUGAGUAUGCCAAGUGAGCUGUUUUCUUUUUUUUAUUUUUACAGGCAAGGACGGAGAACACAGAGGAGACAAAAAGUAAGAGGGAGGAAAGAAAGACAAAGACAUCAAUUUUUUUCCUGUAAAUGCUAAACUGGAGCCAGUCUCUGGUGUUUCACAGUCUGUCUUGGCAUUUUCCACCCCCCACUCUUCACUGUAUUCUUCAUUCUCCAGACUGCAGCUCUAACCUCUUUAGAGGAUAUUAUAGUCCCUUGCCAUCAGGAAAGCCCAUUACUCCAUCCACAGAGCCUUAUCCGUGGAGGUAUAGCUUUACUUUUCCAUUUUAUGUGCGAGUGUGUGUGUGUGUGUGUGUGAUAAUGUAACAGAGCCUUUACAGUUAUGCUGGGUAAUGCCCAUCACAGAAUCAAUUCUUGUUUGCAGGAAUUCAAGACACUAAGAUAUGAUUAUUGUCAAGAUGAUAAGUUGCUCUGUCAUGGUAGACAUUUUAGUUUUCUAAAAACAUUUUGAUCAUCUCCUGUGAACAGAAGUUGAUGUUCAGUAACUGUGAACUACCAUGGACCAUCUCAUUAACGAUAUUUUUGAAUGAACUGCAGAAAUUGCCAUAGCUUUUUUUUCCUAAUCUCUGUGCAGAGACAUCCAUGUCAUUCAUCAUUUCCAUGUCCAAAUGCUUCUUUUUCUUGCCAAUCACUUGCUCAUCUUUUCCAAUAAUGUGGGUUUGCUUGUGAAUAAGAGCCAACGUAUUAUCACAAUAUAUGGUUAGUGUGUAGAAAUUCAGAGCAAAUUGGGAGCUGACAGAACUGGUUCAUGCUAACUCAUGUAAAACAAAUAACAGCUAAAAUUACUAUCAAACAGGAGCGUCUGUGAUGAAGGCUUCAAAAUUGUCAAACUCACACUUGAGUUUGAUACUUGAGUUUGAUUUUGAGUAAUCUGUGGAUCUUAAUGGAUGUGUUCAGUUUUUCUUUUUUUUUUUUUUUUGUUCGUUUUUUUAAUGAAUCAUAGAUUAAGAGGUUUUAAUGGAGGGUUAAUGUUUAAGUUAACUGGCACGUGUUUGACUGAAUGAACGAAUUGACUUCUCAACUUUAAUGUCUUUGUUGAUUGAAUAAGAGUUAACAGGGUUUCUCAUUCAUUUCAGCAUGCCCUGUGUCCAUCUCUGACUGCAGAGGUUCCAGGUGGAAUGGAAUGGGAAUAAAUGAAUGGAAUAAAAAAGUUAAGUUGAACCAAAGAGAAUGGAAUGGAACAGAAUCAAAUGGAAUGGAGUUGAGUAGCAUGGAACAGAAAGGAAAAAAAGUGGAUUAAAUGAAACAUAAAACAAAAUUAUAGAAUAAACCAAAUAAAUUAAGAAUUUACCAUUAGAUGGCAUUACAUUUCUUUAUGGAGUACACUCAUGCCUUCAACAGACUGCAAUUCUGAUCAGUUAUUUUUGGAUUAAGCACCCUAUUUGCUCAGUGAUUUUAAGAAAUUAUAUUGAAAAGCGUCAUUAUUAAUGAAUUUUAAUGGCAUUCCAAAACUUCUCAGAUGCAAGUCUGGGUUAUAACGCAAUAGAAAAAAAUGUGAGCUCAUAAACUUUGGCUUGAAAAAGGCUUAAUUUGCACUACAAGGUCAUCAGGGAGGAAAACUGUGUUUUUGGUUUGCACAUCUCUGUAUGCAGACAACCUCUCAUUUUUCCUAGCUAAUUGUGUGGUUUACACACAAACAGCAACUGUUCAUUAUGCCCACUAGUUGGUUGAAUACUUAGCUUUAUACCCAAAUUAAGACAUACAGAUCACAGCUCAUUUACUCUCAUAUUGAUCUCUUCUCCCUCUCUCACUUUUUAUUCCUUCUUUCUUACUUUCUCCCCCUCCUUCUCUUUCUCUACAUGAAGCCAGAUUGCCCUUCACUUUAGGUAAUGAGGCCACUCUAUCAUAGACCUCCACCAGCCUACAGCCCACCUCCGAGCUCCUCCCUAAAAGGACAGUAGAAAACAUUGGUGGUCGAGCUACACUGCACAUCCUUCGAUCUUACUAUACAUGCUAUAUUAAACGUGUUGUUUAGAUAGUAGCUCACUGUGGCUUGUUACUACUGCCAUGAAGCAUAUCCCCAUGAGCCAUCAGUGCUGCAGAUGCUCCAUCACUUAAUAUUCAGUUGUCAUGUUGUAAUGCUCUCCCCUGAAUGACCUUGAGAUGCUCCAGUCUUAUAGCAGAGAAGACCGCCGGGAAACCUCUCUGUAUCUCAGCAGACUACCCCACAAAGGAAGCAAGCCAUAUGGUGAUGGCUCCAUACACCAACACUCAUCCACUGAGCAGCUUUAUGAGCAUAAAUGACUGUAAAACAAUUUCCUUUUCAGGGCAGAAGAAAUAUUUCAUCUGCCAUUUACAGCAUGGCCAAAGCUGCUCUUUUUCCAACUAUCUCUUUGUCCCUCUGAGUGUCUGAUUUUUCUCUCCAGAAGUGUGAUGAGUGGGGUCGUGGCAUCGGCGGCGGAAGCAUCUGCCAGUGAGGGAAGGGCCAAGAAGAGAAAGCGCCUCCUGUUUGUCUCCACUGUCUCCAAGCCCCCAACCAUAUUCUUCCUGCUAAUUAACCUGCUGACGCCUCCUUACUGUGUGCAUUUUGGGGGGAAGGUGGUUGGGUGAGAUGUGCCGAAGGUGAAGAGGAGGGGAUGGCUGACUGCUGACAACAUAACCACUCCACUAAAGAAGAGGAGUUAACAAUUCUGACCACAUAUUUCACAUACAUGCUCACGAAUACCUGCUUUUCAAAGCUACCACCUUAAGUGAUAUCUGAUUUUUUGGUUUCCAGUGCAGCCAGCAUUUAACAAUCAACGAUUUCCAACCAAGAUGUCAUUAUCUGUGAGUCGUCAUUGUUUACAGUUUAACAAGAAACUGGAAAAGAGAAAACAUGGUUGGAG